UUUUUUUUUUUUGUAUUACCAAGUAACUAUACCCAUUCCUGAUCCUACCAAGUAAGAAUUUCAUGAAAAUACUAAAGUAUUUCCAUGUAACUAUCAUCUUAUAUGAUCCAAGACAGAGGACAAUCAAAUGAACAAUAUUGCUGGUUGAACGAUGUACAUUAGUAUUUCCAUGUAACUGUCAUCUUAUAUGAUCCAAGACAGAGGACAAUCAAAUGAACAAUAUUGCUGGUUGAACGAUGUAAUGUACAAGACUUAUGCAGCAAGAGCCAUUGUCCUUGAAGAUUUCCAUGCAAGCUCUAGCUUGAACAGCAUCCAAUCUCUUCCAAGAAGAUCCCUCAUCUUUGAUAUUGAUCGUCUCUCCUUUAGGAGGAACAGAUGAAGGAGCACCUUCAUCAAUGGCCUCGACUGCCUUCCUACACGAGUAAAGCACCAACAGCUCCUCUGUAGUUAAGAUUUGGAUUAUCCAUUUAUCCACUAAACUUUUAAUUUUGACCACUUUACACCCUAAAUUCUCAAAUUGUUCCAUUUAAAUCCAAUCAAUGAUUAUAAUCGUAAAAUUAAAGAGAUAAAGGUCGGUAAAAAUUAAUGACAAUGUACCAUUUUAUUCUAACUGGCAAUUGCUUGGCUUUAUUUUUUUAACCAUUUUUAGCAUAUUAUUAUUGAUUUAUAUGGUUUCAAUUACUAAUAUUGAUAGCAAAAUUAACGAGAUAAAAGAUACUGCAAAUUAAUAACAAUGUAUUGUUUUAUUUUUGUUACGAUACCUUGGUACCUUUUGAUUACUUUGACAUAUUAUCAUUGAUUUGUUGUGUUCUCUAUGCCGUUAAUUUUAUAAAAGUUGUCAUUGACUAGAUUUAAAUAGGACAAACUUAAGAGUUUACGUUAUAAGGUAUUCAAAAUUAAGAGUUUAGGGUGCAAAAUAUUCAAAAUUAAAAUUUAGAAUGCAAACUGAGAAACUGGUUUCAGUUCAAGAGUGCAAUGCAGAAUUUGUUCCAUCAAUAAAAGUCUAACUUUUGCUAAAAAAAGGGAUAAUUUCAAAAACUUCCCCUGAGAUUUGUGACAAUAUCACUUUGAUACCCUUGAACUUUGAGCAGUUUUAAAAAUUUAUGAAUUUUAAAAUUUCUAAUUUUUUUUGUAUAGACCGAUGACUUGAAUAUCAGAGACAGACACAACUUUCUAAAAUUAAAUUUACAAACUCAUUUGAGGUGUUUUAAAAAACAUAACACGAACUUUCUUUAUUACAAUGUAUUGUUAGAUGAAUUUAGAAUUUUUUUAGUACUCUAACAUUUUUUUCCAAAUUGAUGGCUUGAAAAAAAGAGAAAGAUAAAUUAUUAACAAUACAUUUAGAAACUAAUUUGAGGUACUUUCAAGGCACAAAAUGUUAUUUUUUUCUAAUUAUAAUAAUUUUUUCUUUUGCACUCCUUGUCUAGACUGAUGACUUCAAAAAUUGCAAAAGGUCUUUCAACCUAAUUUAUAUGUUGUAAUUCUUAAGGAUUUAUCUUGGUUUAUUAUGAAAACUAAAGGUCCACAACAAGGGUAAUUUUGAAUAGAAAUCUUUUAUCUCUCCCAAAAUGAGUUCUUAAAUCAUAUCUUUUAAAAUGGGCUGAUAAAGUUAUAAAAAGUUGAAAAUUAAGGGAUAUAUGUGAGAUUUCUUAAAGUUAAUUUAGAAGUGUCAAAUGAUAUUGUCUUAAACCUCAAGAGAGGUUUUUGAAAUUAUCCCAAAAUAUAUAUAUAUAUAUAUAUAUUUCAUGGGACUUAAUCUGUCACUUCCAUUUUCUUUUUUUCUUUUUUGCUAUCUUGUGAGAAAGUGAUCAAAAUAAUGAUAAAAACGUUCUAAAAAGCAUUUUGCUAGCAAAUUUUCUUUUCAUGUAAACACAUGGGUUUAUUUAAUCUUCCAAAGCAACAAAACAAUAGUUGCUUUUAUUAAUUCAAGAUAUAAAUGACAGGAGUUUGAAGGAACCAUUUAAUGCGUAUGAAAAAGGGGUUAAAUACCAAAAACCCCCCUAUGGUUUGACUAAUAUUCACUUUACCUCCCUAUGGUUUGGAAACCUACAAUUUGACUCAUCGUCGUUUCAAGUAAAGUAAAAGUCUAACGGAAAACAUCUAAACUAACGCCUGAAACGAAAAUGUCAAAAUUGCCCCUCUAUAAGUCAAACCCUUGGAAGAAUGUUUCGUGCAUUUGAGAAUGGGUAAAAUACCAAAAACCCCUCUGUGGUUUGCCAAAUGUACACUUUACCUCCUUAUGGUUUGAAAACCUAUAAUUUAACUCCCUGUUGUUUCACCUAAAGUGAAAGUCUGACAGAAAUACCGUUAUUGUAGAUGUUUUCUGUUAGACUUUCACUUUAGUUGAAACGACAGGGAGUUAAAUUGUAGGUUUCCAAAUCAUAGGGAGGUAAAGUGAACAUUAGUCAAACCACAAGGGGGUUUUUGGUAUUUAACCCUAUGAAAAAGUGUUAUUGGCUUGUGAGAAUAGCAUGCAUUUUGAAGACAUUGGUAAAACUAAAAUCUCCAGUACAAAGAAUCGAUUUCAAUAAUUUUGGAGAAUAGACACCGGAGGUCCCUUGAUUUAUAUAUUUUCAACUCCAUGGUUGGGUCAAUUUUGGGUUAUAUAACUUUUAUCUAAGAUCUGAUUUUGCCUCUUUUUUUCCUUUUUCUUCUUUUUUUUUUCCCUGAUUUUGCCUCUUCAGUUAUGUUACUCCCUGUAUAGCCAGCAAUGACGACACCCUUCUCAACUACAACUAUCAAUCAUGCAAUUAUCAAUUUCUGAAAAAUCGAAUUAUCUAUUAUCAAUCAUGCAAUUAUUGGUCAUGCAAUUUUUAGUUUUUGACUCGACUACAACUAAAUGCUUUCAAUACCGACUAAUACAUUUCUCUCCUACGAAUACUGGCAUAUAACAACAGUGGUGAAGAACACCCUAACCCCCCCCCCCCCCCUUCCCUCCAAAAAAAAUUGGGUGAGGCACAAUUUUGUUAGAAUGCACUUUAAGAAUAUGUUGACAUGUUUUUCAUUUCUUUUGGUAUGGAUAAACUUGGGAGUCUUACCACCUCUAUAUUGACUAUCAGUAUAGUAUUGUCAGAUUUUAUUUUUUUUAAAUUUCUCUUAAUAAAAAAGUUUUAAUUUCUCUUAAUUGUAGUAUUAGUUUUAAGAGACACUACAAACUUCACACAUAUAGAUAAUAACACAUAAAAAUCACCAAUUACCUUCAAUCAGAUCAGAAGAAGACGGAUACUGUGGCAUCCAGGACAUAUAUGCCUGUACUAAAUGAGUUUUUAUUGAGUUAAGCAUUAUUAAUUCUUAAACCAUUCUGAACCAGUAUGUGACAAGACUAGGUGCCAAGAACGUCACAUAAUUAAUCAACAUUAUUGAUUUCCAUUUAUGAAACUUGCAAGAAAUUGAGCAACAUGUUGAGAAGUACAAAGAUUUAACAUCAUUGUUCAUUUGGAUAAAUACUCAUCCGGGUAAAAACCUCUGACAUAGUUGUCUAAGCUGUUGUCAUAAGGGAGAUUAUAAACUCCUUCACAACCUCACAAAGGACUUUAGUUUUGGGAAACUCAAAAAUGUCAAUUCCAUGAUAACCUCCUUCAACAAAAUUAGCCACCACGGAAACACCCUCGUCUUCUAACAUUUUGGCAAUCUCAAAUUGGCGAUCAAACAAUGCAUCAUUUUCAUAUCCUGCCAUUAAAAUCUUCCAUCCUAAAGCUUUAAUCUGAUCGAAUUGUCCAGGUUUGAUGCUCAAAACUGGAUUAGAAAAUUCAUGAUCUCGGUCAGCACCAACGGGCAACGAAAGUUCCCACAAGACAUCAGCAAAACGGGGCGGUAUAAGCGUGUCAUUCAGAGCCCUCAACUCCGAUUCUGUCCUCUUGUUGCCACCAAAAAAUGCUUGGUGCAAAAUCAACCCUUUAAUAUUCAAAGGUUUAAGAUCAUCAACGCGUGAAGAUGCACUCAAACCAACAUGAUAGGCAAUGUUUCCCCCUGAACUGCUGCCCAUGAGGAAACUGUUUGAUAAAUCUGCAUACUUUUCCAACCAUUCGUCUUGUGAAUUCUUGAUCCAGUGCAAAGCUUCCAAGCAAUCUUCAUAGGCUGCCGGCAGCCUGUGCUCGGGAGCAAGACGAUGCUCGAUUGAUACGACUACAAACGGGACCUCAGUCGCUAAAGCUCUAUGCAAAUCAUCAAAACCGGUCGUGGCCACGCUGCCAAUCACGAAUCCUCCACUAUGAAAGUAAAUCAGGAGCGGAAGUUUCCUGCCAGGGAUGGAUUCAAGUGCUUCUUUCGGUAGGAAUAUGCGGGCACCAGUGUCUUUGGAUUGGUUAAUGGGGACAUCUUUGACAAGAAGGAUAGGGCUGCCAUCAUAGGAGGAGACGGGUGUUUUUGGAUGUUCAAAUUGACGCGUGACUGAGCCGUCGGGGUUCCGGACUAAGCCCAGACGGCCAUAGGGAUCAGCAUGAGCAUCAGCGAAUGAAAUUGCCGCAAUUGAAUCAGCCAUAAGGGAUGAGAAUUUUGACUGCCUUUUGGUGUAAGCUUUGGAGCUAGCGUUCAUGAGUUUGACGGUAUUUGAAGACUUGGAAGUGCACAGAAAGAAAGGUUAAAGGGUCAUUUCGUUAGUUCUUUGAAAUUCAUACAUUGCCACACGUUGUUUAUCAAUAUAAUUUAGUGCGUCAUGAGCUGUGUUGAAAAAGCAGACACAAGAAGCUCAUAAAAGCGCAAGACUUGAGAGGAAAAUGACGUCUGAAUUAUCUUCUUGAUGGGUCCAAUGUUCUUCUUUCUUUUAAUUGGUUUAUACUUGUGUAUAUCCAGCCAACGACCUUUGCGUUCAAUUUAAUUGCAUAGAGGAUUUUUUGUCCAACAUAGGGGUGUGGACGACGCGAGCGGCUUGGUAAAAACUUAGCAGACUCGAUCUACUCAUUCUGCGUAACUAGUUGAAUUCGAAUCAGUAGUAAUUACUCGAGUAUUUAACGAAUUUAAUUAAGUAUUUAUAUUAUUUAUAUAUUAUAUAUUUUAAUUAUGAAAUGACUAGUAUGGAUCCGUAUAUUAAUAAAUUUACGUGAAGUAAUUUAGUAAAAAAAAUGAUGAAUGAUAAAUUAAUAAUCUGAUAAAUCUAAAAUGUAAAAAAAAAAAAUUUUAAAAAGAGAUGAAAAACUCGAGCUUGUAUAGUUCGAAUUUGAUAUGGCUUGCAGUUUACUCGAACUCCAACGAGUUGAGUUCGAUCUUAAUUUCCAUUAUGUCGAGUCGAGUUCGAGUUCAAAUUUAUAUACUCGUUCAAACUCGAGUUCAAGUUUAAGUAGCACUAAUAGUGAUUGAAUUUGAGCUCGAAUAUGGUGCAACUCGAUCGCUACUUGACUUAAUAGACCCCUAGUCCAACAUUGUCUUACCUUUCAUUAUAUUGUCAUUUAUCAUUCACAAACAUCUCAUUUUAGAAUUUUUUUUUGUUUCCUUAAAUUCUAAUAUCUAAUAAAAGGAUAAAAAAUUAAAAUAUAACAAAUUAAAAUAACACUAUAUAAUACAAAACAAAACAAAAAAUAGAAAUUUCACAAAAAAAUCAUAAAAAUUUCAUCUCACUUUAAUCUUCAAAGUUUGAGCAUCACUAUGGCCUCCAGAAACAAAGUAUGAUUGUGGUCCGAGGAACCAGUUGCUGUGCUCUAACACAGUUCGAUGCUCGGGGCUUUGUCUCAUGAUGAUAGAACAAGGGGGGUCUAGCGCCCGCAGCCUGGCGGUUGUUUAAAUGGUAUUGACAGCAACAAAACACAGGAAAAAAAUUCAAAAAAAAGAGAAGAAGCUGUCAUUUAAGUGUGAAAUUAAAGUGGUAAAAGGUGAUUACUGAUAUUAUAUUUAAUGCUUGAUGUGAUAUCAAAUUUUGUAAUGCAUCAGAAUAAUGCAAAGGAUAAAAUACAUCUAACCACCCGUGGUUUAGCAAUUUUUCACAUAACCCCCAUAUAGUUUCGAAAGCUAUAUAUAACCCUCUCAUAAUUUGGAUUAAAGUGUCAAAGUGAUGGAAAUGAUCAUUUGUGAUAAAACCCAUAAAAAUAUUGAAAUUACCCUUAUUUAAAAACUAAAAUGCCUGAAAUGAUCAAAAUAUAUAAACAUAAUAUGCAUGACAUAAUUAGUGUUUUAUCAUAUAACCCCAUUAUAAUUCUUAAAAUAUAUACAUAACCCCCUUGUAGUUAAUAAAUAAUUUUCAAUUUUACAUAGGGGUACUUUUGAUAUUUUAGUUGACUUCAUUAUGGAAUGCAAAUUCUGUCAUUUUGACACUUUAAUCCAAGUUACGAGAGAAUUAUAUAUAGUUUUUAAAAUCAUAAGGAGGUUAUACGAAAAAGUACUAAACCACAGGGGAAUAAAGUGUAAUUUGCCCUAAUGCGAAUGAUAUAAUGUUUUUUGUUUGUAGCUUACAGGAUUAUUAUAUCAACAUUGGAAACUGAAAACUAGAAUGAAAACUGCAGAUUGAAAUUUAAGUGCUAAAACAUUUAGGUUGCGUUUGGAUUGAGGGAUCUGAUCAAGGGUUUGAAAUCCUCUCAAAUCCCUCCAGUUAUUUAUAUUAUUUAUUAAGUAUUUGAAUUUGAAAAUUACAAAUUAUUCUAGUAUUUAAAAUAUAUUUUAAUAAUUGGUAUAUUGGAUAGUUAAAUGCCUAUUAAACAAUCCAAACAACUAGCGCCAUUUAGAUGGAUUUCAAAUUCUUCAUCAAAUUCCACAAUUUAAACGAAUAUUGAAUUUACAAUGUCAUAUCUAUUAUAUCCAUCUGAUGAUCAGCUAAACUUGAGCGCUGAAUUUAAGUGUUCUAUUCUAUGAAUAUUAUUUAUUUGAUAUUGAUAUUGUUACUUUGUUUGUUAAAUUACUAUGUUAGAUUUUUUUUUUUAAAUUCUAACUACAUUCGAACACAGAAUAUGUGUAUGCAGGAGAGAGAUGGGAAGUAUGCGUGAAUAAAAAAUGUGCUUGUGAAGAAGAGCUCCACUUGCUUAAAAAAUGCUACGAGCUUUUAAUUUUUUUUUAUUUCUUAAAUGCCACGAGUUUGCGUGAAGAAGGUUUUUGUUGAGAUAUGCCAACUUUUUCCUAUAAAUUUUAUCAGAUUGGGUUUGAUAUCAAAAUAAUUUAGUUAUUAGAAAAUAAGGAUAUUUGUUAACCAAAGAUCAUGUUGGUUUGUUAACAAAUAUAUUAGCUAAGAUUUGCUAGUAGUAGAAGAUUAUAUUUUGUUGAGAUUUUUAGGAUAAUUGUUAGUUGGAUAUUUUGCUAGUUUGUUUCAUGUAAUCACUAUAAAUAGUGAGUUGAUGAAUGUAGAAUAUAAGCUCAUUUUCCAGCCUUGAAUACAAGUCUCUUAUAAGUUUUUUUUUUCAACACUAAGGUGUUGUUUCUUAGUUUAUACCCCCAAAAAACCAACAAAGUGGUAUCAAGAGUCUAAAUCUUAAGGACCUGUUUCUUUGAGAGUGAGUGAAUCUGGUGAGAAUUCCUUUUUCACACUUAAGCCUUCAACAUCAAAAUGCCAGGAAACAACUUCUUAUCCAAUCCUCCAAGUUUUACUGGUGAAAAUUACCAAAUCUGGGUUGUCAAAAUGAAGUCCUAUUUGGAUGCUAAUGAUCUUUGGGAUGUGGUAGAGACAGAUCAUGUUCCUAAAUUGUCAAAAGAUCCAACUAUUGCAGAGAUGAGAGCCCAUAGAUAUGCAGUCAAAAGGAGAUCAAAAGCCAUGACUUGCAUUCAUUCAGCAGUUUCCGAUGCAGUAUUCACAAAAAUUAUGAUUUGUGAAACUGCAAAGGAAGCUUGAGAUGCUCUCAAAGUGGCUUUUCAAGGCAAUGACAGAACAAGACAGCUACAAGUUUUGAACCUUAGGAGAGAAUUUGAACUCCUUAGGAUGAAAGACAAAGAAAACAUUAAAGAGUAUUCUGACAGACUCUUAAAUGUUGUGAACAAAAUCAGAUUGAUUAGAGAACAACUUCCAGAUAGCAGAGUUGUGGAGAAAGUCUUGGUGAGUUUACCAGAAAGGUUUGAAGCCAAGAUUUCCUCUCUUGGAGAUUCAAGAGAUCUCUCUCAGAUGACUUUGCCAGAAUUGAUCAAUGCUCUAGAGGCACAAGAACAAAGACGAGCCAUAAGAACUGAAGAAGUCAUUGAAGGUGCUUUUCAAGCAAUAAACAUGGAUCAAAUUCGACAAGGUGAAAGAAAUGAUUAAGAAAAAAAUAGCAAAAAUGAGAAGAAAAAUGGCAGAAAUCCUCCGUGUCCACACUGUAAGAAAACCUCACAUCUUUCAAUAUAUUGUUGGUUUAGACCUGACAUUCAAUGUAGGUUUUGUAAGCAAAUGAGACAUAUGGAGAGAGUUUACAAAAAUAAAGGAAAAAAAGAACAUCACGCUCAGAUGGUUGAUGAACAAGAUGAGGAGCAACUUUUCAUGACCACUUGUUUUGCAAGCAAUAAUUCCAGUAUUGAAACUUGGCUAAUAGACAGUGGUUGCACUCAUCACAUGGCAUAUGAUGAAUCUAUAUUUAGGAAAUUUGAUAAAUCGCAAAUCUCCAAAGUCAGAAUUGGAAAGGGAGAUUAAAUUGAGGUAAAAGGCAAAGGUAGUGUUGCAAUUGAUUAUGGUUUAGGUACCAAAAUUAUUUCUGAUGUUUUGUAUGUACCUGAAAUUAAUCAAAAUCUAUUAAGUGUUGGACAGUUAUUGGAGAAAAAUUAUUCUGUCAUCUUCAAAAACAGGACCUGUGUUAUACAUGAUCCAAUUGGGAAUGAGCUUUUCUUAGUGAAAAUGAGAGGCAAAAAUUUUGUUUUGAAUUUGUCAGAAAUUGACAAUCCUAAGAUGCAGUAUGGUGAACCAAAAAAUUCAAACGUUGCUAAAAUUCAGGAGGAGAUCACUGAUGAGGCAAUUGAAGGAGGUUACAUUGUGAAAAUUCAUGAAAUGCUACCCGAGGAUGAUGGUGGUGACAUAGCUGAUAAAAGGCCAUACAAAAAUUUGAAAGAUUGUUUUAUGUCUCUCAUAGCAAUCAUUUUUUGUAUUGUGAAUUUCUUCUUCAGGUUCAUCUAUUAUGUAUGGGAGUUCCACUUUCAAGUUGCAAAGAAGUCAUUUGAAUACAUCGAAAAAUUUGGUAUUGAUUUUGAAGUUUGGCUCAAGAAACAUUGCAAGACUGAUGGCCAGAUUGCAGACAUUUUUAUGAAAGCCUUGUCCAAAACAAGGUUCAAAGAUUUAAGAAGGCAAUUGAAAAUCUGCAGCAAAAGUGGUAAGGAGGAGUGUUGAGAUAUGCCAACUUUUCCUACAGAUUUUAUCAGAUUGGGUUUGAUAUCAAAAUAAUUUAAUUAUUAGAAAAUAAGGAUAUUUGUUAACCAAAGAUCAUGUUGGUUUGUUAACAAAUAUAUUAGCUAAGAUUUGCUAGUAAUAGAAGAUUAUAUUUUGUUGAGAUUUUUAGGAUAGUUGUUAGUUGGAUAUUUUGUUAGUUGUUUCAUGUAAUCACUAUAAAUAGUGAGUUGAUGAAUGUAGAAUAUAAGCUUAUUUUCCAGCUUUCAAUAUAAGUCUCUUAUAAAUUUUUUUUUUCAACACUAAGGUGUUGUUUCUUAGUUUAUAUCCCCAAAAAACCAACAGUUUUCUUACACUAUAUAAUCAAAUUACAAAUAGACCCAAAAAUAGAUUAUCGGAAUUGCUCAACCCAAAACACAUGAAUAUGGUGAUCCAUGCAGAAAAGAGGUGGAAUCACUACAAGAAAUUUGGUCUUUUGUGACAAUAAAAAGUCAUCACUAAAAAUCAAAAAGUCGUCAUUAUAUGCAUAUAGUUACAACUUUUUCCAUUGUCACAUGGUUGUCACUAAUUCUAUGUCACAAAUGGGUACGUGUGACAACCUCUUCAAAGUCGUCACUAAAUCUUGUUAUUUAAUGACAAAAAUUAAGUCGUCACUAACGGUUAGUAUUCAGUGAUGAAUUUUCUUGUCACUGUUUCACAUAUUUUUUUGUCAUAAAACAUAGCAAAAGUCGUCACAAAUUUGAACGAGCACAGUGACAACUUGAACUUGUCACUCUCAUUCCUAGUAUUCAGUGACAAAAAUAGUCGUCACUUAGUAAACUUACAACUUUGUCUAGAAGAGUUGCAAUUGUUCAUUACAAAUAUAACAUUGUCAUGGCUCUCGUUCCGACAAUUAUAACAAAAAAUUAAAUUUGGCUAAGAGUGACAUCUUUUGGGAAGGUUGUCACUGAGUUUUGUCUUAAAGAGUUGAAAUUGGUCAUUACAAAUAUAGCAUUGCAUGUGCGUUUUAAACAAUUAUAACCGAACAUUGAAGUUGACAAAAGGCAAAAUCAACAUAGAAUAUAUGCCGCAAAUUCAUAUAUUUGGCCAUAACACAUCUGUAAAUUAAUCAAAAACAAAAGUGAACCACAAAUGUUGGGUCCCAAAUCCCACAUAAUUAGUUCAAGUAGUAAUGGCCAAUACAUAUCUUUCCCAAAAGAUAGAGUACUAGAUUUCUAAACUAAAGCAUAAACUACAGAACCAGGUCAGAUUUCAAUCAUCUCUAGCAGCAUAUGCAACAGUCUUCUCACGAUCAAUAUGAAGCUAGAUUGCAUUGAAAAUAAACUUUUCUUUAGAGUUUCAGCAUAUCCAACUACUGUGAACUUAAUAAGUAAAAAAAAGAGUUUCAGCUAAAAUAAAAGUAAAGAAUUUAUCUUCUCACCUUUUUUGAAGUCUAUCAUUUGUGCAAAUCUUUCAUUUGGGCUAUCAACUCCUCGUACAGCCCUCUAGUUUCAAGUUGCUGAUCUUGCAAGCUCUUAAUUAGCUCCUUUUGGGCAUUGAAUUCUUCUGCAAUUUGUGUAGCUCAUUGCUCUGCCGCAUCUGCCCUUCUUUGAUGUUCUUUAAUUUCACUCUUCAAGUGGUCAAUCUCUAUUGCUUGCCUCUUGGUUGUGCUGCGGCUACGAAGCUGUCCAGGUAUGUAUCCAAGUUGCUGUUGACAAAUUUCCUUACUACUCAUUGAAGUUGUAGCUUCCAUCUCUUUCAUUGUUGCCUAAACAAGACAUUAUAGCUUAGGUGUUAAAAGGCAUGUCACAAAGGAGUUGUAAAUGCAUAAAAAUUGAAUGACAUCUCACACCAAAGUCUCUUUCGCUGGAUCAUUUUUCAACCCUCCUGUCUUCUUUGAUGUACGACUGAUUUCAAACAUUUCUAUCUCUAAAAGCUCCACUCCCUCAUUCCUCUUCUAUCAUUAACUUAAGUGUGAGAAUGUAGAAGGACAAAAAGCAUAACGGAAUCUCCAAACAACAGAAUUGAUUACCUUCUCUUCAACAACUCUAGAAAGUGACUUUGUUCCCACAGUGGUAUGAAUUUCAUUCUUAACACGAUUUACUUUGUUACGGUCACUGAUUUUCUGUAAUAUAUAAACAACCAGCAGUAAUUCUAAAUAUUUGAAAUAAAUUUUAUAUUUAGGUAAGACUAAUUCAAGUAUGUAACUAGACCUUGAAUUCUUCACUUCCAAAGUGGUUGCACAUCCAUGUCCAAUCCUCAACUGAUAUAUCUUCAGGAACAUAUUGAAUUGAUUCCUCUUUCGUCCCAAAGGUUAGAAAAUACUUGUGCAACCGAUAUCAGUGAUUCCGAUACAAGAUGUUCAACUGCCUAUUUAUAGCAGUUUUUGAGGUGAUGUUAUUCUCAAAUUAGAAGUCAUCCUACAAGACAAAUAUAAGUACCGAAAAAUUAAAUAGAAGUACAUAAGAAUAUUGCUUGAGUAUAAAGAUCAAACAAUUCAUUCUAGUAGUGAUAUAAGCAAAAAAAUUCAAAUACCAUAACCAUCUUGUAUAUGUUCUCUCUAUAUUCAGCCUCAAGAUGUGAUCAUUUGUCAACAUUAAGCCUUCCAAACUUCCUAACAACAUAGCCACUCUCACUAAUGAAGUAUUGAGAGUCCUUUCCUACUAUGCUCCGAAUGGAAGGGUCAACUUCAAUAGUUAGAGUCCAGUGUAAAGCUGAGAACCAUUUUUCAACUGAGGCUCUGAUGAAAAAGCUGAUUAGUGAAGAAAUAUACAAAAAAUAGAACACCAAACAUAAUGCACCAAGUGUAACAACCCGUUUAAUGGGAGUAGAUAUGUACUAUCAGAAACAAAAUCAGUUGCACAGAAAGUUGAGAUAAGGAAUGAACUACAUGCAUAAAGCUUCUAAGAUUCAGGAGAUAGCUAGCUACGUAUAACUUAGUUGGUGGGAAAUGAUGGUUGAUUCAUAUUUAAAAUUUUAGGGAUACGGAUCCCAAUAAUGUGUAGAGCUAUGUAUAGUUUCAACAACAACUUCUUCUUGAAAUUGAAGUCCCUUAAUAAAUUUUACAAUCACUGACGAACAGACAAAUUAGAAUACUCCAGAGUCAGUCAAAAUCACUUGGAUUCCUCAAACAAAGUUGCUUGCUGUUUUCUUUCUUUCAUUUUUUGUUUUAUUUGAAGAAUAUUCUGGUGUGAACUUGCUUGCAUUCUUGCUUGUAAGCUGAGUAAAUUUUGUGGAAACAACUGAUCCACAAAGUUUCAGCAUAGUACUCGUGCACUCGUGCAGACAAUUGGAACACAGAGUUAAAUCUAUUGCAUGCACUCAUGCACUAAUUUUUUUUAGAACUAGUAGGAGAAUGGCAGUUUCCUAGAGACAUAGAUAUGUGCAGAGCUGAUCAGAUAUGAAGCUUUAAAGAUCCCUGUGUCGUGGAGCAUAGACAAAUUGGCAGAAUCUGAGGAACAACAGCUGCCUAGAUUAUAGGGACAACGCAAAUGUUCUGGAUGCAAAUUAAUGACACCAGAAAGAUCCCUGCAUUACUUAAAAAAAAACAUAUACAAUGUACUCUACCAACACCACGAGAUCACCAUUGCUUGCAUUCUUGCUUAUAAGCUGAGUAAAUUUCGUGGAAACAAUUGAUCCACAAAGUUUCAGCAUAGUAUUCUGUACUUGAAGUACAGAAUAUAGAUUCACAUCUCAGUAGACAAUUGGAACACAGAGUUAAAUAUAUUGCAUGCACUCAUGCACUAAUUUUUUUUAGUACUAGUAGGAGAAUGGCAGUUUUCUAGACACAGAUAUGUAUAUGAUAUUGACUGUGAAAUCAGUAGCCUUUUUUCCAAAGUUUUUACUUUAUCUUUGGCAUUAAAUUCUAUUGUCUAAAUCAGUAGAACCAUCAAAACCAACUUAAAUAGGACUCUGUUUGUUUGGCAGAAUAGUCAGCAGUAGUUGUUGACAAGAAAUUCUAAAAUUGAAAAAAAAAACUCCAUUCGUUCACAAGCAGGCCGUCAUCGUAGCUAAACAGAUUUUCUCUCUUUGGCAGAGUGGACGAGAAGAAGAUACAACACUAGGACAAUCGCCAUUCAAAAUAAGUAAAUUUUGAAAGAGUUGAAAAAAUUUCUAAACUUAAGCGAGGCUGUGAUUUAAAACUUGGCCCUUCGUUGUGUCUAUCCUGCAUAUAACUAACUUAAUGCAAGUGUUCUACAAGUUACCUUUGCUAUAUUAAAAACAACAUUUUUGCAGUCUGCAAGAAUGCUCACAGACUAAGCAGGAAGGAAAUAUGAAUUCCCCUUGAAUGUGACUUUGGCAUCUACUUUGUUGUCAUAGUUAGCAAGAAAGGCUACACAAUCGUUUGAAGUUUUAUAGUACAUGUGUGCCUGAUCAAACAAAUUCAUUCUGUUUAGGAUAAAUUCACUAUUUUGGAUAAAUAUACUGCAUCUUUUGCAUAUUUCGGAAGACAUAAACUGUAAUGAUCAUCAGAAAUGUCUAUUGCAUAUGUCCUCUUAUGAAAAACUCUUUCUCUGAUCACUACCCACCAUUAUAGUGGGGGCAAUGGGGAAGAAGUCCUUGAAUUAAAUCAGUCGGUUCAAAUGUUCAACAGAAAAAUAUGCCUCAACCCACUGUUAUCCAACUCAUUAUAGGAAUAGAAAUAUCGAGUCAACAAACGGGUUCAUCAUUUUCCUUUUAAACAAGAAAAUACCAAUAUCAAAUCUAAAAUUACAGAAUAAAAACCCUUCAGAAAAUCCCUUCAUUACACAAACAAUAGAUAUUUACAGCACUCAACACUAAACUCAAAUUCAAGCAAAGACUGUGAUAAACCUACACAUAAUGGGCAGAAGACACAUUAACAAACAUCUAUAGUAGUAUGACGAAAAUUCAUGGUCACAACCCUUCUUUCCAAGAUUCAACUCAACAUUCAGCUCAGAACCCUCCCUUCCACUUCCUUUCACUCUCACAACUCAACAUUCAGCUCACACGACCUAUAUUAGACAGAACUGUUCGAAAAUAGAUGGAAAAUAUUGAGAUUUUUUACCUCAAAUUAUGCCGUGACAACCUUAGGUCUUUUUUUCCUUCUGAUUCAGUCUUCAAACUCUGGCUUUUCCCCAAAAUUCAUGGUCAAAUUUCUGUGGUCUUACCAGCAAGCAACUACGACGAACUAGGGAUAGUUGUUAUCUCUUACUCUACUAAAGCUGCUCUAUCAGUUUGGGUAGCUCAAUUUAGGGAUGCAAAUGGUGGCUCAAUGUAGAGAUAUUUGCUAUUUGCUACCUACUAAAACUACCCUAUCAGUUUGGGUAGCUCAAUUUAGUGAUUAUCUCAGUAAUUUUAGCAAGAUCCUAGUGGAGAGAAGGAGAAGAAGAUGGUGUCCAAAGGCUAAGAAAGAGGGAAAUGAGUUUUGUCUGAAAUUUGGCUAAGUGUUGUUGAGUGUUUUUCUUCCAAAUCAACUUCAAAUGACAUCGUUUCUGCUUCUUUUAGAACCCCGCCUCUACUCCUUCAAUUUUCAGCUUCCCGCUUCCACUAUUGCAUACUAAAAAAUAAUGCCUUCUCUCUCUAAAUUGUUGAACCUUUUUUAUAAAAGUAACGCCUUCUAUCUCUUUUUCUUUUCCCAAUCUUUGUGCAAUUAACAUUGUUUAUGUAUUUUGAGUUUUUUUAGUUCACAAGUUGUAUUAAAACUUUGGAAUAUAAAAAUUUAGUAUAUUUGGAUUUUUUCUUUUUUUACUAACAUAGGUUUUUAGGAUCUCUACAAAAAAUAAUGUUCAAAAACUAAAAGACUUAUUAAAAAUAUAUUUAUGAUUCAAAAAAACAUCUUUUAAUGCAAAUAUUUUUUAUAUCAAUUUAAUAAUUUUAUCAAUUAUGCACAAAUUGUGGUCUGACAAGACCAAACAAUCUGUUUAGUUGAUCAAAUAACCAAAAUAGUUUACUAAUACAUGCAUGAAACACUAAAUCUAUUUGAUACAAGUACUGAUUCAUAAAUCAUAAAUAAUUUGAUUAUUGUAAAUUGUAAUACAUAACAAACUCCAGUCAUGCAAUUGUCAAGAUUUUUACUUAAUUUCCUAUUAAAUUUUAUUAUUAUCUGCCAUUAUUUUCACACUAUGUUAAUCAGUAAUUUCCCAUAUGUUGUCAAGAGAACUAAAUAAUGAAUUCAUGAUAUUUUUUAACUUUAUAACAAGGUAUUGGUUAAGUUUGGAAUAAUUAAAAAAUAGGUACACAUUUUUUUUUACAAUACCUUUCUCAUUUUGCCAAUGAUAAACACAACCUAAAAUGUAAAAGCAUAGGGUGCCAUAAUAGAAUUAGUAAAAUUGAUUUAUCACAUACGACGCCAAAUUGCAAAAGAUAAGGUGUCAUGGUAGAGUUAAUGACAUUAGUUUACCAAAUACGGGGCUAAAAUAUAAAAGGUCGGGUGUCAUAACAUAAUUAAUUAAAUUUAUUUAUAGCAUAUGAGCCAUAUAGAAAAAAUUAGGGUGGCAUAUGGGGCUAAAAUGUAAUAUUUAGGGUGUCAUAUAGUAGAAUUAAUAAAAUUUAUUUACAACACAUGGAUCAUAUUGAAAAAAUUAAGGUGAUAUAUGGGGUUAAAAUGUAAAAUUUAGGGUGUCAUAGUAGAAUUAAUAAAAUUUAUUUACAACAUAUGGGCCAUAUUGAAAAAAUUAGGGUGACAUAGUAGAAUUAAUGAAAGUGAAUUGGGAAUAAACGCUUUGGACAGUGACGAUUAGUUGUUGUCACUAAUUUAGAACCGGCAACCAUAUUGUAACGAUAUUUUAAGUUGUCACUGUAAGACCGACUUCAGUGACAACCUAUUUUCCAGUCAUCACAAUGGUGAUCUCCCGCCACACUGGCUAGUUGCAAGCCAUCCAUAUUGUGACGACUUAUCCCUUAUUGUCACUGUUGACGGGUGAACCCACGAUUAAGUAUGACGACAUUAAAAGUCGUCACUAAAGUUUUCAAUUGUGACAAGUUUCGCUCUUGUCACAGAGAAUGUUGUCACAAAAGACCAAAUUUCUUGUCGUGAAUUUUAGAAGUAGGGAUGGAACAGGAUAUUAUAACCCAAAACCUCUAUAAUGCUCAAUCCUUAAAAUAUAAUCCUCUCACAUAAACAUUUUAUAUAAAGUUUAAUGCAUAGUCUAUCAAUUUAAAUUCUAAUUUCUUAAUUUUUUAUUUAGUGAAGUUUUCAAGUCAAGCACCAGAUACCACCAAUUGCCUCCAAUGAGAAAACCAAUCUACCGUAGCAUCCAUGCCCACAGCUCUGGUGCCAAGAACAUCACAAAAUUAAUCAACAAUAAAUUUUCAUUUAUGAAAAUUGACACAAGAAAUUAAACAGUAUUUUGAGAAGUACAAGAUUAAACAUCGUUGUCCGUUUGAAUGAUUCCUCAUCCAAGUAAAUCACAACGCAACAUUAGUUUUCUAAGCUGCUGUUACAAAGGAGAUUAUAAACUCUUUGACAACCUGACACAGGACCUUAAGUUUAGGAAGCUCAAAACCAUCAAUACCAUGAUAGCCUCCUUGUGCAAACUUAACCACUAAAGGUACACCCUCGUCCUCCAACAUCUUUACAAGCUCAACUUGACGAACAAACAAUGGAUCACCAUCAUAGCCAGUCACCAAAAUCUUCCAUCCCAAAUCUUUAAUAUGAUCGAAUUGUCCGGGUUUGAUGCUCAAUACUGGAUUACAAAAUCCAUGAUCUCGGUCAGCGCCUAUGGGCAAUGAAAGUUCCCACAUGAUAUCACUAACACAGGGUGGUAAAAUCAUGUCAUUUACAGCCCUCAACUCCGAAUCCGUCCUCUUGUUGCCACCAAAGAAUGGUUGGUGGUUUGGUGCAAAAUCAUGCCUUUAAUGUUCAAAGGCCGAAGAUCAUCAGCAGAAGGAGGUGCUCUAAGACCAACAUGAUAGGCUAUGUUUCCUCCUGCACUAGUGCCCAUGAGGAAACUGUUUGAUAAAUCUGCAUACUUUGUCAACCACUCGUCUUGAGAAUUCUUGAUCCAGUGCAAAGCUUAGAGGCAAUCUUCAAAACUUGAGAGUUUACAAUAUAAAGUAUUCAAAAUUAAGAGUUUAGGGUGCAAAGUCUCCAAAAUUUAAAUUUAGAAUACAAAGUGAGAAACUGGUUUAAGUUCAGGAAUGCAAUGCAGAAUUUGUCCCAUCAAUAAAAGUCUAACCUUUUGCUAGAAAAGGGAUAAUUUCAAAAACUUCCCCUGAGAUUUGUGGCAAUAUCACUUUAUACCUCUGAACUUUGAGCAGUUUUAAAAAUUUAAGAAUUUUGAACUUUCUAAGUAUAGACCAAUGACUUGAAUAUCAGAGACAGACACAACUUUCUAAAAUUAUAUUUACAAACUCAUUUGAGGUGUUUUUUAAAACAUAACACGAACUUUCUUUAUUUCAAUGUAUUUUUAGAUGAAUUUACAAUUUUUUUUAGUAUUCUAACUUUUUUUUCCAAAUUGAUGGCUUGACAACAAGAGAAAGAUAAAUUAUUAACAAUACAUUUAGAAACUAAUUUGAGGUACUUUCAAGGCACAAAAUGUUAUUUUUUUUCUAAUUAUAAUAAUUUUUUCUUUUGCAUUCCUUGUCUAGACUGAUGACUUCAAAAAUUGCAAAAGGUCUUUCAACCUAAUUAAUAUGUUGUAAUUCUUAAGGAUUUAACUUGGUUUGUUAUGAAAACUAAAGGUCCACAAAAAAGUUUAAUUUUGGAAUACAAAUAUUUUAUCUCUCCCAAAAUGAGCUCUUAAAAUUGGUUGAUAAAGUUAUAAAAAGUUGAAAAUUAAGGGAGACAUGUGAGAUUUCUUAAAAUUUAGAGGUGUCAAAUGAUAUUGUCAUAAACCUCAGGAGAGGUUUUUGAAAUUAUCCCAAUAUAUAUAUAUAUAUUUCAUGGGACUUAAUCUGUCACUUCCAUUUUCUUUUUUUCUUUUUUUUUCUACCUUGUGAGAAAGUAAUCAAAAUAACGAUAAAAACGUUCUAAAAAGCAUUUCACUAGCAAAUUUUCUUUUCAUGUAAACACGUGGGUUUAUUUAAUCUUCCAAAGCAACAAAAACAAUAGUUGCUUUUAUUAAUUCAAGAUAUAAAUGAUAGGAGUUUGAAGGAUCCAUUUAAUACGUAUGAAAAAGUGUUAUUGGCUUGUGAGAAUAGCAUGCCAUUUGAAGACAUUCCUAAACUAAAUCUCCCGUACAAAGAAUCGAUUUCAAUAAUUUUGAAGAAUAGACAUCGGAUGUCCCUUGAUUUAUAUAUUUUCAUCUCCAUGGUUGGGUCAAUUUUGGUUAUAUAAAUUAUAUCUAAGAUCUGAUUUUGCCUCUUUUUUUCCUUUUUCUUCUUUUUUUUCCCCUGAUUUUGCCUCUUCAGUUAUGUUACUCCCUGUAUAGCCAGCAAUGAUGACACCCUUCUCAACUACAACUAUCAAUCAUGCAAUUAUCAAUUUCUGAAAAAUCAAAUUAUCUAUUAUCAAUCAUGCAACUACAACUAAAAACUUUCAAUACCGACUAAUACAUUUCUCUCCUACGAAUACUGGCAUGUAACAACAGUGGUGAAGAACACCCUAACCCCCCCCCCCCCCCCCUCAAAAAAAAAAUUUGGUGAGGCCACGAUUUUGUUAGAAUGCACUUUAAGAAUAUGUUGACAUCUUUUUCAUAUGUUUAGGUAUGGAUAAACUUGGGAGUCUUGCCACCUCUAUAUUUGACUAUCAGUAUAGUAUUGUUGAUUUUAUUUUUUAAUUUCUCUUAAUAAAAAAGUUUUAAUUUCUCUUAAUUGUAGAAUUAGUUUUAAGAGACACUACAAACUUCACACAUAUAGAUAAUAACACAUAAAAAUCACCAAUUACCUUCAGUCAGAUCAGAAGAAGACCGAUACUGUGGCAUCCUGGAUAUAUAUGCCUGUACUAAAUGAGUUUUUAUCAAGUUAAGCAUUAUUAAUUCUUAAACCAUUCGGAACCAGUAUGUGACAAGACUAGGUGCCAAGAACAACACAUAAUUAAUCAACAUUAUUGAUUUCCAUCUAUGAAACUUGCAAGAUGUGAGGACCCGUAAUUUUCUUAAUUUCUUUCAAUUAUAAGUUUUUCCACCUUUUCUUUAUUCGAAAAAUUGUGCAAAUAAAUUUUAUGAGUAAAUAUAGCUUUUAAAUGAUUUUUCUAGUAUCGUUUAGUUUUUGAGAAAUUAAGAGCGUAUAUUGGACGUGGGACCCGCUAGUGCUUCGGUAAAAUUCGGCCAACUAGGUUAAGUUUUGGAUACUGAAAUUAAUUUACCAGGUGUUAUGAGAUAUCUAGAGGUUGCCAAGUGGAUUGUUGUAAGAGAGACACAAAAGUUAGGCAUACAUUUAAUGAAGGUGACAUGUGUCACCAUAUGAUUAAAUCUUGUUUUGACUUACUAUUCAACCUUUUACCAUUUACCAUAAUAACUUCAAAAAUUGACCAAAAUAUCUUCAUUUCUAAGCUUCAUAUGGCCGUCCACCUUCAAGCAAUAAGGGAAGAAAAGCUCUCUAAUUUCUUUGCUCCAAACUUGCUUAAUCUUCACUUUUAACCGUUUAAUUUUAGUUUUACCCCAUAAAACCUCUUCACUUAGUGUUUGUGAGUUGUUUGGUGGAGUUGUUUGGGAAGCUAAGGUGACAAGUUGCUCUCUCUCUUGUUUUACUAAGGUGAGUAGUGGAUGAACCCCUCUCCUCCCUUAAUUGAUGCUUAAAUCAUGAUUAGUGGUGGUAUGAGAUGCAAUAUUAUGGAUUAUUUCUUGAUUUGUGGUUGAAGUGAUGAAGUUUUAUUAUUUUUGGGAAUUUUUCUGUUUUAAUAUAAGCAUGAUUGUGUGGCUAUCUAUGAUGAUUGAAAAUGGUAUAUAAUGACUCUAGGAGGUGGAAAAAGUGAUUAAUUGCAACCAAUUUCUGGUUUGGAAGAAAUUUCAGAAAAUUAGGGUUCUUGUGGGAGCAUUCUGUCCGAAUUUUUAGCUCCUAGUUAGAGGCCUAAUUGGCCUUAGCUUAAAACAUAAAAGUUGUAGGGAAUGACAUUCUAGAGGUGCCUACAAAAUUUCAGGUCAAUCGGAGUAGUGUAGAAUGAGAAAAGUCAAAAUUACCCUUGCUGUCCUGGUUUUAUCCGAAUGUAAGAAUUGCGCCUGUAAUUGGUUGUUUUGGCUGGAAUUGCUUCCGAAUUGGUUGUUGAGGCCUUCUGAUGAAAUUUAGUCCUGUUUCUUAGCUUUCAGCUGAUUUUAGAAUUUCUGGAUUUGGACUUGGAGAGCCUGAGUUAUGAUGUUUCCGCUAGAAUGCGUUUUGGUGAAUCUGUUUUACGUUUUGAUGUAGUAUCUUGCAUUUUUGACCUAUUUGCACUCAAAACUGGGUUGAGUGACCUUCUGUGAUGUUGUAGCCCUGUCUUUUAGCUUCGAAAUGGUGGGUCUUGCACCCUCAUCCAAUAAUCGUAGUGAAAUUGGUGCCAUUGCCGUAAAAUGAGGUCAAAAACUAUUUUUUUCAGGGCUAAAACUAAUUCCAUUUUCGGAUUUUUCUGGUUUCCUCUAAUGCUUAUAUAUGCUUAUAGAACCCUAUUGUGAUCGUGUUGGCAUCGAUUUAUGACUUGUAAUCGAGUCUUCUUGUAUUUAUUGGAAUAUUCUAGGGCUUGACUUUUAUUUUCGGUCAUUUUUCUAGCUAACUUUUGUACUUGGAUAACCUUGAGCCUAUUGAACGGCUGUGGUGAUGAAUGUAUAUUGAGUAUGACUUUGGGAGUUGAUUGAGGAAAAUAAUAAAGCCAUGAUGGCUGGAAAAGUAAGAAAUUUAGGGAAAGUGCUGUCCAAUUUUUCUAGGCCGAUUGGUUCCUUUAAGUUUGAAUUGGCUUGUGAUAGAAAUGAAGGGCUUUUGGGUUGUUGAACCUAAGUCUUCAUGUUACCUUUUUGUUCCCAAAAAUCAUGUUUUGUACCCUUGCAUUAGUAAUUAUUUGACGAGGCAUACGACUAGUAGUCGAGCCUCACAUGUGCAUUUUGUUUACUCGAUUCUGGAUGUGAAACCUUCAAUUGGUUUACUUUGACUAUUUUAGGGUUUCUUGGCGAUUAAAGCCAAUCCGAAGUGAAAACUUUUGAGGUAUCUGUACUUGAACCGGUGAGUGUACCACUCCCCUCCAUUGCUGUUUAACUUGAUUUCUGCUCUGCAAUCUGUUUAAUUUGUUUGAGAUGAGGGUGUACUUUAUCACACUCGUUCUCUUGUCUGUUCAUAUGCCAAUUUUGGUGUCAAUCUGAAUCUGUAUCUGUAUCUGAUAUCUGUAUCUGUAUCUGUAUCUGUUCGGACGUAAUUUGAAAACUUGUAACCAACGACCUUUCUGUGACCUAUGAGCUCAAAUCCUAUGGCUAAAUUAUUCGAGUCGGGCCGGCAAGGGCCUGGACGAUUAGAUAACGAACCACGGUAGUCUGUUUUGGGAUCUUUGGGUAUUGAGACCCUUGAUUCAGGUAUACUCGAGUAUUACCAUUUCUGUUUCUGUUGAGGUGAGCGGGCCCGGUAAAGGGGUGUUUGGUGGAUGGAAUUUGGUGUAAAGUGGGGUCUACGGACGUGUUGGUUCUAUAUACGUUGACGGAGAGUCAACCGGCUUGGAUCAAGUACUGCGCUGGAAAGCUGGCUCCUGAGAGCCACCUGUAUCCUUCCUAUUUGAGUUCUUGUGUUUACCUGUCUUACUUUAUAGCGAGCAUGUGUAUCUAGUUUGUAUAACGUGAAAUACCUGAUUUUUCUGCUACAUGUUUGGUACCUCAUUGGGCGUAAGCUCACCCCCUCCUCGUUAUCUUUGUUUUCCUUACAGGAACCUCUUUUGAAAAUCAUGAUUUUGAGAAGCGAGUUGAGCUAGUUAGAAAAUCUUUUGUUCUUUUGUAUAGCUCCUCGAGAAUGAGCAAACUCUAAAUGUAUUUCGUUUCACUGGUUCCAUUUGAAUUGUAAACCUAGCGACAUGUAUAUAUGAAAGCGUUUUCCCCAUGUUUAAACUUGGCGGUCUUCAAUCGUUCAUUUCUUUUGGGUCCUAUCUUGCGUAAUAUCGGAUUUGUGUGAUUGGACUCCGUAGUCCUGGCGAGAGUUGGGCAGGCGGUCCGCUGAACCCUUUGGUUCGCCUUAGGGUGAGGUGGGGCUGUCACAGGUGGUAUCAGAGCCACUUCGCGUGGUCUCUACGCGGAGAGAGCUUGGGCCAAGUGGUGUUAUGGCCCUACUUUUGUGAAAGCGUCAAAAGGUAUAUGUGCUCGUUUUUGCGUAAGCGAUGAACUGUGCAUGUCAUAAGUGUAAGGAUCAUUACCAUGGGACUUGCGGAAGUUAGGAAUGUAUGUCGGGUAGGAAUCUUUAAUAUGGAUGAUUUACGCUUGGGACCGGCCGGCUCGAGUUGUGAAUUAUCUUAGAUGGGAUUCUUGCACCCGGAUACGACAGAGAUGAGAGCCUAGGUUAGAAAGGACUUGGGCGAACUAGCAAUGUGAUUUGAUGGAACUUCGCACAGUCUGUUCGGGUGUUGUUAAGCAUGAUCAACCUUGAUUAAGAUAUCAAUGGUGUUGUUCUCGUAGAUUAAGGACGGAGCCCUAGAGGGGAAAACUUUUCGUUAGUUAUUCUUGUACGUGUGACAUAGUGUGUCUAUAGUACUUUUGGAUAACCCCGCUAUUUUCAUGGAUUUGUAUCUAAUUGAUUGCUACUGUGUGGCUUGUUUGAUACAGUUAUGUUAUAUAUGUAUACUUUUGAUCUGUGCGUACCUUUUGCUACUUGCUUUUGCCUACCUAUGUUUAAUAUUAUAUUCCCGCUUCGACCCUAGAUUUAUUAGACCAAUGGAAGGCAUUCGUAGUGGACGGGGCCGCGGGCGUGGAAUUAGGCAACCUAUAUCUGAGAGGCGCACUGGAGAAACCUCAUAUGAACCAAACCCUGAACCUAGGGUUGACCCCAAUGUCCAAAUAGCUGCUGUCAUGCAGCAAAUGACUGAUUUGCUAGCCCAAGUGGUGCACCAACAAGGUCAAAACCCUAACGCCAACCCUGGGAAUUCUGGUAAUCACAUAGAGGGCGAGGAUAGAGCCCUUGAGAGAUUUCAGAAGUUCUCCCCACCCAAAUUUCUUGGAGGCCCUGAUCCUGACGUAGCUGAGAAGUGGCUGGAGAAGAUGAUCGAUAUUUUCGCUACCUUACACUAUACCGAGGAGAGACAGGUAACAUUUGCUAUCUUUCAACUAGAGGGAGCCGACCGUUCCUGGUGGAAUGUCAUUCGAAUGAAAUGGAAAAGAGAACAAACCCCGAGGACGUGGGUGAACUUUAUGAGGGAAUUUAAUACCAAGUUUUUCCCUCCUCUAAUCCAAGAAAAGAAGGAAGGUGAAUUUAUUCGGCUUAGCCAAGGAACUCAGACCGUAGCCGAGUAUGAGAGUCACUUCACUCGGUUGUCUAAGUUUGCGCCCGAACUGAUUGUAACUGAACAAAGACGGAUAAGGCGAUUCAUCCAGGGAUUAUAUGUUGAAAUUCAAAAGGAUCUGGCGGUAGCCCAACUUAAUGCCUUUAAUGAUGCGGUGGAGAAGGCCCAGCGCGUUGAAACUGCAAGGUUACAAGUUAGAAACUUCCAAGUAAGAAAAAGGGGCUUUCCGGGGAGCAGCUCAGAACAAGCGGAUAAUAGUACAAUCCCUAAAGUUCGAAAGGGAAACGGGGAAGUACGGCUACCGGGGGUGACAGGUGGUGUUCCACAGGGGGGAUCAGUCUCUGCUACUCGUGAUUCCUGUGGAUAUUGUGGAGGGCCAAAUCAUACUGAAACCAAUUGCUGGAAGAAAGAAGGAAAAUGCUUGCGCUGUGGAAGCGCUGAACAUCGGAUUGCUAACUGUCCAACUCGCCUGCGCGAGCGGAGAGGGACUCCGCCACCAACCAAGACUAACUCUCAGCAACCAGCUAAGACUAACCCUGGACAGUCGAAAGGAGAAGGGACUGGAGCGAAAGUACCGGCUCGAGUAUAUUCCCUGGAGCAUCAUCAGGUCCCUGACUCGUUUGAGGACGUAGAAGGUACGAUCCGUUGGGUACCUUAGAUUUGAUGGAUUCCGCUGAUAAGAAAAUUUCGAGAACGAAAUUUCUUUAAGGGGGAGAGAGUGUGAGGACCCGUAAUUUUCUUAAUUUCUAGGUUUUUAAUUUCUUUUAAUUAUACAUUUUUCCACCUUUUCUUUAUUCGAAAAAUUGUGCAAAUAAAUUUUAUGAGUAAAUAUAGCUUUUAAAUGAUUUUUCUAGUAUCGGUUAGUUUUUGAGAAAUUAAGAGCGUAUAUUGGACGUGGGACCCGCUAGUGCUUCGGUAAAAUUCGGCCAACUAGGUUAAGUUUUGGAUACUGAAAUUAAUUUAUCAGGUGUUAUGAGAUAUCUAGAGGUUGCCAAGUGGAUUGUUGUAAGAGAGACACAAAAGUUAGGCAUACAUUUAAUGAAGGUGACAUGUGUCACCAUAUGAUUAAAUCUUGUUUUGACUUACUAUUCAACCUUUUACCAUUUACCAUAAUAACUUCAAAAAUUGACCAAAAUAUCUUCAUUUCUAAGCUUCAUAUGGCCGGCCACCUUCAAGCAAUAAGGGAAGAAAAGCUCUCUAAUUUCUUUGCUCCAAACUUGCUUAAUCUUCACUUUUAACCGUUUAAUUUUAGUUUUACCCCAUAAAACCUCUUCACUUAGUGUUUGUGAGUUGUUUGGUGGAGUUGUUUGGGAAGCUAAGGUGACAAGUUGCUCUCUCUCUUGUUUUACUAAGGUGAGUAGUGGAUGAACCCCUCUCCUCCCUUAAUUGAUGCUUAAAUCAUGAUUAGUGGUGGUAUGAGAUGCAAUAUUAUGGAUUAUUUCUUGAUUUGUGGUUGAAGUGAUGAAGUUUUAUUAUUUUUGGGAAUUUUUCUGUUUUAAUAUAAGCAUGAUUGUGUGGCUAUCUAUGAUGAUUGAAAAUGGUAUAUAAUGACUCUAGGAGGUGGAAAAAGUGAUUAAUUGCAACAAAUUUCUGGUUUGGAAGAAAUUUCAGAAAAUUAGGGUUCUUGUGGGAGCAUUCUGUCCGAAUUUUUAGCUCCUAGUUAGAGGCCUAAUUGGCAUUAGCUUAAAACAUAAAAGUUGUAGGGAAUGACAUUCUAGAGGUGCCUACAAAAUUUCAGGUCAAUCGGAGUAGUGUAGAAUGAGAAAAGUCAAAAUUACCCUUGCUGUCCUGGUUUUAUCCGAAUGUAAGAAUUGCGCCUGUAAUUGGUUGUUUUGGCUGGAAUUUCUUCCGAAUUGGUUGUUGAGACCUUCUGAUGAAAUUUAGCCCUGUUUCUUAGCUUUCAGCUGGUUUUGGAAUUUCUGGAUUUGGACUUGGAGAGCCUGAGUUAUGAUGUUUCCGCUAGAAUGCGUUUUGGUGAAUCUGUUUUACGUUUUGAUGUAGUAUCUUGCAUUUUUGACCUAUUUGCACUCAAAACUGGGUUGAGUGACCUUCUGUGAUGUUCUAGCCCUGUCUUUUAGCUUCGAAAUGGUGGGUCUUGCACCCUCAUCCAAUAAUCGUAGUGAAAUUGGUGCCAUUACCGCAAAAUGAGGUCAAAAACUAUUUUUUUCAGGGCUAAAGCUAAUUCAAUUUUCGGAUUUUUCUGGUUUCCUCUAAUGCUUAUAUAUGCUUAUAGAACCCUAUUGUGAUCGUGUUGGCAUCGGUUUAUGACUUGUAAUCGAGUCUUCUUGUGUUUAUUUGAAUAUUCUAGGGUUUGACUUUUAUUUCCGGUCAUUUUCCUAGCUAGCUUUUGUACUUGGAUAACCUUGAGCCUAUUGAACGGCUGUGGUGAUGAAUGUAUAUUGAGUAUGACUUUGGAAGUUGAUUGAGGAAAAUAAUAAAGCCAUGAUGGCUGGAAAAGUAAGAAAUUUAGGGAAAGUGCUGUCCAAUUUUUCUAGGCCGAUUGGUUCCUUUAAGUUUGAAUUGGCUUGUGAUAGAAAUGAAGGGCUUUUGGGUUGUUGAACCUAAGUCUUCAUGUUACCUUUUUGUUCCAAAAAAUCAUGUUUUGUACCCUUGCAUUAGUAAUUAUUUGACGAGGCAUACGACUAGUAGUCGAGCCUCACAUGUGCAUUUUGUUUACUCGAUUCUGGAUGUGAAACCUUCAAUUGGUUUACUUUGAUUAUUUUAGGGUUUCUUGGCGAUUAAAACCAAUCCGAAGUGAAAACUUUUGAGGUAUCUGUACUUGAACCGGUGAGUGUACCACUCCCCUCCAUUGCUGUUUAACUUGAUUUCUGCUCUGCAAUCUGUUUAAUUUGUUUGAGACGAGGGUGUAUUUUAUCACACUCGUUCUCUUGUCUGUUCAUAUGCCAAUUUUGGUGUCAAUCUGAAUCUGUAUCUGUAUCUGUUCGGACGUAAUUUGGAAACUUGUAACCAACGACCUUUCUGUGACCUAUGAGCUCAAAUCCUGUGGCUAAGUUAUUCGAGUCGGGCCGGCAAGGGCCUAAACGAUUAGAUAACGAACCACGGUAGUCUGUUUUGGGAUCUUUGGGUAUUGAGACCCUUGAUUCCGGUAUACUCGAGUAUUACCAUUUCUGUUUCUGUUGAGGUGAGCGGGCCCGGUAAAGGGGUGUUUGGUGGACGGAAUUUAGUGUAAAGUGGGGUCUACGGACGUGUUGGUUCUAUAUACGUUGACGGAGAGUCAACCGGCUUGGAUCAAGUACUGCGCUGGAAAGCUGGCUCCUGAGAGCCACUUGUAUCCUUCCUAUUUGAGUUCUUGUGUUUACCUGUCUUGCUUUGUAGCGAGCAUGUGUAUCUGGUUUGUAUAACCUGAAAUACCUGAUUUUUCUGCUACAUGUUUGGUACCUCAUUGGGCGUAAGCUCACCCCCUCCUCGUUAUCUUUGUUUUCCUUACAGGAACCUCUUUUGGAAAUCAUGAUUUUGAGAAGCGAGUUGAGCUAGUUAGAAAUCUUUUGUUCUUUUGUAUAACUCCUCGAGAAUGAGCGAACUCUAAAUGUAUUUCGUUUCACUGGUUCCAUUUGAAUUGUAAACCUAGCGACAUGUAUAUAUGAAAGCGUUUUCCCCAUGUUUAAACUUGGCGGUCUUCAAUCGUUCAUUUCUUUUGGGUCCUAUCUCGCAUAAUAUCGGAUUUGUGUGAUUCGACUCCGUAGUCCUGGCGAGAGCUGGGCAGGCGGUCCGCUGAACCCUUUGGUUCGCCUUAGGAUGAGGUGGGACUGUCACACAAGAAAUUGAGCAACAUGUUGAGAAGUACAAAGAUUUAACAUCAUUGUUCAUUUGGAUAAAUACUCAUUCUGGUAAAAACCUCUGACCUAGUUGUCUAAGUUGUUGUCACAAGAGAGAUUAUAAACUCCUUCACAACCUCACAAAGGACUUUAGUUUUGGGAAACUCAAACAUGUCAAUUCCAUGAUAACCUCCUUCAACAAAAUUAGACAUCACGGGAACACCCUCGCCUUCUAACAUUUUGGCAAUCUCAAAUUGGCGAUCAAACAAUGCAUCGUUUUCAUAUCCUGCCAUUAAAAUCUUCCAUCCUAAAGCUUUAAUCUGAUCGAAUUGUCCAGGUUUGAUGCUCAAAACUGGAUUAGAAAAUUCAUGAUCUCGGUCAGCACCUACGGGCAAUGAAAGUUCCCACAAGACAUCAGUACAACAGGGUGGUAUAAACGUGUCAUUCAGAGCCCUCAACUCCGAUUCUGUCCUCUUGUUGCCACCAAAAAAUGCUUGGUGCAAAAUCAACCCUUUAAUAUUCAAAGGCUUAAGAUCAUCAACGCAUGAAGAUGCACUCAAACCAACAUGAUAGGCAAUGUUCCCCCCUGAACUGCUGCCCAUGAGGAAACUGUUUGAUAAAUUUGCAUACUUUUCCAACCAUUCGUCUUGUGAAUUCUUGAUCCAGUGCACAGCUUCCAAGCAAUCUUCGUAGGCUGCCGGUAGCCUGUGCUCGGGAGCAAGACGAUGCUCGAUUGAUACGACUACAAACGGGACCUCAGUAGCUAAAGCUCUAUGCAAAUCAUCAAAACACCCUAAUAUAAUUUUUUUAGCCUUUCAAUUCUUUUAAUUUUAGGUUUUCCUCUUUUCUAUCUAGUUUCUCAUUUUAUUUUUAACAAAAUAUCAUAAGAUGAAAUUGUUUUCCUUUCUUUUAUUUUUUUUCACUUUCUUCUCUAUUUCAUCCUUUUCAAUAGAAAUUCUAUUUCAACAAAAAUUUUUGUUUUGAGUUUGUAAUUGUAUAUUUCUGGGUGAAGGUUUAAAAGGUAUCAAAAACUAAUUUUGAUUUUUUGUAUAAUGCUACGUGUCACAAAUUUCAAUCGAUGAUUAUUAAUCAUGUCACAAUUUCAUUUUAAGAUAUUUUCUUGAGAAUAAAAUGAGAAACUAUAAAGAAAAGAGGAAAAUCCAAAAUUAAAAGAAUUGAAAAGCUAAAAAAAUUGUAUUUUAGGAAAGUGAUUUGAAUAUUUUUCAAACAAUGCCUAAAUGACGCUAGUUGUUUGGAUUGAUUAUAUAGUGUAAGAAAACCUACUUCAGCGAGAGUAGGUGCGGUGGCCGGAGACGGCGCUACUAGCGUGACGGCCCCACUUCUCCCUAAGGCGAACCAGAGGGUUGGCGGGUCGCCUGCCUAGCUCUCGCCAGGACUCACGCAAGCAAACCGACCAAAUAUCCACGUAUAACUUAAACCAAAACACAAUUCGCCAUCCGAACAUGCCAACUUUUAAGCGACUUGAAUACUAAAACACAUUAACUUCAGAGAUAACCUUACCAUUGAACAUCCACCCGUUCACUCCUAAAUACAUCUCCGACCAGAUCACCACAUAAAUUCAAAUAUACAAUAGAAACCACACAGUAAGUUCAUAAAGCUCAGAUAACAUUCAUACAAGCCAAAUCUUAGGGUUUGCACUUUUCCAGCUUCAGGUGACAACCCAAAACAAAGAUACAAGUACGAUUCGAAAUAAUAUUUACAAAAUGAUAAGAUAGACUUCAAGUCUCUCGAUUUCCGGAACUUGUUAAGGAAAACAAAUAUCGUGUGGUGAGCUAAAGCUCAGUGAGGUUCCGAACACAGGCAACAAGAAAAUCAACGCAUUCAUUACAUAUAACCAAUAAUUCAAGAUACAAGCACAAAUAAAGCAAUAAACACAUUCAUGAAAAGGAUACGGGCUCACAAGGAGCCAUAUGUUCGUUCGUUCGUUCGUUCAUUCUCCUGACAUUUCCCCUUAUUCCUCCAGUCAUUUGCAAAAUGCAUUUUGUAUAAGUAAAAUCCCUCGUUCAUUCAUUCGUUCAUUCCUCUCAUUCACCCCGUCCCUGGCUUUUGGCCAGGCUCCACCAACCUACAAGGUAAUACUCGAGUAUACCGGAACGUUCACCCAGGUCCCUAAUCGCCCAAUCGAGUCCGCUUCUGGCUCGAGACGAUCGGUAACAAGGGCAAUGGCCAGUUCAGCCCAAAAGGCUUACAUUCAUGCGCAAGUAACAUGUCAAUCGUUCAAUCAUUAAAAUUUCACAAUCAUUUAGGCUAAGUGCGAUAAAGUACACACUCGCCUUGAAAACUCAUUUUGACAAUCAUUGAAAGCACUUAACACAUUAUCAAGCAAUAAGAUCAAGCCAAUAAGUCAAGGAAAUAUAACAAACAAGGAACACUCACCAAGAGUGUAGUCACAACUCACGCGGGGAAUCGAAAUCUGCGUCCUCGCUAAACCCUAGAAAUCCAAGUUUUAAAAACUAUAAGUUUUACUAAGCAAACCCUUGUUUUAUAUAUAAAAGGUUAUCUUAUAUAAAACUAAUUUAAUUUCCCGCAACAAGUCAAUAAAUUUCUAAAAAUCAAAGCUAGUAAAGGAAUAAAAUGUUUCGUGUGGUUUCUUUAAAGGUAUUUCCCCUCUAGAGGCAAACUAGAACCAAAUUGGUUUAAACGGUUUUUUUGCCGAAUAAGUUUUCUAUCCUUUUAUUUGAAAUCAUUCAAAUCUAGUAUUUUUUCAAAUUUCCUUUAAAACAACUAGUCAAGAAUAGUUUUAUGGAACUUAAAGUUUAAAAGUUAAAUACAAUUACUCCCUAAAGGUAAUAAAACUAGCUUAAGCAAAAUAAAAGAAUUAACUAGUCGGCAAGGUUUUUAAAGUCCCAAUAUCUAACUUUUUAAUAAUACAUACUAAACUCAAAUUCUAUCACUUGAUAUUAAAGCUGAGUAUUCCCACGAAAUUUGAUUUUGAAAGUAUUCAGGUUCAAGAAAACCAAAACGGUUUUUACAAUUCUAGCUCAUUUGCACAAUGGAUUCCCAAGUCACCAAGAUUGAAACAUUACAAACCAAAUAUCAAUUUCACUAGGGUUUCAUCAAUCAUUAGCCCUAGGUCUCAACAAAUUCUAGUACAAUUAAAAUUCAACAAAGGAAGUCCAAGGUACUAAAGCAAUCCCAAAUCACAACCCAUGGACCUUCCAAGUACAUUUCAACCAACCACUUGAACAAAUUCACCAAAAAUUAAAUUAUUGCAAAACUACUCAAAUGGUCAAGAGCUUCAUCAAUCAUUAGCUCUUGACAACCAAUACUCACUAAAAGAUCUCAAUUAGUUCGGCCAGCUUUCAAAUCAAAUUUCCAACAAUAGAGUAGUUUAUUUAUAUAGCUUUUGUUCCUAGUUUUCUUCAAUUCUUACCUCAGCUCAACAUGCAAAAGGUGAUUAGCAAGCUUCAAGCAAAUCUUAAACAGCCAAUAUGAAAAUCUUAAUUAAAAUUCGAAGAAAAAUUAAUUAAAUGCUCUCGACCAAGCUGGAAUAUUUUUUUAACAGCUUCCCAAGUGCUUGAAGUACAAAUUUUACUCUCCCUUUUUUUUUCACGGCCCAUUUCGGCUACAUGCAGAACCAAACCAUGCUAAUACAUAUGUAUAUACAUAAUCCAGUUUAACAUAGAAAUUCAAGACCCAAAGUCAUAAAAUUUGUUAGGAAUCUGUCUAGUUCCUCUCUUGGAUAAGCUGGAAAAUUUUUGCAGCAGAAAAUCUCUCUCGGUUUCAAUCCAAAAUUCAACUUUUCCUCAAGCUUUCUUCAACUAAACCUUCCAAAAAUCUAAGACUCACAUAUCACAUGCAAAAACUACCAUUAGUUUCCAUUUUUCUUCAACAGUAACAGGCGGUAACUCACAUGCAAGCUCUCGGCCACAUUUUCAGUUUUUUCCCUUUUUUUUCUUUCUUUUUUUUUCUUUCCUCACGGUUCAUCAGCUACAUGCAUGACCCAAAAAUCAGUUAUCUAUCAGUUUUGAUCUAUAAGCAAGUUCGGACAACAUCAAAACAUUACUCAACCAGAAAUUCAAACAAUCCUGCUCUCGGUUGGCUUGCAUGCAACCUGAUUUUGUAUCUUUUCAAUUUUCUGUCUUAAUCAAGGUUAAUUACCUUCAUACAAAGCUUAAUCAUCCAGGUUUUAGUUGAUUAAAUGUGCAUCUAGGCUCGGAUUAUCACAGAUUAGCUAAUUAGAGUUACAAAUUUCCAGCUCAAACUUUCGGCAGCUUCAAUUCUUCCAAACCAGAUUUCUUAAGUCUCAAUUCCUCAUCUAACCUCACAAACCCACAUGCAUGCGUAUAGACAGCUUCAUCAACCUAUAAACAAUUCAUCUAAGUCCAGAAUUUACCUUAGCUUGAAGCCUAAAACACACGACUAGUAGCUGCAACAAACCUCCACUCUUGGCUGUCCAGAAAUUUAGCCUGCUAGUUCUUCCUCUCCCUUGCUCAAGCUCGGCACUAGGAUGAAGAAAAUCUGGUCUCAAGCUCUUCACCAGCUCACGGAUGAAAGACAAACUGAAUCGCAAGUCCCUCUCUUCCCUCUCUAGUUUACGGACAGAGAGAAAAGAAACAAGAAGCUCGGCUCUUUCUCACUCUCUCCCGAUCGAUAAUUCCAAGGCUGCUCCCUCACAGUUCACGGCAGGAAAGAAAUUGGAGUUGUGAGAUUGUGGUGAAGUGAGAAUGAUAUAAUGAAGUGUGUGAGUAGUGUAAUGUAUAUAAGGUGAGGCUGUGAGUGGAGUUGGUCGGCAAUAUCAAAUGGAAAAGGCUGGAAUGAAACGUGGGAAAUGGAACCGGCAGGAAUUGGAAUUGUUUGGAAUGUUCCAUGGCUGCAUGGAUAAAUUUGACUUGGAGAAGGCCAAUUUGGUCUUUUCACAAUUCACCCGAGUUUCCUACUUAAACCCUCAAUUCUAAACCAAAUCCAAAAUUUACCCCAAUUGUAAAUCAAAUGCCUACUAAUAUCCUAACCUUGCAAAAUUCAAUUAUCGAGAUUUUAACCUCCUAAGUGUACCCAAUGUACUUGUAACGGUUUAUCAAAAAUAUAUCGAUUCAUGUUAAUUCUAAGGUUCCUAUUAACACUUAAUGUUAUUAACGCUUAAAACUAGCUAUCGGAAAUUCAAGGAAUUAAUCUUAAAACAAUAAAAUAGUUUACAUCAAGAAAUAUUAUUCUAACUUGGCGAGAGUCAAAUAACUCAAUAUUUUGCACGAUUAACGUGUUUGCAACUUUAAAAUUGUUUUUAUAUACUUAUUCAAAGACAAAAAUUCAUUUUCCUGAAGAAACGAGACAUUCAAGCAGGACAGCCUACUUCUUGAGCAAAUUAAUGAUUUCAAUGGUAAAUUUAUAAUACGUAAGUGAUCACUUAUCAUUCUUACCUUAUUAUUUAAGCUAUUAAAAUCAAGUUUGACCUUAAUAUAUAAAUUUAACAUUCUUAAUAUUCGUUUAUCCUUUUAUAUCAAAACUUAUUAACUCAAUCAUUUUCAAACCAUGAACAUACCUAUCUUCAAGUUUAACUUGUAUACUCAUUCAAUCUAAUAUACUUUAUAUACAUAUCUCGCACAUAAAUACACAUAACAACAAGGCCUUCCAUUGUUUCCAACGAUUAGUUAACAAAUUUGCACUUAAGAGGAGAAAAUGAGAAGAAACAAUAGACUAAGGAAAUAUGCAAAUUCUAGGGUUCUCACAACUAGAGUAGGAGGCACCAGCUAUCGUGGCCACCCAAUGGCGAUUCUGAGGACAGCGGUGGCGACGUGCGCGAGGAGGGAGAGCAACGUGCAAUCGAGGAAGGCGGUGGCGCGUUGGGACGGCGGUUGGUGGUAGAGCGGUUGGCCGCGGCGUAUGAUAGCGGCGGACGGCCGUGGGCGUGAGAGGGAGAGGGAAAGACGCACGGGGGCAAACGGACAGCGGCGGAGGCGCGCGGUGGCCGUGGGUUUGCGUCACUGUUCGUGGCGGCAGCGGUGGCAGUGGUGGUUUGCUGUGAAGAGGAAGUGAGCGGAGGCGGCGGUGGUCGGAUAUUGUAGCGAAAAGGGGAGAAAACCAGGGGCGACUAAAGGAAAUAAGGAAAGAAAAGACAAGAAAGGAAAAAGUAGAAAAGUAGGGUUCAGAGUGGGUCCAAACGCUGUUGACUUUUUGUUUUUAUAUGUCGCGAUGCUCAGUAAGGCGUGAGCACGUCUUGGAAGCCGAAGUUGUCUGCCUCCCUCGUUGUAACAGGGCCUAUGCGAUUCGCUGUGCGGCAUGGGCACGCCUUGGGAGUGUAAGUCCUCUGUUCAUCACUCUUUAAAAACACCCAUUUGUACUUAAUACAAGGCGUGGGCACGCCUUAGAACAGAAAGCCUUCUACUCCAGAAUUUUACCUCUAAUCCAAAAUAAAACGGCACAGAACAUACCCACGACCUAUAAGAAAGAUUUUCUGUCAAUAGGAACCUAAAACAAUUUGAACUUGAACACACAAAAACAUGAAGUAAAACACAAAAAUUGAAACUCUUGGAUUGCCUUCCAAGUAGCGCCUCUAUUUAACGUCUGUGGCCAGACCAAAAGUAUUUUAACAAAUUAAUUAGACCCGGGGUUGAGCAACUGGACCUCCUCCACAGUGCCAAUUUCUGAAACAUCUAUAAACGGUUUGAGACGAUGACCGUUAACUUUAAAACUUUUGUUAGUCUCAAAACUUCUAAUUUCGACUGCACCAUUGGAAAAAAUGUUGACAAUAACAUAAGGUCCAAUCCUUCGGAACCGCAACUUACCUGACAUGAAUUUCAAUCGAGAGUUGAACAGAAGUACUUUUUACCCUAUCGAGAAUCGCUUAUUACGCAAUAGUUUAUCAUGGAUGGAUUUUGUGCGUUCUUUGUAAAGUUGGGCAUUAUCGUAAGCCUCCAAGUGGAUUUCUUCCAACUCUUGAAGUUAGGGUUUCCUUUUCUUGCCAUAUCUAUCCGCGUUCAAAUUACACUACUUAACUACCCAAAACGCACGAUACUCAAUUGCAACAGGUAAAUUACACAUCUUACCAUAAACCAACCGGUAGGGAGACAUUCCGAUUGGUAUUUUAUAUGCCGUGCGAUAGGCCCACAAGGCAUCAUCCAAUCGGGUGCUCCAAUUCUUGCGAUUUGGGUUGACUGUUUUCUCCAAAAUACUUUUAAUCUCACGAUUAGGGACUCAGCUUGCCCGUUGGUCUGUGGGUGGUAGGUAGUAUCCACUCGAUGGUGAACUCCAUACUUACGCAUCAGUGCUUCAAUGGUGCGAUUGCAGAAAUGAGUACCUUGGUCACUGAUGAUUGCUCUAAGCACACCAAACCUACUAAAAAUGUUGGAUUUAAGAAACCCUGCAACAACUCGUGAAUCAUUAGUUCGGGUAACCUUUGUUUCUACCCAUUUCGACAUAUAGUCUACGGCUAACAGGAUAUAAAGAAAAUCAAAAGAACUGAAAAACGGUCCCAUGAAAUCCAUACUCCAGACAUAAAAAAUUUCACAAAAUAACAUAGGAACCUGAGGCAUUUCAUCCUGGUGAGCAAAACGCCCAAACUUUUGGCAUUUUUCACAUCUCUUACAGAACAAGUAAGUAUCACGAAACAAGGUUUGCCAAUAAAAGUUACAAUCAAGUAUUUUUCGAGUAAUUUUUUUAGGACUAAAGUGACCACCACAGGCAUAACUAUGACAAUGAGUAAGUAUAGAAUGAAUUUCUUCAUUUGAAACACAUCGACGAAUGAUCUGGUUCGAACCUAUUUUUCACAAAUAGGGAUCAUCCCAAAUAUAAUAUCGAGAGUCCUGUAUUAUUUUAUUCUUCUUAUUCUUACUCAUACCACUUGAAAAUUUGUGACUUACCAGAAAGUUAACAAUAUAAGUAUACCAAGAUUCCUCACCUCUAAGCUGAAAUAAGUGUUCGUCUGGGAAUACCUUGGAUAUGGGCACUCCCUCUUCUUCUCGAAUCAAUAGGUUCAAAUGGUCUGCCAUUGAAUUAUCCGUCCCUUUUCGAUCCUUGAUCUCCCAGUCAUAUUCUUGCAGUAGGAGUAUCCAAUGAAUGAAUCUUGAUUUGGACUCCUUUUUUGUCAAAAGGUAUUUUAAGCUUGCAUGAUCAGAGAAAACUGUUACUUUCGAUCCUAACAAAUACGAUCAAAAUUUUUCAAAAGCAAAAACAAUCGCUAAAAACUCCUUCUCGGUGGUGGUGUAGUUGCAUUGAGCUGGCGACAACGUUUUUGACGCAUAGUAAAUGACAUGGCUACAGUUCCUAUUUCUCUAAUCGAGUACAACUCCUACCGCAUAUUGAUUGGCAUCACACAUAAGUUCGAACGAUAGGCUUCAAUUCGGAGGUUGAAUGAUCGGUGUCAUGGUUAACAUGCUCUUUAGUGUAUCGAAGGACACUUUACACGCAUCUUCAAAAUCAAAUGGUGCCUCCUUUUGAAGUAGUCGGGACAAUGGUUGUACAAUUCGAGGGAAAUCCUUGAUGAAUCAUCUGUAGAAACCUACAUCGCCAAAAAAACUACGAAUCUCCUUGAUAUUAGUGGGAUAAGGCAAGCUAGUAAUCAAAUCAACCUUUGCUUUAUCGAUUUCGAUACCCCUAGACGAAACAACAUGACCCAAAACUAUACCUUCCUUAACCAUAAAAUGACAUUUUUCAUAAUUAAGAACCAAAUUUGUUUCAAUGCACCGCUGUAAAACUUUGGUUAAAUGAUGUAAGCAUUGAUCAAAUGAAUCACCGUAGGCUGUGAAAUCAUCCAUGAAUAUUUCAAUGCAAUUUUCAGUCACGUCAGAAAAAAUACUCAUCAUGCAUCUUUGAAAUGUUUCAGGAGCAUUACACAACCCAAAAGGCAUACGGCGGUAAGCAAAAGUGCCAAACGGGCAAGUGAAAAUGGUUUUGUGCUGGUUCUCUUGGGCAACAAUGAUUUGAUAAUACCCAGAGUAGCCAUCAAGGAAGCAAAAGAAACACUUACCUGCCAAUCUCUCGAGCAUCUCAUCGAUGAACAGUAAUGAAAAAUGAUAUUUUCUUGUGACCGCAUUCAAUUUCUUGAAGUCAAUAUACAUUCUCCACCCAUUUUGAAGUCUCAUUGGCACCAACUCAUUCUUCUCAUUCCGCACAAGUGUCAUGCCGGUUUUUUUAGUGACAACAUGCACUGGACUUACCCACUCACUAUCGGAGAUAGGAAAAAUAAUUCCUAAUUUCAAUAGCUUGAGAAUCUCCUUCAUUACCACCUCUUUCAUGGCUGAAUUAAGCUUCCUCUAAUAUUCCCUCAUUGGUUUUGCAUCCGACUCAAGUAGAUUAUGAUACAUGCAAACGGAUGAAUUUAUACCUUUGAUAUCUGUCAACGUCCAUCCAAUUACAGGUUUAAACUCUCGCAACACUCGUCAGAGUUUUUUUUUCUUGUACUGCUGUCAGAUCACUCACAAUGAUGACCGGCAGAGUGUUAUGAUCUCCUAGAUAAACAUACUUCAAGUGCUUUGGCAAUUCCUUCAAUUCCAACUCUGGUGCCUGUUCAACAGAGGGUAAAAUUCUCUCAUUAGAAAUAAGCAAUGAUAAAAAUGCGUCUACUGACCUGUCAGGAAAUGCAGGAAGUGAAUGUAGUGACAUAAUUACUUCUACAGUAUCCUCAUCAUCCACGCUUUCCACCUCUUCAUUCAUCUUGCUCUGUUGUAACAUAAAUUUCAGCUUGUCCGCCAUAAGAUUCUGCUCAAAAUGAUCUUGCACAAUGGAAUUAGUAACACAAAAAUAAUUAAUAGACUCAGUAUCAUCUAGGUAUUUCAUCACAUCAAAAAUGUUAAAAGUAAUUGUCUUCCCGUCAAAUUUUACAGACAGGGUACCUUCAUGUACAUCUAUCUUUAUUCUAGCAGUACUCAUGAAUGAUCUACCCAGAAGAAGUACAGCUGAAUUAACUGAGGUAUCAUCAUUCAUGUCAACAAUAUAGAAGUCAGUUGGAAAGAUAAACUCAUUAACUUUUACUAAGACGUCUUCAACUACACCCUCAGAAUAAACAUUUGACCUAUCAGUUAGUUGAAUUACUACCCUUGUCUCUUUUAGAGGUUCUAAAUUUAAGGUCCUAAAUAUUGACAGAGGUAUAAUGUUAAUAGAUGCUUCUAGAUCAAGCAUACCUCUUUCUAUCCUCUUCUAGCCUAUGAUGCAUGGUAUCUGAACAUAUCUGGAUCCUUGCAUUUUUGCGGUAACUUUCUUUGAAGGACUGCUAAUACAUUUUCACCGACCUUUAGUUUGUCUUGAACAUUCAACUUGUUUCGGUUAGUGCACAACCCCUUCAGAAACUUUGCAUAUUUUGGUAAUUGCCGAAUCGCAUCAAGCAAAGGGAUGUUGAUUUUCACUUUCCUAAAGGUGUCCAAGAUCUCCUUCACUGAGUCCUCUUUUUUGGCUUUAGCCAACCUGCCAGGAAACGGAGAGUUAAUGUCAAAGGUUUUAGGAACAUCUGGCGGGGUGCUUACUUUUUCCUUCUCAAGCUCCCCGGAUACUUGGUCAUCCUCCACUCCUGCUGCUUCUGAUUUUGAGAACUGCACCUUCUUGCCACUUCGUAGAAGCAUUGUACUUGCGUUCUCCUUUGGAUUGGGAAUUACUUGAGAUGGUAACUUUCAUUUACCAUUUUCAAGGUUACUCAUUGAAGACGCUAGUUGUGACAUUUGCGCUUCCAAAUUUUGAAUGCUGGCGCGAGUCUCUUAUUGAAAUCUCUGUGAGUCCUACUGCAUUUGACAUGUGCUAUUGGCUAGUGAUUUGACCAUAUCUUCAAGGGACACCCCUGAAUUAGACGCGAAUGGUUGCUGUACUGGUGGUCUCUGCUGGAAUGGUCGUUGGAAACUCGAGGGUUUUGGAGCAUAGUUGAAGUUGGGGUGGUUCCGCCAUUGUAUGUGGGCGCAUAUUGGUCAUUCCUCCUUUGGGGUGGUCCAGGCAGACCUCCCAUGGUGCUGGCUUGCUCGUGAGAGUCUUCUUGAAGGGUUGGGCACAUAUCAGUCGCAUGUUCAGGGGCAGCACUUAUCCCGCAUGCUUUAGCUGCAUGUAAAUGCCCUACUGCCAUCUGACGAACCAGAGCAGUUAGUAAAGUUAAUUUAUUCGCGAGGUCAGAAUGAUUCACCUCAUUGACCCUUCUAGUCACUCACUUUGAUCUGACUCCAAACUGUUGAGAGUUCUCAGCCAUGUUAGAGAUCAGCCGUUUGGCUUUAUCUGUUGUCAUAUUUACUAAAGUACCGCCACUCGCUGCAUCUACCAUGCUUCUAUCCAUGGGUAGCAGUCCCUCGUAAAAGUACUGGAUCAACAGUUGGUCAGGGAUCUGAAGGUGUGGGUAAUUAGCACACAGCUGGUUGAAUCGCUCCCAAUAUUCGUAGAGAAUUUCUUCAUUGGUCUGCCUACACUCCACAUAUCUCCUUUUUGAUGUUGGCGGUUCUAGAAGCUGGGAAGAACUUCUCAAGGAACUGUCGUUUCAGUCCCUACCAAGUAAUGAUGGACCCCAAUGGCAAGUAGAACAACCAGUCCUUAGCCUUGUCUGCUAAGGAAAAGGAGAACGCACGCAGCUUGAUUUGUUCCUCCGUAACUUCCUGAGAUUUCAUGGUUGAACACACUACAUGAAAUUUUUUCAAGUGUUUGUGUGGGUUCUCUCCUGCAAUACCACGAAAAGUAGGCAAUAAGUGAAUCAACCCAAAUUUUAAUUCAAAAGGCUCCUCAGUGUCAGGAUACGUAAUGCACAGAGGUUGUUGGUUAACGUUCGGAGUUGCAAGUUCCCUUAAAGUCCUUUGGGUUGCAAUUAUUUUGUUGGGUCCAGUCAAGUCUGUCUCCAGUUCAACUGAUGAAUCACCAAAGUCAAAAUUUUGUUCAACUCCGGGGGAUAGUGCCGCUGAAGCAUGUUGCUUUUGCAACUUAGUCUCCUUCGUCAAUCUCCUUACGAUUUUCUCGAUUUUUGGGUCAAACUCGAGUCUUCGUGUACUGGAAGAUUGAGGCAUAAAUAGAGGCUAAACAAGCCUGUGCAAUAAAUCACUUCAAACACCAGGUCCUCGGCAAUGGCGUCAAAAUUUGGUGGCUGUCAAACUAUCAAAAAUAAAAUUUAUAUCAAGACCUACUACCAAAACUAAACGAGUAUAGUGGUGAGUAGGAUCGUCUCCUCAAGAAUCCGGUAGAUUUAUCACACAGAUAAUUUGGGGGUUUUAGGAGGGAAGACAAAAGCACAAAUAGAGAAGCUAAGAUUACUGAAUUUAAAACUCACAAGCAGUGCAGUAACUAAAAAAUAUAAUUAACAAUUAAUUGACACAACCUAGUCAAGGAGAUAAUCUCGACACCGGCUCAUGCAAUUGAUCAUAGAUAACAGGAAUAAUUCACAUGUUCGCAAAUAAAUUGAUUCUAGCAAUUUAGCAACCGCCAAACUACCAAUCUCUCCUUAAUUAUAUAGUAGUUUAGAGACACUCUUAAACUACCCCCUUGUAAAAUAGAUAACCCCAAAGACGCUCGAAAGAUUUAAUCUAUUCACAGAUUUAGGAAUUAGAGAGACCCAAUUCUAGUUAACAAACACACAUGCGGGUUUAUUUAAACUAAAUUAGCCAUUCCUAUGGCACCGAUUAAACCACUUGCGAGGCGAUUAAAUUGUGUUGCUUGCCACUAACUUUAAGACAAUCAAGUGAUACGCACCCUCGUCUUAAUUGGCAGUGUACUAUUCAAACUAUUGAACAAUUGGCCACAUUGAUCCAAAAGAUCCAAACAAUAAUAGGCUAUUAAAAUAAAGAAUAAUUAAAUACCGACGAACGCGGAAUUUAAAAUAGAGCAAAAUAAUUAAAAUGGUCUCUUGUUUUAAUCAUUUAAUAGGCAUUGUUUAAUAGGCAUUUAACAAUGGCGCUAGUUGUUUGGAUUGUUUAAUAGUGCCAUUUGAAAUCCACCGCACCUACCGCACCUACUCUUGCACUAUAUAAUCCGCUCGCCAUGGUUGUUCCCCGUGGGUUUGCCAAGUGGUAACCCUAACUACUCUCUAUUUGCCAUUGGUGCCUAUACUUUGGAGUUUUUCUGUUGAAUUUUAUCUUCUUACUUGGGCCGCAAUUGACGAACCCCUGGGAUGUUUACUUGUGCUCAUCGCCCCGCAUUUGUAAUAUUUGUGGGUUUUUGUUUUGGUUGUGGUGGGUCUGUGCUUUGACCCACGUGGCUUGGUGAUUUCUAGUUGCUGGGUACAGAUUGAGUGUUGAUUGCAUUUUUGGAGUAUUUUGUCUGCCAUUCUUUACUUUUCUUUGACAAAGUGAUGCCAGUAGGGUAUCCUUGUUUCUGCACUGUCAUUUGUUGUUGACUGUUGACUAUGGGUGCUGUCAUUUGUCUCCAUUUGGUGUUUUCUUGUCGGUUCUGUACCUUUGUAAUUGACAUCUUUGCCCCUACAUGGCUCCGAAAAAAGCCACUCCAUCUGAGGCAUCGAGUUCCAACACUCGUAAGAGGCGGGCCCCGAUUCAACCUCCUACUAGGUCCUGAUUGGGUCUUUCUAGAAGUGCUCUGUCUCCUAGGGCGUGGGGGGAACUUCUAAAGGACCUCACACCUGAGCAAAAGGAACGGUUGAGCUCCUUGGUGGUCCGUCUGUUUGCCCCAUGCAAAUAUUUUCAUCCCCCGACUCUAGACCAGUUGAACAUUGCUAGAAAAGUGGAGCAAUUGUUCUCUGCCAUUGGGUGGGAACAGUUUCUGGUUAUUGACUACCCCUCGUACGAGGAGUUCUGUUAUGAGUUUUAUGCCACUUUCGAAUUUGAGAAAUCUAAUUCUCUAGCAUUAGAUACACCGGGGGUGGUUAAAUAUAGGUUACGGGGUACCCCACAGGCACAUUCCAUUAAUGAGUUCAACCUAAUCUUGGGGUUUGUGAGUGAGGACACUUUCUCCUCCGACACAUCUAUCAAUAGUGCAUGCGACUUCACCCACUCCUUUGCUAGCAAUUGUAUCGAGAUCUGAAGGGAGUGGUCCACAGACACUCAAUUCUACGAUCCGAAUCAGUCCAAGACCUCCUAUCUUAAGGAUCCAGUGUUGAAGGUCAUUCACAGGUUUCUGGCCUAUAACUUCUCGGGCCGGAAAGAUUCCUCCGGCACUCUCGCCAAGGCUGAAUUUUAUUUCCUCUGGUGCAUGCGUAACAAGGUCCAGGUCAACUUUGGCUGUUGGGUAGCCUCUCAGUUGCAGUCCGUCCUCCGCAAGCGCCAUAAACCCUUGAUUAUGGGCUCAUUCAUCACACACUUGGCCGUCUGCUUGGAAGUGUUUGACCUUGAUAAGGACCCUAAGUAGAGGUGGCAAUUUUCGAUACGAUUUGAAAACACGACACGAAUCUAACACGAAAUUAAUGGGUUUGGAUUGAGGUUUCGCGGAUUCGAGUCAGAAUCGGGUCGAAGCCGAUGGACCCGAAAAGAAAACGGGUCGAAUUCGGGUCAACCCGUGGGUGAUCUGAUAUGACCCGAUAACCCGUUUACGAAUUAAAAAUAAUUUAAUAAAUAUAAAAAUUAUUUUAUCUAACUAAACUAAGUUAUUCUUUUUUUCCAAAGACAUUAAUCACUUAAUCCUAAAUGAAUUUAUUUAACUUGUGUUAAGUUGAAAUUAUUAUAUUUGGAUAAAUAAUGUAUUAUAUUAAUUUUUAUUUUUAUACUGUUUUAAUUUAUUUUAUAUUUGAUUUGGGAUAAAACACUUUUACGAUAUUUUAAUUUAUUUUAGAUUUGGUUUGGCAUUAUUUAUUUAAAUUUGUAUUACUUGAUUAUGUAAUUAGUCUUGUACGAAAUUGAUUUUAUUAGAAAUUACAGUGGUAAAUUAAUAAAUUAAAAUUAAGUUUCGGGUCAUUUCGAGUCGACCCGCCAACCUGAAAUUUCGGGUUCGUGUCAGGUUUUCUGACCCGUUUCGAGUUAGCGGGUCAGGUUCAGGUCAGCGAAUUUUUUGUUAUACCCGGAUCUCAACCCGACCCGUCAACCCAAAACGGAACCAAUUGCCACCCCUAACCAUAAGCUCACCGGGCUCGCGAGCUUGAGCCUUUGGACCUGCGCAGUUUGGAGCGGAUGGGCGUCAUUCGCAAGGUGGGGGAGGCCUAUCAGCUCACACCUCCUGGAGAGGGUGUGCCCCAACCCCGAGUUCCACCUACUGCGCCCACCUCGGAGGCUGGUCAGGUAGGUCCUUCCUUCUCCGCUGCUCCAUCCUCUUGGGACACCCAGUUCCAUACUCUGCAGGAUUCGAUUCAUGACUUGGGCAGUUGGGUUGAAUGUCUGGAUGACCGUCUCGCAGCCUUGCAGGUCCAUGCUACUAUUCAGACCGAAAAUCUGGCGGUCUUCUUUGCUCACAUUAAUUUUUGGCCGCCUCAUCCUCCUUCCCCUUAUUGCUGUCGUGCCCUCGUUGGCCUUCAGGGAAGCUCCUAUUCUUGUCUUUUUGCUGGCUGUUUUUCUUUGCUCCAUUGAGGACAAUGUAAAUUUCUGGUGUGGGGGGAGUAGUUCUAGCUCUUUAGUCUUUAGGUUUGUUAGAUAGUUUUAGCUCUUUAGGACUGUUAAUAAAAAAAAAAUGGUUAACAAAAAGAUCGAAAUAAUCAGAAAAAGUUACAAAAAAAUAUAUGUGAUGAAUUAGUUUGGCUUCAGUUGAAAUGUCUAGAACUUGAUGCUAUGAUGAUGAUUGCAAUUACUCUACAUGCAUGAGCAAUGAUUUUAUGUGGUUGAAUGUCUUAUCUUCUUAAUAAUGGAAUUGAAUGAUGACGUUUGCAAGACUUGGCUAUUAAUAUCCUGUUGUAAGCUGUCGAGUCAAUGAGCGUUGCAUUGAUAACUGUUCCAUUUUCUUUCAUUAAGUGAUAUCACACAUGAUUUGAUUAUUUUAGAACUUGCUUCGUUAUGCAUGUCAAGACCACAUUCCUGAAUUUGAUGCAUUAAAUUGAUAAGGGCACUUAGGUUAACCAUUUUUUUUUACUUUCUAAAAAUCAACCCUAAUCAGAUCUCCCCUAGUUGACCAUGGUUGAGCCUAAACCUUUUUGUUGUUUAAUAGCUCAUUUGUCACUCCUAAAUCCUUUGUGUUUGAACCCUCUUUAUUUCUAACCCCGUGUCAAAGGAAUGCCUUGAUUUCCGUGCAUGAUGAUUUCGAAUUGGAUUAAAAGGGGAUGAUUGAAGUUAGCAAGAGUGUCUAUAUUUCCAUGUAGUUGUGCGCACUUGAAAAGGACAAAAGAAAAAAAAAGAGAAAGAGAAGAAAAGGAACACACAAAGAAAAAUAAAAAGAAAAAAAAAAGGGAAGAAACAAAAGAGUUUUGAAGUACUUUUAUCAAUAUGUGUUCUGUUGGGAUAAGUGGAUGAAGUUCUUGGUUGUAUUUGCACUUGCUAAUUUUUGAAAAAUUUAUAGGUAUGCUUUGAAAAGAUCAUUGGAAUGAAGAAGGCAAUUGGAAUUCAUGCAGUGGGUCAACGGUAUUGCCUUUGACAUAAUAAGCCUAAAUUACCUAUUUGAUCCAAUCCGUGCCUGAACACCAUUACAACCCGUUUCAAGACCCUUUUGAUUUUUGUAUUAAAUUUGGUUUUAGUGGUGACAAUGUGAUAUAUUAGCAAACAUAUGGUAACAUCAUUUUAUAGUGUGGUGAGAGUGACCUUUUGUGCCUCAUGUCGGAGUGGUGAGUAAUCAUAUACCAUUCUAUAAGAGAGAGUUAAGUCUUGAAAUUUCUGAAUUUGAUGACAUUGUUAGGAGGAUGGGACACUUGAGCUCGCACGGUUGAACUGCUGCACGUGUGUAGCUGUACUUGUAUCUCUGAGAUUUGAGAUGCUUGAGGACAAGCAUUGUCUUGGUGUGGGGGGAUUUGAUAGUGAGAUAAUUGUGCAUUUUAUUUGAUGGUGUUUGGUCUUGAUUUUGGCCACUUAUUGUCCAGAGUAAUGAGUUUCUGCUCAUAAUUGGUAUCGGUGUCUGUUACAGGCGAUAAGUGUCGAAAGUGGUGAAAAGAGGCCAAUUUCCAAAAGACUAUUCAUUCCAGAGUGUGCCCAUGUCAGAGACCGUAGAGUUACGUCCAAAAGACGGACCGCGGGACUUAUCCUUGAAAGCUGCCGCUAUUCUUGGGAGACGUGUUUUGAAGCUGCGUGGGAUUAGGAAACAUCUUCAGAGAAUACCAUUGGCAACAACUCAGGGAGGAAAAUAAGGAAGCUAUCCUUGAUGGAAAUAAACUCUCAAUUGGCAAAAAGGAGGCGGCGGCGAAACUUUAAAGAGGACAGCAAUAGACUAGGAUUUGGCCGUCUUUUGUCUUUUCUCUUCUUCUUAACGUGAGUUAGACAUUAGUCAUUCUACUUUCUUUUCAUCAACAAAAUUCCAUUAAAGCUUUGGAUUGCGUCAACGGCAUGAAGUCAGGCUAAAUUCCUGUAUCUAGUUGAGGAAUAAUCAAAACUCGGUUCACGAUCAAUUGUGAGAUCGUUUUAAUUGUUUUGCUCUAUUUUAAAUUUUGCGUUCGUGGGUAUUUAAUUAUUCUUUGUUUUAAUAUCCUAUUAUUGUUUGGAUCUUUUGGAUCAAUGUGGCCAGUUGUUCAAUAGUCUAAAUAGUACACUGCCAAUUAAGACGAGGGUGUGUAUCACUUGAUUGUCUUAAAAUUAGUGGCAAGCGGCACAAUUUAAUCGCCUCGCAAGUGGUUUGUUAAUCUAGUUUAAAUAAACCCGCAUAUGUGUUUGUUAACUAGAAUUGGGUCUCUCUAAUUCCUAAAACUGUGAAUAGAUUAAAUCUUUUGAGCGUUUCUGGAGUUAUCUAUUUUACAAGGGGGUAGUUUAAGAGCGUCUCUAGACUACCAUAUAAUUAAGGAGAGAUUGGUAGUUUGGCGGUUACUAAAUUGCUAGAAUCAAUUUAUUUGCGAACGUGUGAAUUAUUCCUGUUAUCCAUGAUCAAUUGCAUAAGCCGGUGCCGAGAUUAUCUCCUUGACUAGGUUGUGUCAAUUAAUUGUUAAUUAUAUUCUUUAGUUACUGCACUGCUUGUGAGUUUUAAAUUCAGUAAUCUUACCUCCUCUAUUUGUGCUUUUGUCUUCCCUCCUAAAACCCCCAAAUUAUCUGUGUGUGAUAAAUCUACCGGCUCCCUGAGGAGACGACCCUACUCACCACUAUACUCGUUCAGUUUUGGUAGUAAGUCUUGAUAUAAAUUUUAUUUUUGGUAGUUUGACAGCCACCAUAGACCAAUGACUUGAAUAUCAGAGACAGACACAACUUUCUAAAAUUAUAUUUACAAACUCAUUUGAGGUGUUUUUGAAAACAUAACACGAACUUUCUUUAUUUCAAUGUAUUUUUAGAUGAAUUUAGAAUUUUUUUAGUAUUCUAACACUUUUUUCCAAAUUGAUGGCUUGACAACAAGAGAAAGAUAAAUUAUUAACAAUACAUUUAGAAACUAAUUUGAGGUACUUUCAAGGCACAAAAUGUUACUUUUUUCUAAUUAUAAUAAUUUUUUCUUUUGGAUUCCCUUGUCUAGACUGAUGACUUCAAAAAUUGCAAAAGGUCUUUCAACCUAAUUAAUAUGUUGUAAUUCUUAAGGAUUUAACUUGGUUUAUUAUGAAAACUAAAGGUCCACAAAAAAGUGUAAUUUUGGAAUAUAAAUAUUUUAUCUCUCCCAAAAUGAGCUCUUAAAUCAUAGUAUCUUUUAAAAUGGGCUGAUAAAGUUAUAAAAAGUUGAAAAUUAUGGGAAAUAUGUGAGAUUUCUUAAAGUUUAGAGGUGUCAAAUGACAUUGUCGUAAACCUCCGGAAAGGUUUUUGAAAUUAUCCCAAAAAAAAUAUAUAUAUAUAUAUAUAUUUCAUGGGACGUAAUCCGUCACUUCCAUUUUCUUUUUUUCUUUUUUUGCUAACUUGUGAGAAAGUAAUCAAAAUAAUGAUAAAAACGCUCUAAAAAGCAUUUUGCUAGCAAAUUUUCUUUUCAUGUAAACACGUGGGUUUAUUUAAUCUUCCAAAGCAACAAAAACAAUAAUUGCUUGUAUUAAUUCAAGAUAUAAAUGAUAGGAGUUUGAUGGAACCAUUUAAUACCUAUGAAAAAGUGUUAUUGGCUUGUGAGAAUAGCAAGCAUUUUGAAGACAUUUGUAAAACUAAAUCUUCAGUACAAAGAAUCGAUUUCAAUAAUUUUGUAGAAUAGACAUAGGAGGUCCCUUGAUUUAUAUAUUUCAUCUCCAUGGUUGGGUCAAUUUUGGGUUAUAUAAAUUAUAGGGUAAAUUACAUUUUACCCCCCUGUAGUUUAGCGUUUUUUUACAUAACCCCCCUAUGGUUUCAAAAGCUAUACAUAACCCCCUCAUGGUUUGGAUUAAAGUGUCAAAGUAACGGAAAUAGUCACUCGUAACGGAACUUCUAAAAAUGUCAAAAUUACCCUUAUAAAUACAUGACACAUUAACCCCCUAUGAUUUUUAUAUUUUACCAUAUAACCCCCCUAUGGUUUAAUACUUUACCAUAUAACCCCCUUAUGAUUUUCAAAACAUACACAUAACCCCCCUUGGUUAAUACAUAAAUUUCAACCUUACAUAAGGGUAUUUUUGACAUUUUAGGUGACGCCGUUACAAGUGACUAUUUCCGUUACUUUGACACUUUAAUCCAAACCAUAAGGGGGUUAUGUAUAGCUUUUGAAACCAUAGGGGGGUUAUGUGAAAAAAUGAUAAACCACAGGGGGGUAAAGUGGAAUUUGCCCUAAAUUAUAUCUAAGAUCUGAUUUUGUCUCUUUUUUUUUUUUCUGAUUUUGCCUCUUCACUUAUGUAACUCCCUGUAUAGCCAGCAAUAACGACAUCCUUCUCUACGACAACUAUCAAUCAUGCAAUUAUCAAUUUCUGAAAAAACGAAUUAUCUACUAUCAAUCAUGCAAUUAUUGGUCUUCGAAUUUUUAGUUUUUGACACGACUACAACUAAAAACUUUCAAUACCGGCUAAUACAUUUCUCUCCUACGAAUACUGGCAUAUAACAAUAGUUUUUUGGACCGUUGCUCAAAUACUGUAAGAUUUUAUUAAUAAAAAUAUCUAUCGUUUUAAAAAAAAAAAAAGAAUACUGGCAUAUAACAAUAGUUGUGAAGAACUCCCCCCUCCCCCCUCCUCCCCAAAAAAAAUUUUUUUGGGUGAGGGCACAAUAUUGUUAUAAUGCACUUUAAGAAUAUGUUGACGUCUUUUUCAUAUCUUUAGGUAUGGAUAAACUUGGAAGUCUUGCCACCUCUAUAUUUGACUAUCAGUAUAGUAUUGUUAGAUUUUAUUUUUUUUUUAAUUUCUCUUAAUUGUAGAAUUAGUUUUAAGAGACACUACAAACUACACACAUAUAGAUAAUAACACAUAAAAAUCACCAAUUACCUUCAAUCAGAUCAGAAGAAGACCGAUACUGUGGCAUCCAUGACAUAUAUGCCUGUACUAAAUGAGUUUUUAUCGAGUUAAGCAUUAUUAAUUCUUAAACCAUUCUGAACCAGUAUGUGACAAGACUAGGUGCCAAGAACAUCACAUAAUUAAUCAACAUUAUUGAUUUCCAUUUAUGAAACUUGCAAGAAAUUGAGCAACAUGUUGAGAAGUACAAAGAUUUAACAUCAUUGUUCAUUUGGAUAAAUAUUCAUCCUGGUAAAAACCUCUGACACAGUUGUCUAAGCUGUUGUCACAAAGGAGAUUAUAAACUCCUUCACAACCUCACAAAGGACUUUAGUUUUGGUAGACUCAAACAUGUCAAUUCCAUGAUAACCUCCUUCAACAAAAUUAGUCACCACGGGAACACCCUCGCCUUCUAACAUUUUGGCAAUCUCAAAUUGGCGAUCAAACAAUGCAUCAUUUUCAUAUCCUGCCAUUAAAAUCUUCCAUCCUAAAGCUUUAAUCUGAUCGAAUUGUCCAGGUUUGAUGCUCAAAACUGGAUUAGAAAAUUCAUGAUCUCGGUCAGCACCUACGGGCAAUGAAAGUUCCCACAAGACAUCAGUAACACAGGGCGGUAUAAAUGUGUCAUUCAGAGCCCUCAACUCCGAUUCUGUCCUCUUGUUGCCACCAAAAAAUGCUUGGUGCAAAAUCAACCCUUUAAUAUUCAAAGGCUUAAGAUCAUCAACGCAUGAAGAUGCACUCAAACCAACAUGAUAGGCAAUGUUUCCCCCUGAACUGCUGCCCAUGAGGAAACUGUUUGAUAAAUCUGCAUACUUUUCCAACCAUUCGUCUUGUGAAUUCUUGAUCCAGUGCAAAGCUUCCAAGCAAUCUUCGUAGGCUGCCGGCAGCCUGUGCUCGGGAGCAAGACGAUGCUCGAUUGAUACGACUACAAACGGGACCUCAGUAGCUAAAGCUCUAUGAAAAUCAUCAAAACCGGUCGUGGCCACGCUUAAAAUCACGAAUCCUCCACUGUGAAAGUAAAUCAGGAGCGGAAGUUUCCUGCCUGGGAAGGAUUCAAGUGCUUCUUUCGGUAGGAAUAUACGGGCGCCAGUGUUCUUGGAUUGGUUAAUGGGGACAUCUUUGACAAGAAGGAUAGGGCUGCCAUCAUAGGAGGAGACGGGUGUUUUUGGAUGUUCAAAUUGACGCGUCACUGAGCCGUCGGGGUUCCGGACUAAGCCCAUAUGGCCAUAGGGAUCAGCAUGAGGAUCAGCGAAUGAAAUUGCUGCAAUUGGAUCAGCCAUAAGAGAUGAGAAUUUUGACUGCCUUUUGGUGUCAGCUUUGGAGCCAGCGUUCAUGAGUUUGACGGUAUUUGAAGACUUGGAAGUGCACAGAAAGAAAGGUUAAAGGGUCAUUUCGCUAGUUCCUUGAAAUUCAUCCGUUGCCGCACGUUGUUUAUCAAUAUAAUUUAGUACGUCAUGAGCUGGGUUGAAAAGGCAGACACAAGAAGCUCAUAAAAGCGCAAGAAAAUGACGUCUGAAUUAUCUUCUUGAUGGGUCCAAUUUUCUUCUUUCUUUUAAUUGGUUUAUACUUGGAUGUAUCCAGCCAACCACCUCUGCGUUCAAUUUAAUUGCACAGAGGAUUGUUUGUCCAACAUAGGGGUAUGGACGACGCGACCGGCUUGGUCAACAACUUAGCAAACUCAAUCUACUCAUUCUGCGUAACUAGUUGAAUUCUCGAGCAUCAAUAGUAAUUACUCAAGCACUCAACCAGUUUAAUCAAGUAUUUAUAUUAUUUAUAUAUUAUAUAUUUUAAUUUUGGAAUGACUAUUAUGAGUCCAUAUUUUAAUAAAUUUUCAUGAAGUAAUAUUCAGUAAUAAAAAUGAUGAAUGAUAAAAUAAUAAUCUGAUAAAUCUAAAAUAUAAAAACUUAAAAACAAGAGAAGAAAAACUCGAGCUCGUGUAGCUCGAGUUUGUUAUGGCUUGCGGUUUACGUGAACUCAAAUGGGGCGAGUUCGAUCUUAAUUUCUAUUAUGUCGAAUCGAGUUCAAGUUCAAAUUUAUAUACUUGUUCGAAUUCGAGUUCAAUUUCAAGUUUAAAUAGCACUGAUAGUGAUUGAGUUCGAAUUCGAAUAUGUUACAACUCGAACUCAACUCGACUCAACUCGAUAGACCCUAUUCCAACAUUGUCUCACCUUUCAUUGUAUUGUCAUUUAUCAUUCACAAGCAUCUUAUUUUUGAAUUUUUUUUGUUUCCUUAAAUUCUAAUAGCUAAUGGAAGGAUAAAAAAAUUCAAAUGCAACAAAUUAAAAUAACACUAUAUAAUAGAAAACAAAAAAUAAAAUAAAAAUUUCACAAAAAAUCAUAAAAGUUUCAUCUCACUUUAGUCUUUAAACUUUGAGCAUCACUGUGGCCCCAGAAACGAGUAUGAUUGUGGUCCGAGGAACCACUUGCUGUGCUCUGACACAGUUCGAUGCUCAGUGCUUUGUCUCAUGAUGAUAGAACAGGGGGCCUAGCGCCCGCAGCUUGGUUGGUUGUUUAAAUGUGAAAUUAAUGUGGCAAAAUGUGUUACUGAUAUUAUAUUUAAUGCUUGAUGUGAUAUCAAAUUUUGUAAUCCAUCAGAAUAAUGCAAAGGAUAAAAUACAUUUUACCCCAUGUGGUUUAACAAUUUUUCACAUAACUUUCCUAUAGUUUCGAAAGCUAUAUAUAACCCUCUCAUAAUUUGGAUUAAAGUGUUAAAAUGAUAGAAAUGAUCAUUUGUAAUAGAACCAUGAAAAUAUUGAAAUUACCGUUAUUUAAAAACUAAAAUGCCUAAAGUUAUCAAAAUAUAUAAACAUAAUAUAUAUAACACUUUGACCUCAUAUGAUUUUAUAUUUUAUCAUAUAACCUCCUUAUAAUUUAGAGUUUUACCAUAUAACUCCCUUAUAAUUCUUAAAAUAUAUGCAUAAACCCCUGUAGUUAAUAAAUAAUUUUCAACUUUACAUAGGGGUACUUUUGACAUUUUAGUUGACUUCAUUAUAAAAUACAAAUUUCGUUAUUUUGACACUUUAAUUCAAAUUAUGAGGGAGUUAUGUAUAAUUUUUAAAAUCAUAGGAGAUUAUAUAAAAAAGUGCUAAACCACGAGGGAUAAAAUUUAUUUUGCCCUAAUGCGAAUUAUAUAGUGUUGUUUGUUUGCAGCUUACGGGAUUAUUAUAUCAACAUUGGAAACUGAAAACUAGAAUGAAAACUGAAGAUUGAAAUUUAAGUUCUAAAACAUUUAGGUUGCGUUUGGAUUGAGGGAUCUGAUCAAGGGUUUGAAAUCCUAUCGAAUCCCUCCGGUUAUUUAUAUUAUUUAUUAAGUAUUUGAAUUUGAAAAUUACAAAUUAUUCUAGUAUUUAAAAUAUAUUUUAAUAAUUGGUAUAUUAGAUAGUUAAAUGCCUAUUAAACAAUCCAAACAACUAGCGCCAUUUAGAUGGACUUCAAUUCUUCAUCAAAUUCAUCAAUUCAAAUGAAUAUUGAAUUUACAAUGUCAUAUCUAUUAUAUCCAUCUGAUAAUCAGCUAAACUUGAACGCUGAAUUUAAGUAUUCUAUUCUAUGAAUAUUAUUUAGUUAAUAUUUAUAUUGUUAUUUUGUUUGUUAAAUUACUAUGUUAGAUUUUUUAAAAAAAUUCUAACUAUAUUCGAACACAGAAUAUGUGUAUGCAGUAGAGAGAUUGGGAGUAUGCGUGAAGAAAAUAUAAUCCUCUCACAUAAACAUUUUAUAUAAAGCUUAAUGCAUAGUCUAUCAAUUUAAAUUCUAAUUUCUUAAUUUUUUUAUUUAGUGAAGUUUUCAAGUCAAGCACCAGAUACCACCAAUUGCCUCCAAUGAGAAAACCAAUCUACCGUAGCAUCCAUGCCCACAGCUCUGGUGCCAAGAACAUCACAAAAUUAAUCAACAAUAAAUUUUCAUUUCUGAAAAUUGACACAAGAAAUUAAACAGUAUUUUGAGAAGUACAAGAUUAAACAUCGUUGUCCGUUUGAAUGAUUCCUCAUCCGAGUAAAUCAGAAACUAACAUUAGUUUUCUAAGCUGCUGUUACAAAGGAGAUCAUAAACUCUUUGACAACCUGACACAGGACCUUAAGUUUAGGAAGCUCAAAACCAACAAUACCAUGAUAGCCUCCUUGUGCAAACUUAGCCACUAAAGGUACACCCUCGUCCUCCAACAUCUUUACAAGCUCAACUUGACGAUCAAACAAUGGAUCACCAUCAUAGCCAGUCACCAAAAUCUUCCAUCCCGAACCUUUAAUAUGACCGAAUUAUCCGGGUUUGAUGCUCAAUACUGGAUUGCAAAAUCCAUGAUCUCGGUCAGCGCCUACGGGCAAUGAAAGUUCCCACAUGAUGUCACUAACACAGGGUGGUAAAAUCUUGUCAUUUACAGCCCUCAACUCCGAAUCCGUCCUCUUGUUGCCACCAAAGAAUGGUUGGUGGUUUGGUGCAAAAUCACGCCUUUAAUGUUCAAAGGCUGAAGAUCAUCAGCAGAAGAAGGUGCACUAAGACCAACAUGAUAGGAUAUGUUUCCUCCGGCACUAGUGCCUGGGAAACUGUUUGAUAAAUCUGCAUACUUUGUCAGCCACUCGUCUUGAGAAUUCUUGAUCCAGUGCAAAGCUUGGAGGCAAUCUUCAAAACUUGAGAGUUUACAAUAUAAAGUAUUCAAAAUUAAGAGUUUAGGGUGCAAAGUCUUCAAAAUUUAAAUUUAGAAUACAAAGUGAGAAACUGGUUUAAGUUCAGGAAUGCAAUGCAGAAUUUGUCCCAUCAAAAAAAGUCUAACCUUUUACUAAAAAAGGGAUCAUUUCAAAAACUUCCCCUGAGAUUUGUAGCAAUAUCACUUUAUACCCCUGAACUUUGAGUAGUUUUAAAAAUUUAAGAAAUUCGAACUUUCUAAUUUUUUUUGGAUAGACCAAUGACUUGAAUAUCAGAGACAGACACAACUUUCUAAAAUUAUAUUUACAAACUCAUUUGAGGUGUUUUUGAAAACAUAACACGAACUUUCUUUAUUUCAAUGUAUUUUUAGAUGAAUUUAGAAUUUUUUUAGUAUUCUAACACUUUUUUCCAAAUUGAUGGCUUGACAACAAGAGAAAGAUAAAUUAUUAACAAUACAUUUAGAAACUAAUUUGAGGUACUUUCAAGGCACAAAAUGUUACUUUUUUCUAAUUAUAAUAAUUUUUUCUUUUGCAUUCCCUUGUCUAGACUGAUGACUUAAAAAAUUGCAAAAGGUCUUUCAACCUAAUUAAUAUGUUGUAAUUCUUAAGGAUUUAACUUGGUUUAUUAUGAAAACUAAAGGUCCACAAAAAAGUGUAAUUUUGGAAUAUAAAUAUUUUAUCUCUCCCAAAAUGAGCUCUUAAAUCAUGGUAUCUUUUAAAAUGGGUUGAUAAAGUUAUAAAAAGUUGAAAAUUAAGGGACAUAUGUGAGAUUUCUUAAAGUUUAGAGGUGUCAAAUGACAUUGUCGUAAACCUCCGGAGAGGUUUUUGAAAUUAUCCCAAAUAUAUAUAUAUAUAUAUUUCAUGGGACGUAAAACGUCACUUCCAUUUUCUUUUUUUCUUUUUUUGCUAUCUUGUGAGAAAGUAAUCAAAAUAAUGACAAAAACGCUCUAAAAAGCAUUUUGCUAGCAAAUUUUCUUUUCAUGUAAACACGUGGGUUUAUUUAAUCUUCCAAAGCAACAAAAACAAUAGUUGCUUGUAUUAAUUCAAGAUAUAAAUGAUAGGAGUUUGAUGGAACCAUUUAAUACGUAUGAAAAAGUGUUAUUGGCUUGUGAGAAUAGCAAGCAUUUUGAAGACAUUUGUAAAACUAAAUCUUCAGUACAAAGAAUCGAUUUCAAUAAUUUUGUAGAAUAGACAUAGGAGGUCCCUUGAUUUAUAUAUUUCAUCUCCAUGGUUGGGUCAAUUUUGGGUUAUAUAAAUUAUAUCUAAGAUCUGAUUUUGUCUCUUUUUUUUUUUUUUCUGAUUUUGCCUCUUCACUUAUGUAACUCCCUGUAUAGCCAGCAAUAACGACAUCCUUCUCUCCAUGCAAUUAUCAAUUUCUGAAAAAACGAAUUAUCUACUGUCAAUCAUUCAAUUAUUGGUCUUGGAAUUUUUAGUUUUUGACUCGACUACAACUAAAAACCUUCAAUACCGACUAAUACAUUUCUCUCCUACGAAUACUAGAAUAUAACAAUAGUUUUUUGGACCGUUGCUCAAAUACUGUAAGAUUUUAUUAAUAAAAACAUCUAUCGUUUUCGAAAAAAAAAAGAAUACUGACAUAUAACAAUAGUUGUGAAGAACCCCCCCUCCCAAAAAAAAAAAAAUUUUUGGGUGAGGGCACGACAUUGUUAUAAUGCACUUUAAGAAUAUGUUGACAUCUUUUUCAAAUCUUUAGGUAUGGAUAAACUUGGAAGUCUUGCCACCUCUUUUUUUUUUUUUUUUUUUAAAACGUGUUUUUAUUCAUAUAUGGAUAAACAACAUACAGAAAUUUCCUUCUACAUAUGUUUAAUUUUCCGAAUUGAAGGUAUUCCUAUUCUGUCUAGACGUAUUGCCCCACGAGCCAGUCUUGGGAACGUAGAAAAGGUGUCAUAUAACCUGACUUGUUGUUGUGGAUGAGAUACCCCCUCAUUGGACAACGCAUCAGCAACUGUGUUAGCCUCCCGAUAACAAUGUGAUAAACAAGUUGCGUCCUCCAAAAAAUGCCGAAUCUGUCUGACCUCCCUUGUAAUCUGCCAUGGACACUGAAUUUGACGAAGAAUAAUUCGAACUAAGGCCAAUGAGUCCGAUUGUAUACAUAUAUUCCCAAAUCCCCUUUGUUUACACGUUUGAAGACCAAUGAGAAGUGCCCGAACUUCUGCAUGGAGACUUGUAGUUUGUCCAAAAUAGGCCGAGAAACCAAAGAGUGGUAAUCCCGUUGAAUCCCUUAGAACACCACCACCUCCACCCAGUCCUGGAUUACCCUUAGAACAACCAUCUGUAUUUAGUAUGAACCGCCCUGACUCCUUUGACUCCCAGCGAAUAACUUUGAAGGCAACCCUUCCAACAGUAAAAUUCGGCAAAUCAUACAAUUGUCGGAAGGACUGUGAUCGGAUUGCUUGUUUGAAAUGAAUCCCUACCAUGGACUGAAUUUCCAAGAAAAUUGCUUGGCAAAUUGCAGAUGAUCGCAUUUGAGCACCUUCAAACAUUGCUUUAUUUCUUGCCUUCCAAAUUUGCCAACAAAUAAUAGUAGGAAUAAUUCGGCCCAUAAUCCGCCGUAACUCAGAAUCAUACGACCUCAACCACCACCCUACUAUACGAGAGCGCAAAGAAGUUCCUGGGCUUAAUCCACAUAAUCCUCCAAAAUAACUCCAAACUACCGACGCUGUGUGGCCGUUGGAGAAUAAAUGCUCAAUAGACUCCUCGGAUGCCGAAGGACAACAGAAACACUUGGACGGUAAAUGAAAACCAAGUUCACAUAGCCUAUCUGGUAUCGGUAUCCUUCCUCGCAACAAUCUGAACAUAAAAAAUGAAACUUUGAAAGGGAUACGAGGAUGCCAAAUCGAAGCAAAAACCAUCGACUUAUUUCGAGUCUGCCUAAUAUCUUGAAACGCUGAAUGUAUGGAAAAUUUUCCAGAUGUUGUAGGCAUCCAAAAGACUUCCACUUCACUCCCUUCUUCCGGAAUGGGUUGUUGUAAUAUGUAGGACACAUACUCCUUUGGUAUUGUGUGAUAUAAAAGGUUCACAUCCCAGUGACCAUUGUUUAUGAAAUUAUGGAAUGACAACUCUAGGUUAACUGGCACUUGUAAGAACAAAGCACCACAUCCUAGCCAGUUAUCAUACCAAAAAUGACACGCCCCCUCUUUUGCAACCCAUAACAUAGAAAACUCCACUUGUCGGCUCACAUUUACCAUCCUCCGCCAUAUUGAGGAGUCCUUAUUUUUGAGUUCUACCUGACAAGGAUGAAGACCUCUGCAGUACUUUGCUUUCAUGAAUGUCUCCCAUAGCGACGAUCUUGUUCGGAAAUUCCACCAUAGCUUGGAAGAAAAUGCUGUGUAUACGUCUUGUAGUCUCCGGAAACCAACUCCGCCCUCAUCAACCGGAUAACAUAGUUGAGACCAUCUUAUCCAGUGAAACUUUGAUUCGUUGAAUGAUCCCCAAAGGAAGGAUGAGCAGGUUUUUUCAAUGAUUUUAAACACCUUACCCGGGAUCACAGAUGCUGACAUUAGAUGCACUGGCAUUGAUUCCAAGACAUGCUUGAUUAGGACUAUCUUGCCUCCGAAGGAAAGUAACCUUGAUUUCCAUGAUUGAAUCCUCCCUAUAAUAGACUGGCACACUCCUCCAAAAUAUGAUGAUUUACAUCUUCCAAAGUAGAGCGGAAACCCUAAAUAAUAUAUCGGAAAAGGCUUGUAGGAAAACUUUGUGAUACGAUGAAUCACCCUCCGUCUCGCCGUUGACAACAUUGGAUGGACCAAGUAACAACUUUUUUGCACAUUAAUAAGUUGUCCCGAACAUCUUUGAUACGCCUCUAACACCUGCAUGAUCGCCCUUAGAGACAAGGCGGAUCCGUUUGCAAAUAUGAGAAUAUCAUCCGCAAACGCCAAGUGAGUUAUAUCUGGACAACCAUAUGGAACUUUGAAACUCAAAAAGCCCGAUUGCAGUGCAAGGUUGUUCAAUCCUCUAGACAAUACUUCAGCUCCGAUAAUGAAUAGCGCAGGUGAUAAAGGGUCACCCUGACGAAGUCCUCUCAUGGACUUAAAGAAACCAUGUGAAGACCCAUUAAUAAUAAUUGAAAACCAAACAUUAGAAAGCAAGCGCCAUACCAUAUCAAUAAAUAUUUCCCCAAAUCCAAAACUUCUCAGGACAUUGAUGAUAUGACCCCAAGCGACCCGGUCAUAUGCCUUAGACAUAUCUAGCUUCAUAGCCACAUUACCACCUCUAUUCCUUUUUCCAAUACCCGAAACCACCUCCUGAGCCAGUAGAAAAUUUUCCGUUAUAUUACGACCCUUCACAAAGCCUGUUUGCUGGGGGGAAAUUAUUCUUGGCAACAUUCCAGCCAGUCUAUCCGCCAAGAUCCGGGAAAGCAACUUAUUGAAAAAGUUACAUAGACUGAUUGGUCUGAAAUGAGAAAAUUCUUGAGGAUUUGACAUCUUUGGAAUUAGUACGAUCGAGGUAGAAGUGAUAAACCGAGGUAACUCUGCCCCACAGAAAAAACUGAGUAUUGCAUUAUGAAUAUCUUGUUUGAUCACUUCCCACGCAAAUAUAAAAAAUUUUCCUGUGAAACCAUCCGGGCCAGCAGCACUUUCCUCAUCCAUUGAUUUUACUACUUGAUAUACCUCCUCGAUCGUAGGCAGUGACUCCAGCUUUCCAUUGUCCUCUGGAGAAAUCAUACGAGGAAUUAGGUGCAACAUAUCUGAAAAAGAGUCCAAAGGACCCGUGAAAAGAUCAUUAAAAUAUGAUAUUGCUUCACUUGCUAUGUCCUCCUCCUUGUCCAUCCAAACUCCAUUGGAAUUUUUGAUGCAAUGUAUCAUUCCUUGAACACGUCUUUGCUUUACCACCGCAUGAAAAUACCGUGAAUUCCUAUCUCCCUCUUUAAGCCAUUUGACUCUAGCCUUUUGCCUCCAAAACUGCUCUUCAAUUGACAGUGCAUGACGGAGCUCCGCUUGAGCCUUAUUUAACUCAAUCUGGCAUUCGUCUGAGUCAUUUUGAUCAACCAUCUCCUCUGCUCGUUGUACCGCAAUUUCCGCAACAUGCACAGUGUCCAUGAUGUUACCAAAGAAUUGCUUGUUCCAUGAUUGAAUAGCCCUUCUCGUUGUCAAUAAUUUAGAGCAUAAGAUUCGCAAUGGAGAUCCAUCAACAUUUUGAUUCCAAGCUUGGCGAAUCACCUCUAAGAGUUCAGGUUUGGAUGUCCAAACAUUCAAAAAACGGAAAGGGCGUGGCUUAUUAUCCAACCUAGUUGCAAAUGAAAUCUUCAACGGAGCAUGAUCCGAAGGGUGUCUUGUCAAAUGGAGUACAGAAAUGGCGUCAGAGAGAUCCAAACAAGCCCCAUUGACUAAAAAUCUGUCCAACCUUUUUGAAAUCCGAGCUCUACUCCUCCGAUUAUUAGACCACGUGAAACUUGAUCCUGAAAACCCUACAUCAAAGACCCCAGCCUCCUCCAUGAAAGACAUGAAAUCAGCUCCUUCUGCUAUAGCAAAUGGACGUCCUCCACAUUUUUCGUGAGGUGCCAAAAUGACGUUAAAGUCCCCCCCAAUACACCAAGGAUGUAAUGUAGGUUUAUCAUUUAACAAUGAACACCAUAAUUCUCGACGCUCCUCCACCGAACACUUUGCAUGAACAAAGGACAUGAUAAUUGGACUAGGAAGCAACGGGUUUUGAACAUGUAGAGAUAUAUGCUGGUCUGAACUACCAACAGUGGAACAAAUAAAAGGACUACUAUAGAAAACCCAAAUAUCACUCGAGCAAUUAACAAAGACAAAAUCAAAUGAUAAACGAAGACGAAUGGACUCAAUUUUUGACACAUCUACUUUUGGUUCACAUAUCACAACAAAAUGAACGUGAUGAAACCGUACUAGUUUAAUCAAUCUUCUUAGAUUAGGAACCUUUGCAAUCCCUCUAAUAUUCCAAAAUAUUCCAUUAAUCAUGAGAAAGAGCAUGGAAUGAGUUUUUGGAUGAUGUCUCUGACCUUAAUUGUCUGUCGGAUGUAAAUCGGGCACGAACACCCUUUCCUCGCAUUUGUCGGAACUCACGGUCAUCCCUUUGUGGUUGAUCAAUAUUUAAAGCGUCACUUGAUGAUUCCAGCUGCUGCUGAGGUGGGACCACCAAUCUUGGAGACAAAUUGCCCGCAACUGCAUUGUCUGUGGAAACAAAAUCAUCCUCAGCCCCACGCAAGUCAACAUAAAUAUUGUCCAAUGCAUUACUUUCGGCCAUGUGAUGAUGCUCAAAUGUCAAUGAGUUGUCUGCUGGAAGAUGGGUCCCUGGUUUCUCAUUUGCUUGUUGCUUAUCCAGCUGGUCACUCAUUAUUGUUUGUUCCCCAUGAUGUGCAUUCGAUGAACCAUCCAUUUGCGAAAGUGCUUGGAUAACAAUGUUGUCGGUUUCAUCUCCCAUAGCAGCAACUUGGCCUUCAGCAAAAAUUGAACUUGGUUUGCUUAUGAAUGAGUCUUUAGGAACUGAUGCGUCAUCUUCCUCUUCAAGCAUAAUAGGACCAGCGUCCUCCUUCAUAGGAUUUUUUUCUGCCUGCCUUCAUCUCCUUCAACCAACAGUGGAUUGAGCUGGUCGUCAUUAUGAACUAUUUUAUCUCCUUCCUCGGCCAACAUAUCAGAACCAGCAGCUACCUCUACUGCAAUCUGUUGUUUUCCACCUUCAUGAAUCAUAUCUGUAAUUCGCACAUCCUGAGAUUCAUUCACAACAGCUUUUUUACGGACCGUUUCAGGGUGGGACAACUGAACGUUAUUCCCUUGUAAAAUUAAUCCUUGCUGCUGAUGAUGAUGCCGCAUUCCAUCCUCAAUCAAAUUCUUUUUGCACUCCCCUUGAGAAUGACCCAAACGAAAGCAAGAUGAACAAUAAGUUGGCAUGUUCUCUGGAACAAUACGUUGCCAAAAACCAGAUUCCCCUUCUACAGCAACCCAGACCCUAGACACGAUGAUUUUCGCUAUAUCGAUCUCAACACACACUCUGGCCACACUAGGACGUGUUCCAGCAGCCGUUGCUGAAUCCAAGAACAUGGGUCUUCCUACUGGUGACAAUAUGGAGAACAAAGAAUGUUUAUCAAAAUAAUGAAUAGGGAGAGUCGGAAGAGUUACCCAAAUCGGUACCAACGAAGACUCCCUAUGCACAUGGAAAUCCCUGGUCCAUCUGAAUACACGCAUUGGAUAUUUGCUCAAUUGCCAAACUCCUCUCGUCCAAAUUCUGUUAAAGUCUGCUUCAGCAGUGCAUUUAAUAAGAACAUGCCUGUAAUCCAUCAAUCCAAUGGAAACUUGGUCUUUCAGGUUUAAUGAAGCAAAAAACUUUCGAGUAGUUUCCAAUGAAGGUCGCCCGUGAGAGAAUUUUCCAACCAAAGCCCAUCGAAAAGGUGCCGCAAGUCUGUCCGCGUCUGCUUUUGAAAAAACAACAGCAGCUUCUCCCUUGUAAACUGAUGCCUGCGUGAUCUGGAUUUUAGAUACCGCCGGUUGUGUAAAGAGUUGAGAAAAAGAUUUUUUUCCUGUAGGAGACAUCCCUUGCCCCUCAGCCGAAGGCUGAAGGGCAGCCAUGGAUCCUUACUUCACUAAUACAAUUCAGACGAAGAAUGAAGAAGUUGCAGAGAGAAGUUCAUACAAAGAGGGUGAAUCGUAAUUCUUGCCACCUCUAUAUUUGACUAUCAGUAUAGUAUUGUUAGAUUUUUUUUUUUAAUUUCUCUUAAUAAAAAAGUUUUAAUUUCUCUUAAUUGUAGAAUUAGUUUUAAGAGACACUACAAACUACACACACACACACAUAUAUAUAUAUAUAUAUAUAUAUAUAUAUAUAUAUAUAGAUAAUAACACGUAAAAAUCACCAAUUACCUUCAAUCAGAUCAGAAGAAGACCAAUACUGUGGCAUCCAUGGCAUAUAUGCCUGUACUAAAUGAGUUUUUAUCAAGUUAAGCAUUAUUAAUUCUUAAACCAUUCUGAACCAGUAUGUGACAAGACUAGGUGCCAAGAACAUCACAUAAUUAAUCAACAUUAUUGAUUUCCAUUUAUGAAACUUGCAAGAAAUUUAGCAACAUGUUGAGAAGUACAAAGAUUUAACAUCAUUGUUCAUUUGAAUAAAUACUCAUCCAGGUAAAAACCUCUGACAUAGUUGUCUAAGCUGUUGUCACAAAGGAGAUUAUAAACUCCUUCACAACCUCACAAAGGACUUUAGUUUUGGGAAACUCAAAAGCGUCUAUUCCAUGAUAACCUCCUUCAACAAAAUUAGCCACCACGGGAAUACCCUCGCCUUCUAACAUUUUGGCAAUCUGAAAUUGGCGAUCAAACAAUGCAUCAUUUUCAUAUCCUGCCAUUAAAAUCUUCCAUCCUAAAGCUUUAAUCUGAUCGAAUUGUCCAGGUUUGAUGCUCAAAACUGGAUUAGAAAAUUCAUGAUCUCGGUCAGCACCUAAGGGCAAUGAAAGUUCCCACAAGACAUCAGUAACACAGGGCGGUAUAAACUUGUCAUUCAGAGCCCUCAACUCCGAUUCAGUCCUCUUUUUGCCACCAAAAAAUGCUUGGUGCAAAAUCAACCCUUUAAUAUUCAAAGGCUUUAGAUCAUCAACACAUGAAGAUGCACUCAAACCAACAUGAUAGGCAAUGUUUCCCCCUGAACUGCUGCCCAUGAGGAAACUGUUUGAUAAAUCUGCAUACUUUUCCAACCAUUCGUCUUGUGAAUUCUUGAUCCAGUGCAAAGCUUCCAAGCAAUCUUCGUAGGCUGCCGGCAGCCUGUGCUCGGGGGCAAGACGAUGCUCGAUUGAUACGAUUACAAACGGGACCUCGGUAGCUAAAGCUCUAUGAAAAUCAUCAAAACCGGUCGUGGCCACGCUGCCAAUCACGAAUCCUCCACUAUGAAAGUAAAUCAGGAGCGGAAGUUUCCUGCCCGGGAAGGAUUCAAGUGCUUCUUUCGGUAGGAAUAUACGGGCACCAGUGUUCUUGGAUUGGUUAAUGGGGACAUCUUUGACAAGAAGGAUAGGGCUGCCAUCAUAGGAGGAGACGGGUGUUUUUGGAUGUUCAAAUUGACGCGUGACUGAGCCGUCGGGGUUCCAGACUAAGCCCAGAUGACCAUAGGGAUCAACAUGAGGAUCAGCGAAUGAAAUUGCUGCAAUUGGAUCAGCCAUAAGGGAUGAGAAUUUUGACUGCCUUUUGGUGUAAGCUUUGGAGCUAGCGUUUAUGAGUUUGACGUUAUUUGAAGACUUGGAAGUGCACAGAAAGAAAGGUUAAAGGGUCAUUUCGUCAGUUCCUUGGAAUUCAUACAUUGCCACACGUUGUUUAUCAAUAUAAUUUAGUACGUCAUGAGCGGGGUUGAAAAAGCAGACACACAAGAAGCUCAUAAAAGCGCAAGAUUUGAGAGGAAAAUGACGUCUGAAUUAUCUUCUUGAUGGGUCCAAUUUUCUUCUUUCUUUUAAUUGGUUUAUACUUGUAUAUAUCUAGCCAACCACCUUUGCGUUCAAUUUAAUUGCAUAGAAGAUUUUUUGUCCAAUGAUAGGGGUGUGGACGACGCGAGCGACCUGGUCAAAAAUUUAGCAAACUCGAUCUACUCAUUCUGCGUAACUAGUUGAAUUCGAGCAUCAGUAGUAAUUAUUCGAGUACUCAAUGAAUUUAAUUAAGUAUUUAUAUUAUUUAUAUAUUAUAUAUUUUAAUUAUGGAAUGACUAGUAUGGAUCCGUAUUUUAAUAAAUUUACAUGAAGUAAUAUUUAGUAAAAAAAAUGAUGAAUGAUAAAAUAACAAUCUAAUAAAUCUAAAAUGUAAAAAAUUAAAAACAAGAGAAGAAAAACUCAAGCUCGUGUAGCUCGAGUUUGAUAUGGCUUGUAGUUUACUCGAACUCAAACGAAUCGAGUUCGAUCUUAAUUUUUAUUAUGUCGAGUAUAGUUCGAGUUCAAAUUUAUAUACUCGUUCGAAUUCGAGUUCAAGUUCAAAUAGCACUGAUAGUGAUUGAGUUUGAAAUCGAGUAUGAUGCAACUCAAGCUCAACUCGACUCGAUAGAACCCUAGUCCAACAUUGUAUCACCUUUCAUUAUAUUGUCAUUUAUCAUUCAUAAACACCUCAUUUUAGAAUUUUUUUUGUUUCCUUAAAUUGUAAUAUCUAAUAAAAGGAUAAAAAAAAAUUAAAAUACAACAAAUUAAAAUAACACUAUAUAAUAGAAAACAAAAAAAAUAAAAUAAAAAUUUCACAAACAAUCAUAAAAAUUUCAUCUCACUUUACUCUUUAAAAUUUGAGCAUCACUAUGGCCUCCAGAAACAAGCAUGAUUGUGGUCCGAGGAGCCACUUGCUGUGCUCUGGCACAGUUCGAUGCUCGGUGCUUUGUCUUAUGAUGAUAGAACAGGGGGCCUAGCGCCCGCAGCCUGGCGGUGGUUUAAAAGGUAUUGACAGCAACAAAACACGGGAAAAAAAUUCAAAAAACGAAGAAGAAGAAGAAGUUGUCAUCUAAGUGUGAAAUUAAAGUGGUAAAAGGUGAUUACUGAUAUUAUAUUUAAUGCUUGAUGUGAUAUCAAAUUUUGUAAUCCAUCACAAUAAUGCAAAGGAUAAAAUAGAUCAUACCCCCCGUGGCUUAGCAAUUUUUCACAUAACCCCUAUAUAGUUUCAAAAGUUAUAUAUAACCAUAUCAUAAUUUGGAUUAAAGUGUCAAAAUGAUAGAAAUGAUCAUUGUAACGGAAUCCAUAAAAUAUCGAAAUUAUCCUUAUUUAAAAACUAAAAUGCGUGAAGUGAUCAAAAUAUAUAAAUAUAAUAUACAUGACACUCUGAUCCCAUAUGAUUUUAUAUUUUACUAUAUAACCCCCUUGUGAUUAAGUAUUUUACCAUAUAACCCCCUUAUAAUUCUUGAAAUAUAUACAUAACCUCCUGUAGUUAAUAAAUAAUUUUCAACUAUACAUAGAAGUACUUUUGAUAUUUUAAUUGACUUCAUUAUGGAAUGCAAAUUUCGUCAUUUUGAUACUUUAAUCCAAGUUAUGAGGGAAUUAUGUAUAAUUUUUAAAAUCAUGGUGGGGUUAUACAAAAAAGUGCUAAACCACGGAGGGAUAAAAUGUAUUUUGCCCUAAUGCUAAUGAUAUAUUGGUGUGUUUAGAUUGAAAUGUUUUGAGAUAAAAUAAUUUGCUUCACAAAUCCCAAUCACUUUGCAUCUCACAUACAUCACAUCACAAAAAUUGCUACAGUAAUUAUUUCAAAUAAAUCAUCCAAAUAAACUCAUAUCCAAUCAAAUAGUGUUGUUUGUUUACAGCUUACGGGAUUAUUAUAUCAACAUUGGAAGCUGAAAACUAGAAUACGAAACUGAAGAUUGAAAUUUAAGUGAUAAAACAUUUAGGUUGCGUUUGGAUUGAGGAAUCUGAUCAAGGGUUUGAAAUCCUCUUGAAUCCCUCUAGUUAUUUAUAUUAUUUACUAAGUAUUUGAAUUUGAAAAUUACAAAUUAUUCUAGUAUUUAAAAUAUAUUUUAAUAAUUGUAUAUUGGAUAGUUAAAUGCCUAUUAAACAAUCCAAACAACUAAAGCCAUUUAGAUGGAUUUCAAAUUCUUCAUCAAAUUCCUCAAUUCAAACGAAUAUUGAAUUUACAAUGUCAUAUCUAUUAUAUCCAUCUGAUAAUCAGCUAAACUUGAGCGCUGAAUUUAAGUAUUCUAUUAUAUGGAUAUUAUUUAGUUAAUAUUGAUAUUGUUAUUUUGUUUGUUAAAUUACUAUUUUAGAUUUUUUUUAAUUCCUACUAUAUUCGAACACAAAAUAUGUGUGCGCAGGAGAGAGAUGGGGAGUAUGCGUGAAGAAAAAAUGUGCUUGUGAAGAAGAGCUCCACUUGCAUAAAAAAUGCUACGAGCUUUUAAAUUUUUUUUUGUUUCUUAAAUGCCACGAAUUUGCAUGAAGUAGGUUUUCUUACACUAUAUAAAUCAAACUAGUUUUGUACUCAUUCGUUGAACGGGAAUCGUCGAAAAAUAAUAAACUAUUUAGUCAAUUUUAUAAAAAUGUCGAUAUGAAAUACAAAUUUAAUGUAUAAUCUAUUAUAACUUGUCUUAAGUAUAUUACUUUAUGCGCAUUGUAAUAUAAAGUAUUCUUAUAAUAUAAAUUUGAACAUCUAAUUCAGUGAAUAAUAAUUCAAAAAUGAAAAAAAUAACAUUCAACAAUACCAUAACAUUCCCGUACGGGUUUAUAUUUGACCGUACGGGUUUAUAGGAAUUUACAAACCCGUGCUCAAAUAGAAAUUUAUAUUUGACGUACAGGUCAAAUACAUAUAGUUAAUUGGAUUCAAUUAACUUUUUCUUUUCCAUAAAUUUCGUGCUAUGCACUAUGUCUUGAUAAUGUACUUAAUAAUAAAAUUUAUUAAGAAUCCUAUUUCCAACAUCAGAUAUUGACUUCUAUUAUUAAUGGUUCCUUUUGAAAUUAGUUACUUUUCUACUUCUUGUAGUGACAACAAUUCUUAUUUACUUCGGUUCCCUAUGCAGUACACAAAUUGUUGGCAUGAAUUUGGAGAUAUAUCUAAUAGAGAUAUUUAUGUCUCUUUUAUGUAUAUCGUAUUACUUUCCAGUUCCUUUUUAGGGUAGCGAAUGGAAAUCAUAUAAUAUUAAGAUUUCUUAUAGGAAGUAAGAAUUGAUAUACAUCCAAACAAAAAAUGAGCAAGCCACGUCGGAAAUUACUUGCCAUCUCGUUAAGCCACGUAGGAAAAAGAAAAUAUGAAAGGAUAAGAAUGAGAAUACGACUUUAUUAUAUAUAUAUAUAUAUAUAUGAUUACAAAUGGACCCAAAAAUAGGUGAUCGGAAUUGCUCAACCCAAAAUACAUGAAUACGGUAAUCCAUGGCCUUUUUAAGGUUUUUGAAAGCAGCAUUUGGUCGAAGAUUUAUUUUUUUUUUUAGUAAUUUUUUUCAGCACGAAAGAGGUGGAAUUUUAGAAGUGAGGAUGGAACAAGAUAUUAGAACCCAAAACCUCUAUAAUCCUCAAUCCUCAAAAUAUAAUCCUCUCACAUAAACAUUUUAUAUAAAGCUUAAUGCAUAGUCUAUCAAUUUAAAUUCUGAUUUCUUAAUUUUUUAUUUAGUGAAGUUUUCAAGUCAAGCACCGGAUACCACCAAUUGCCUCCAAUGAGAGAACCGAUCUACGGUAGCAUCCAUGCCCACAGCCCUGGUGCCAAGAACAUCACAAAAGUAAUCAACAAUAAAUUUUCAUUUAUGAAAAUUGACACAAGAAAUUAAACAGUAUUUUGAGAAGUACAAGAUUAAACAUCGUUGCUAAAAUUAGUUUUCUAAGCUGUUUUUACAAAGGAGAUCAUAAACUCUUUCACAACCUGACACAGAACCUUAAGUUUAGGAAGCUCAAAACCAUCAAUACCAUGAUAGCCUCCUUGUGCAAACUUAGCCACUAAAGGUACACCCUCGUCUUCCAACAUUUUUACAAGCUCAGCUUGACUAUCAAACAACGGAUCACCAUCAUAGCCAGUCACCAAAAUCUUCCGUCCCAAAUCUUUAAUAUGAUCGAAUUGUCCGGGUUUGAUGCCCAAUACUGGAUUGCAAAAUCCAUGAUCUCGGUCAGCGCCUACGGGCAAUGAAAGUUCCCACAUGAUGUCACUAACACAGGGUGGUAAAAUCUUGUCAUUUACAGCCCUCAACUCCGAAUCCGUCCUCUUGUUGCCACCAAAGAAUGGUUGGUGCAAAAUCAAGCCUUUAAUGUUCAAAGGCUGAAGAUCAUCAGCAGAAGAAGUUGCACUAAGACCAACAUGAUAGGCUAUGUUUCCUCCUGCACUAGUGCCCAUGAGGAAACUGUUUGAUAAAUCUGCAUACUUUGUCAACCACUCGUCUUGAGAAUUCUUGAUCCAGUGCAAAGCUUGAAGGCAAUCUUCAUAGGCUGCCGGCAGCUUAUGCUCCGGUGCAUUUCAAUACUCGAUUGAUACUAGGAUAACUGGGAUUUCAGUGGUAAAAUUUCUAUAGAAAACGUCAAGAAAGUGCGUGGCCGCACUGCAGAUUACAAAUCCUCCACCACGAAUGUAGAUCAGCAGAGGAAGUGUCCUGCUCGGAGAUGAGUCAACUAAUUCUUUUGGAAGGAAUACGCGGACCCAGUGUUUUUGGCUUGGUUAAUGGAGAUGUCUUUAACAAGAAGACUGGAACUGCCAUCAUAGGAAGAGACAGGUGUUUCUGGAUACUCAAAUUGACGGGUGACUGAGCAAUCAGCGUUCCGGACGAAGCCCAGAUAGCCAUAGGGAUCAGCAUUAGGAUCAGCCUGGACAAAAACUGCCGCAGUUUGAUCAGCCAUUGGUCAAUUAGUGCCUUUUGGAAGAAAAUUGAAAAACCUAGGGUUCAUGAAGCUACAUUCUGUCCGAAUUUUUAGGUCCUAGAUAGAGGCCGAAUUGGCCUUAGCUUAAACCAUGAAAGUUGUAGGGAAUGACAUUUUAGAGGUGCCUACAAAAUUUCAGGUCAAUCGGAGUAGUGUAGAAUGAGAUAAUUCGAAAUUACUAUUGCUGUUCUGGUUUUACCCGAAUGCAAGAAUUGCGCCUGUAAUUGGUUGUUUUGGCUGGAAUUGCUUCCGAAUUGGUUGUUGAGGUUUUCUGAUGAAAUGUAUCCCUGUUUCUUAGCUUUCAACUGGUUUUGGAAUUUCUGGAUUUGGACUUGGAGAGCCUGAGUUAUGAUGUUUCCGCUAGAAUGCGUUUUGGUGAAUCUGUUUUACGUUUUUGAUGUAGUAUCUUGCAUUUUUGACCUGUUUGCACUCAAAACUGGGUUGAGUGACCUUCUGUUGUAGCCCUGUCUUUUAGCUUCGAAAUGGUGGGUCUUGCACCCUCAUCCGAUAAUCGUAGUGAAAUUGGUGCCAUUACCGCAAAACGAGGACAAAAACUGUUUUUUUUAGGGCCAAAGCUAAUUGCAUUUCCGAAUUUUCUGGUUUCCUUUAAUGUUUGUGUAUGCUUAGGGAACCCUGUUUUGGUAGUAUAUAGAAUUGGUUUAUGACUUGUAAUCGAGUUUUAUUGUGUUCAUUUAAAUAGUUUAGGGUUUGACUUUCAUAUCCGAUUAUUUCCUAGCUAAAUUUUGUACUUGAAUGCCAUUAAGCCUAGUGAACGGCUUUUGGGAAUGAGAUUAUUUUUGUACAAGAUGUUGGGACUGAUUUGAGGAAAUAAUGAAGCCAUGAUGGCUGGAAAAUAGGUAAACACAAGGGAUAUGCUGCCGAAAUUUUACUUGAAGGCUAGUUGGAUUUACUUGUGUUUUGAACGAAGGGCUUUUGGGUUGUUUGAGCCUAGGUCUUCAUGUUACCUUUUCGUUACCAAAAAUCAUGUUUUGCACCUUGCUUUAGUAAUUAUUUGGCGAGGCAUACGACUGGUAGUCGAGCCUCACAUGUGCAUUCUGUAUACUCAAUUUUGAAAGUGGAACCUUCAAUUGUUUUCCUUGGAUUAUUUUAGGGUUUAUGGGCGAUUAAAGCUCUCUUUUGGGAGGUAUCUGCACUGACCCUGGUGAGUGUACUACUCACUUGUGUGUUACUAUAUGGCUAUGAAUGUAAAUUGCAUGAAGUGAAUUGAAUGUGACUUGAUUGAAGUGAAAGUGUACUUUAUCACUCCCACUUAUAUGCCUUAUAUCAUUGUUGUCAUGUUAUUGGAAUGUUACAUGAAAUGUUACAUGAAAUGAAAGUACUUGACUUGGUGUCGAUCGGACGAGUAUCCAACGACUACAAAUGUUAUCAUUGAACUCAACCCCAUUGGUAGUUGAUUGAAUCGAGCCGGCAAGGGCUUGGUCGUGACAAUUAAUGAGCCUUGGGUAAAGUUAUAAGGAAUCUUGUAGUAUGAGAGACUCUCGAUUCCGGUAUACUCGAGUAAUACCACAAUGCAAGUGUUUGGAGUGCGGGCCCGGUAGGGGGAUGUUAGGUGGAAGGAAUGGGAGAGAAGUGGAGUCUACGGUUGGUUACUUUUGAACAUUGACGGAGAGUCAAUGACGUCCGAUCAAGAAAUGCAAACGAGGAAAGGGCUCUUGAGAGCCAUCUGUAUCCUUUUAUCACCAUAUUUGAAGUGUGCCUUUGCUUAUUUUUACUAAAUUGAAUGAAAGCUUGAUGCUUAUAUGCACUUGGGUGCGUAAGUGAUAGUAUCUCACUGGGCAAUUAGCUCACACCGUUCUUUUGUUUUCCUUACAGGAAUAUGACUCUUUUUGGAAUGAAUCUUGAUAGAUGGUUGCCGAAUGAACUAGAUGUAUAUCUCUUUUGUAUUGUAUAUGAAGUGAAACCCUAAAUGUAUCUUUAGGGCCGUUUUCACUUUCAAUUUGGCAAACCGUGUAUAUAUUAACUUUUGAAAACUUUUGUAUGUCACUUUGGAUUGAAUUUGAUAAAGUUCAAGAUGUGAAUGUUUGUUUGAUAUUUGGUUGCGUUCGGACGGGUCGGUUACUAUUCAUGGCCGACUCCGAAUUUCAUUUUUUUUUAUUUUGGGUUACUUUGCCCUUUUGCCUUGUUUACGCGCGUUAUAAGUUACGGAACGCAAUAGAUCGCUCUAAACUGCACCGUUAGUCCUGGCGAGAGCUGGGCAGGCAGUCCGCUAACCCCUUUGGUUCGCCUUAGGGGAAGGUGGGGCUAUCACAGUUGGUAUCAGAGCCUGCUUCGCGUGGUCUCUGCGCGGAGUGAGCCUGGACUGAGUGGUGAAUAGGUAUGAAGGAUUAAGUGCUCGUUCGAGCAUAAGCUAUGAAUUGUGAACGUUAUAGGCCUUAAAUGUUUCGUGUGAUAUUUGAGGAACAUAGAUAGGUACGUCAUGGAGGAAUUUCGAUUUGUAGAUGGUUUACUCUUGGGACUGGCCAACUCGAGAUGUGAACUAUCUUAUUUCGGAUUCUCGUGCCCGAGUACUCCAGAAUCGAGGCGAUGCAAGCUACUAGGUAUUUGAGCCUUGUAUUUUGGAAACGAGUCUUGUAUUUUGGAAACGUGAACAGGCUUUGUCUGACUAGAAUGAGCACAAGAGAUCAAUGGACAUCUAGUUUGGAUAGUAAGUGACGUGAGAGACCAGACGGGCUGAUACUAGGACGACUUCACCUUUUCCUUUUGGUUCGUCCGUAUACUACUACCACCUGACGUUAGUAUCUGUGCUUGUAUAUGUGCUUGUAUACAUGGUUAUCUGUCCAACUUGAUAUGUAUUUGCGUACUUGCUUAUCCGUCUUUUAAUAUGGCGUGUUAUGUGCGAUAUGUUAUUUGUGUACUUGGUAUGAUAGAUAUUGUUAUUUUAGUCAAUGCAUUGCAUUCAUGCAUUAAAAUACCCUUUUGGAAAGAAAAGAGAGAGGGAUGAAAAAAAAAAAGAAGAAAGACGUAGUCGCGGACAUGGUCAUAGUAGUGAAACAAAACGAGACCAAGGGUUAAGAGAAGAAAGGGAGGAAACAACAGCUGAACCAAACAUGGACCAAGAGUGCCACUUGUAUUCAAGACUUUAUUAUGACCCAUUGUUUUGCCGACAAGCUACCAUUUGAGGUCCAGCAAUUCUGUGAAAUGGCACGUUGGGUUGAGAUGUAUAAGGAAAUCGCGGUUCUUCGAGACGAAAUAGAAGUCCAAAAGAAACUAGUCGCAUACUGGGAAGGUGACAAGUGUCACCAUUUGAGAGGUUGAACCUUAAGACCACUAUUCAUGGUCUUACCAUUUGACUUAAAUAAACCAAAAAUGACCCAAAAAUCAUCAAAAUAUCCACCAUGGUGGCCGAGCUUCUUGAGCAACAAAAGAAAGAAAGCUCUUCUAGAUUUUAGUUUCAAUCUUGCUUCAAUCAUCAAAACCAAUCAUCCAACCUUGAUUUUCCUCCAUAAAACACUUUCAAGUAGUGUUUGUGAGUUGUUGUGUGAAUUUAUUUGGGAAGUUAAGGUGACCAAUAGCUCUCUCUCUCUUGUGUUAAAGGUAAGUUGUGAAGAACCACCCUCCUCCCUUAAUUGAUGCUUAAAUCAUGCUUAGUGGUUGUAUGAGAUGCAAAUUUAUGGGUUAUUUCUUGAUUUGUGAUUGAAAUGAUGAAAUUUUAUUAUUUUUGGGGAUUUUUCUGUUUUAAUAUAAGCAUGAUUGUGUGGCUAUCUAUGAUGAUUAGAAAUGGUAUAUAAGGCAUCUAGAAGGUGGAAAAAGUGGAAGAUUGCAAGUAAUUUCUGUUUUGGAAGAAAAUUGAAAAACCUAUGGUUCAUGAAGCUACACUCUGUCCGAAUUUUUAGGUCCUAGAUAGAGGCCGAAUUGGCCUUAGCUUAAACCAUGAAAGUUGUAGGGAAUGACAUUUUAGAGGUGCCUACAAAAUUUUAGGUCAAUCGGAGUAGUGUAGAAUGAGAUAAUUCGAAAUUACUAUUGCUGUUCUGGUUUUACCCGAAUGCAAGAAUUACGCCUGUAAUUGGUUGUUUUGGCUGGAAUUUCUUCCGAAUUGGUUGUUGAGAUCUUCUGAUGAAAUGUAUCCCUGUUUCUUAGCUUUUCAUUGGUUUUGGAAUUUCUGGAUUUGGACUUGGAGAGCCUGAGUUAUGAUGUUUCCGCUAGAAUGCAUUUUUGUGAAUCUGUUUUACGUUUUUGAUGUAGUAUCUUGCAUUUUUGACCUGUUUGCACACAAAACUGGGUUGAGUGACCUUCUGUGAUGUUGUAGCCCUGUCUUUUAGCUUCGAAAUGGUGGGUCUUACACCCUCAUCCGAUAAUCGUAGUGAAAUUGGGGCCAUUACCGCAAAACGAGGACAAAAACUGUUUUUUUUAGGCCCAAAGCUAAUUGCAUUUUCGAAUUUUCUGGUUUCCUUUAAUGUUUGUGUGUGCUUAGGGAACCCUGUUUUGGUAGUACAUUGAAUUGAUUUAUGACUUGUAAUCGAGUUUUAUUGUGUUCAUUUGAAUAGUUUAGGGCUUGACUUUCAUAUCCGGUUAUUUCCUAGCUAAAUUUUGUACUUGAAUGCCAUUAAGCCUAGUGAACAGCUUUUGGGAAUGAGAUUAUUUUUGUACAAGAUGUUGGGACUGAUUUGAGGAAAUAAUGAAGCCAUGAUGGCUGGAAAAUAGGUAAACACAAGGGAUAUGCUGCCGAAAUUUUACUUGAAGGCUAGUUGGAUUUACUUGUGUUUUGAACGAAGGGCUUUUGGGUUGUUUGAGUCUAGGUCUUCAUGUUACCUUUUCGUUACCAAAAAUCAUGUUUUGCACCUUGCUUUAGUAAUUAUUUGGCGAGGCAUACGACUGGUAGUCGAGCCUCACAUGUGCAUUCUGUAUACUCAAUUUUGAAAGUGGAACCUUCAAUUGUUUUCCUUGGAUUAUUUUAAGGUUUAUGGGCGAUUAAAGCUCUCUUUUGGGAGGUAUCUGCACUGACCCUGGUGAGUGUACUACUCACUUGUGUGUUACUAUAUGGCUAUGAAUGUAAAUUGCAUGAAGUGAAUUGAAUGUGACUUGAUUGAAGUGAAAGUGUACUUUAUCACUCUCACUUAUAUGCCUUAUAUCAUUGUUGUCAUGUUAUUGGAAUGUUACAUGAAAUGUUACAUGAAAUGAAAGUACUUGACUUGGUGUCGAUCGGACGAGUAUCCAACGACUACAAAUGUUAUCAUUGAACUCAACCCCAUUGGUAGUUGAUUGAAUCGAGCCGGCAAGGGCUUGGUCGUGACAAUUAAUGAGCCUUGGGUAAAGUUAUAAGGAAUCUUGUAGUAUGAGAGACUCGAUUCCGGUAUACUCGAGUAAUACCACAAUGCAAGUGUUUGGAGUGCGGGCCCGGUAGGGGGAUGUUAGGUGGAAGGAAUGGGAGAGAAGUGGAGUCUACGGUUGGUUACUUUUGAACAUUGACGGAGAGUCAAUGACGUCCGAUCAAGAAAUGCAAACGAGGAAAGGGCUCUUGAGAGCCAUCAGUAUCCUUUUAUCACCAUAUUUGAAAAUUUGAUGCUUAUAUGCACUUGGGUGCGUAAGUGAUAGUAUCUCACUGGGCAAUUAGCUCACACCGUUCUUUUAUUUUCCUUACAGGAAUAUGACUCUUUUUGGAAUGAAUCUUGAUAGAUGGUUGCCGAAUGAACUAGAUGUAUAUCUCUUUUGUAUUGUAUAUGAAGUGAAACCCUAAAUGUAUCUUUAGGGCCGUUUUCACUUUCAAUUUGGCAAACCGUGUAUAUAUUAACUUUUGAAAACUUUUGUAUGUCACUUUGGAUUGAAUUUGAUAAAGUUCAAGAUGUGAAUGUUUGUUUGAUAUUUGGUUGCGUUCGGACGGGUCGGUUACUAUUCAUGGCCGACUCCGAAUUUCAUUUUUUUUUAUUUUGGGUUACUUUGCCCUUUUGCCUUGUUUACGCGCGUUAUAAGUUCCGGAACGCAAUAGAUCGGCUCUAAACUGCACCGUUAGUCCUGGCGAGAGCUGGGCAGGCAGUCCGCUAACCCCUUUGGUUCGCCUUAGGGGAAGGUGGGGCUAUCACAGUUGGUAUCAGAGCCUGCUUCGCGUGGUCUCUGCGCGGAGUGAGCCUGGACUGAGUGGUGAAUAGGUAUGAAGGAUUAAGUGCUCGUUCGAGCAUAAGCUAUGAAUUGUGAACGUUAUAGGCCUUAAAUGUUUCGUGUGAUAUUUGAGGAACAUAGAUAGGUACGUCAGGGAGGAAUUUCGAUUUGUAGAUGGUUUACUCUUGGGACUGGCCAACUCGAGAUGUGAACUAUCUUAUUUCGGAUUCUCGUGCCCGAGUACUCCAGAAUCGAGGCGAUGCAAGCUACUAGGUAUUUGAGCCUUGUAUUUUGGAAACGAAUCUUGUAUUUUAGAAACGUGAACAGGGUUUGUCUGACUAGAAUGAGCACAAGAGAUCAAUGGACAUCUAGUUUGGAUAGUAAGUGACGUGAGAGACCAGACGGGCUGAUACUAGGACGACUUCACCUUUUCCUUUUGGUUCGUCCGUAUACUACUACCACCUGACGUUAGUAUCUGUGCUUGUAUAUGUGCUUGUAUACAUGGUUAUCUGUCCAACUUGAUAUGUAUUUGUGUACUUGCUUAUCCGUCUUUUAAUAUGGCGUGUUAUGUGCGAUAUGUUAUUUGUGUACUUGGUAUGAUAGAUAUUGUUAUUUUAGUCAAUGUAUUGCAUUCAUGCAUUAAAAUACCCUUUUGGAAAGAAAAGAGAGAGGGGGGAAAAAAAAAGAAGAAAGACGUAGUCGCGGACAUGGUCAUAGUAGUGAAACAAAACGAGACCAAGGGUUAAGAGAAGAAAGGGAGGAAACAACAGCUGAACCAAACAUGGACCAAGAGUGCCACUUGUAUUCAAGACUUUAUUAUGACCCAUUGUUUUGCCGACAGGCUACCAUUUGAGGUCCAGCAAUUCUGUGAAAUGGCAUGUUGGGUUGAGAUGUAUAAGGAAAUCGCGGUUCUUCGAGACGAAAUAGAAGUUCAAAAGAAACUAGUCGCAUACUGGGAAGGGCGAUGGAAGCACGAGUAUUCAGAGAAAAUUGAGCUUUUACACAAGAACCUAGAGCUAAAAAGGAAAUUCGAAGGAAUUUCCGAGGAGGCCCUUGAAAAGGCUCAACGAAUCGAGAAUGCAAAGGCGCAAGUGAAAGUUUCCCAAAUACGGAAAAAGGUGCAGUGAGUUGCGUGAGUGAGGAACCUAGCGAAGCAGUGGCACCUUCUAAAGUACAGAAAGUGAACCAGUUAUUCUGGCUGCCAUGGACAUUGGGGGCGGUAGAUAAAAGAUUUAUCAAAGGAAGCCAAACCAGACAGAGGGAGACUUCUCCGGAAAGCAAAAAGAUGGCUUCCCACUUGACUUGUGACUAUUGCGGAAAGGCCAAUCACACUGAGAACGAUUGUUGGAGAAAGGGGAGAAGAUGUCUGUGCUGUGGGAGCGCCGAGCAUCGAAUUGCUCAUUGCCCGAUUAAAGCGCGUAAAAAGAAAGGAACCCAACAACCAACCAAGACCGACCCUGGAUCGUCAAGUGGAGAAGGGACUGGAAUAAAAAACCUCGUUUCUUCUGACUCUGAAGACGGAGAAGGUACAGGCCAUUGGUUACUUUAAAUUUUGAAGGAAAAAUUUCGAGGGCGAAAUUUCUUUAAGGGGGAGAGAGUGUGAGAACCCGUAAUUUUUCCAUUUUCUAGGUUUUAUUAUAUUUCUAGGUUUUCUUAUCUUCAAUGGUUUGUUUUCUGCACUUUCUGUAUCCGGAAAAUUUUCUAGAUAAUUUUUAUGAGUAAAUAUAGUUUUUAGAUGAUUUUUCUAAUAUCAAAUAGUUUUUGAGAAAUUAAGAGCGAAUACCGGACGUGGGACCCACUAGUGCGAAAAGUUCGGAAAAAUUCAGCCAACUAGGUUAAGUUUUGAAUACUGAAAUUAAUUUACCGGGUGUUAAGAGAUAAGUAGAGGGUGCUAAGUGGAUUGAUAUAAGAGAGACAAGGUUGGUGAACAUUUAUUAAAAGGUGACAAGUGUCACCAUUUGAGAGGUUGAACCUUAAGACCACUAUUCAUGGUCUUACCAUUUGACUUAAAUAAACCAAAAAUGACCCAAAAAUCAUCAAAAUAUCCUCCAUGGUGGCCGAGAUUCUUGAGCAACAAAAGAAAGAAAGCUCUUCCAGAUUUUAGUUUCAAUCUUGCUUCAAUCAUCAAAACCAAUCAUCCAACCUUGAUUUUCCUCCAUAAAACACCUUCAAGUAGUGUUUGUGAGUUGUUGUGUGAAGUUAUUUGAGAUGCUAAGAUGACCAAUAGCUCUCUCUCUCUUGUGUUAAAGGUAAGUUGUGAAGAACCACCCUCCUCCCUUAAUUGAUGCUUAAAUCAUGCUUAGUGGUUGUAUGAGAUGCAAAUUUAUGGGUUAUUUCUUGAUUUGUGAUUGAAAUGAUGAAGUUUUAUUAUUUUUGGGAAUUUUUCUGUUUUAAUAUAAGCAUGAUUGUGUGGCUAUCUAUGAUGAUUAGAAAUGGUAUAUAAGGCAUCUAGAAGGUGGAAAAAGUGGAAGAUUGCAAGUAAUUUCUGUUUUGGAAGAAAAUUGAAAAACCUAUGGUUCAUGAAGCUACACUCUGUCCGAAUUUUUAGGUCCUAGAUAGAGGCCGAAUUGGCCUUAGCUUAAACCAUGAAAGUUGUAGGGAAUGAAAUUUUAGAGGUGCCUACAAAAUUUCAGGUCAAUCGGAGUAGUGUAGAAUGAGAUAAGUCGAAAUUACUAUUGCUGUUCUGGUUUUACCCGAAUGCAAGAAUUACGCCUGUAAUUGGUUGUUUUGGCUGGAAUUGCUUCCGAAUUGGUUGUUGAGGUCUUCUGAUGAAAUGUAUCCCUGUUUCUUAGCUUUCAACUGGUUUUGGAAUUUCUGGAUUUGGACUUGGAGAGCCUGAGUUAUGAUGUUUCCGCUAGAAUGCGUUUUGGUGAAUCUGUUUUACGUUUUUGAUGUAGUAUCUUGCAUUUUUGACCUGUUUGCACUCAAAACUGGGUUGAGUGACCUUCUGUGAUGUUGUAGCCCUGUCUUUUAGCUUCGAAAUGGUGGGUCUUACACCCUCCUCCGAUAAUCGUAGUGAAAUUGGUGCCAUUACCGCAAAACGAGGACAAAAACUGUUUUUUUUAGGCCCAAAGAUAAUUGCAUUUCCGAAUUUUCUGGUUUCCUUUAAUGUUUGUGUGUGCUUAGGGAACCCUGUUUUGGUAGUACAUAGAAUUGAUUUAUGACUUGUAAUCGAGUUUUAUUGUGUUCAUUUGAAUAGUUUAGGGCUUGACUUUCAUAUCCGGUUAUUUCCUAGCUAAAUUUUGUACUUGAAUGCCAUUAAGCCUAGUGAACGGCUUUUGGGAAUGAGAUUAUUUUUGUACAAGAUGUUGGGACUGAUUUGAGGAAAUAAUGAAGCCAUGAUGGCUGGAAAAUAGGUAAACACAAGGGAUAUGCUGCCGAAAUUUUACUUGAAGGCUAGUUGGAUUUACUUGUGUUUUGAACGAAGGGCUUUUGGGUUGUUUGAGCCUAGGUCUUCAUGUUACCUUUUCGUUACCAAAAAUCAUGUUUUGCACCUUGCUUUAGUAAUUAUUUGGCGAGGCAUACGACUGGUAGUCGAGCCUCACAUGUGCAUUCUGUAUACUCAAUUUUGAAAGUGGAACCUUCAAUUGUUUUCCUUGGAUUAUUUUAGGGUUUAUGGGCGAUUAAAGCUCUCUUUUGGGAGGUAUCUGCACUGACCCUGGUGAGUGUACUACUCACUUGUGUGUUACUAUAUGGCUAUGAAUGUAAAUUGCAUGAAGUGAAUUGAAUGUGACUUGAUUGAAGUGAAAGUGUACUUUAUCACUCUCACUUAUAUGCCUUAUAUCAUUGUUGUCAUGUUAUUGGAAUGUUACAUGAAAUGUUACAUGAAAUGAAAGUACUUGACUUGGUGUCGAUCGGACGAGUAUCCAACGACUACAAAUGUUAUCAUUGAACUCAACCCCAUUGGUAGUUGAUUGAAUCGAGCCAGCAAGGGUUUGGUCGUGACAAUUAAUGAGUCUUGGGUAAAGUUAUAAUGAAUCUUGUAGUAUGAGAGACUCUCGAUUCCGGUAUACUCGAGUAAUACCACAAUGCAAGUGUUUGGAGUGCGGGCCCGGUAGGGGGAUGUUAGGUGGAAGGAAUGGGAGAGAAGUGGAGUCUACGGUUGGUUACUUUUGAAUAUUGACGAAGAGUCAAUGACGUCCGAUCAAGAAAUGCAAACGAGGAAAGGACUCUUGAGAGCCAUCUGUAUCCUUUUAUCACCAUAUUUGAAGUGUGCCUUUGCUUAUUUUUACUAAAUUGAAUGAAAGUUUGAUGCUUAUAUGCACUUGGGUGCGUAAGUGAUAGUAUCUCACUGGGCAAUUAGCUCACACCGUUCUUUUGUUUUCCUUACAGGAAUAUGACUCUUUUUGGAAUGAAUCUUGAUAGAUGGUUGCCGAAUGAACUAGAUGUAUAUCUCUUUUGUAUUGUAUAUGAAGUGAAACCCUAAAUGUAUCUUUAGGGCCGUUUUCACUUUCAAUUUGGCAAACCGUGUAUAUAUUAACUUUUGAAAACUUUUGUAUGUCACUUUGGAUUGAAUUUGAUAAAGUUCAAGAUGUGAAUAUUUGUUUGAUAUUUGGUUGCGUUCGGACGGGUCGGUUACUAUUCAUGGCCAACUCCGAAUUUCAUUUUUUUUAUUUUGGGUUAUUUUGCCCUUUUGCCUUGUUUACGCGCGUUAUAAGUUCCGGAACGCAAUAGAUCGCUCUAAACUGCACCGUUAGUCCUGGCGAGAGUUGGGCAGGCAGUCCGCUAAUCCCUUUGGUUCGCCUUAGGGGAAGGUGGGGCUGUUACAAUGUGGCUUCCUUGAGGUUUCCAAAAUUACACCUACCUCCGUUAUUGAUUUAAAAUGACAAUACUAACCUUAAUAUUUGAAUAAAACUCUCUUGUUGCCAUGUUUAUACAAAGGAUGGAUUUUAUAAUUUUUUUUUCUUUUUCCUUGUUAUUCAUUUCUCUUAUAUUUCAUUAGAAGUAUAGAAGAACUAUCAAUGUUUUCGCUAAUAUCUAUCCAAAUCAAACGUUAAACUAGUAAUUUUUUUUAUGACUUUUAAUAUCAUCCAAUUUCUUUGUAGUUUUUUUUUUUUAUCAAGAUCAAGAAUAAGUCAAUAAUAAUAAAAACAAACUAUGGUAGUUCCACCACUAAACUAAUUCAUAAACUUUUAUUAAAAAUAAUAGUCCAUAAAGUUAAAAAAUACAAGAUAACACUUUCUUCUCUAUCUUAAAAAGAAUCUAUAUUCCCAAUAAAAUACUAUAAAAAAUUGCUUAUCAUAGCAAAAGAUUUAUUGUUAUAGUUGAUUAUUAAAUAACAAACAUUAGAAUGAAAAACUUGAGACUCCUUUUUUUUAAAUAAUUGUGUCAAAUUACUUUACAAUUGUUUAGAAGAAUGAAUUAAACUUUAUAAAUAAGGGCAUUGUAGGGUAUUCAUUAAAUUUUUUACCUUAUUUUAAGGUUUGAUUACCAAAGUGUCAAAUCAAGGGAGGUAAGUGUAAUUUUUAAAACUUCAAAGAAACUAAGUGAAAUAGUCAAAAACCUCAGGGGAGGUUUAUGAAAUUAUCCCAAAAAGAAUUAUACUUAAAAAACAAUGGUGGACGCAAGUGGUACAUCUCUUCAAUAGGUAGGACCAAUUCGGAAGCCCAAACACCAAAUGAACAGCAUUGCCAGUCCAUCAACACUUCAUCUUCAUCCCCAAAUACUGUGAUAUUGACAAUUUCGAGACACGCCAAAAUAGAGAAAAGGACAAUGUGGGAGCAUACAAGAUUAAGCAGAACAAUCUACAUAUUUCUUAGGAUGACUAUUACCAGAUAGACAAACAAAGCUCUCUAAUUAACAAUGGAUUGGACAAACUCUUUGACGAGCUCACACAGAGCAUAAACUCUAGGAAGCUCAAAGGUGUCAGCGCCGUGAUAACCUCCUUCAGCAAACUUAGCCACCAAAGCCAUACCCUUCUCUUGCAACGCUUUCACAAAAUUAAUUUGAUGAUCCAACAAAGAAUCACCCUCAUAUCCAGUCACCAAAAUCUUCCAUCCCAAAGCCUUAAUCUGAUCAAAUCGGCCUGAUUUGAUGCUCAAUAAUGGAUUACAGAACUCAUGAUCACGGUCAACGCCAACCGGCAAUGAUAGCUCCCACAUGACAUCAGUCACGCAGGGUGGCAAAAUCUUGUCAUUAUCAGCCCUCAACUCUGAUUCUGUCCUUUUAGUGCCACCAAAAAAUGGUUGGUGCAAAAUCAGCCCUUUGAUCUCCAAAGGCUCAAGAUCAUCAGCACAUGAAGAUGCACUCAGACCGACAUGAUAGGCAAUGUUUCCUCCUGCACUACUCCCCAUGAGGAAACUGUUUGAUAAAUCAGCAUAUUUUGUCAACCAUUCAUCCUGGGAGCUCUUGAUCCAUUGCAUAACUUCCAUACAAUCUUCAUAAGCUGCCGGCAGCCUGUGCUCUGGAGCUAGACGAUACUCUAUGGAUACCAUCACAACUGGGAUAUCAACAGUAAAACUGUUGUAUAAACUCUCGAAGUAAGGCGUGGCUGCGCUGCAAAUAACGAAGCCUCCACCAUGAAUGAAAAUCAGGAGGGGAAGUUUCGUGCCUGGAGAGGAUUCAAUUGCUUUCCGGGGUAGGAAAAUACGAACAAAAGUGUUUUUAGAUUGGUUUACUGGGAUGUCCUUAACAAGGAGAACUGGACUCUUAUCGAAUGAUGAGACGGGGGUUUUUGGCAUAUCAAGAAAACGUGCGACUGAGCCAUCUGGGUUCCUGACGAAGCCAAGAAAACCAUAGGGAUCGGUCUGAGGAUUCCCAGGUGGAAAUUCGGUAAUCUUAUCGGCCAUGUUUUGGUCCCAACUGCCAAGAAAUUGAAAUUGUUUCCGCUUGGCUUUUGCUUGGAUUUAUCAACUAGUUGUGGGCAUUUAAUACUGCAGAGAUUUGGAAGAGUACAAGAAUAAAAUUGUGGCCGGCCGAAUUCAGGAGAUUCCUGUGUUCGUAAAUGACCAUUUAAUGUUGUACGAUGUUCGGUGAGAUUUUAGAAAUCUAUUUAUAAAUGCAAAACUGUUUUCCCUUCAUUUGCUUGGUAAGAAGAGAAAAUGGCAUGAAAACCUAUGCAUGGCAUGUCUCGUUGAUUGGCUAAAUCCGUUAAACUGGUUGAACAAAUGCAAAAUGCUCUCGUCUCCUCGGGUAGACAUGACCAUGGCUGCAGAACCGUCAAUUCUAAAAUAAAAACCGACACUUUCAAUUCUUCUGAAAGGUGGAUGGCAUCUGAAUCGGUCCUUAUUUUUCCGGAAAGGUGGAUGAUUACGGUAACAAUUUUGAAUCUUUGGUUUUGGUCCGAUUUCGGUUUGAAUUUUAUUCGAGUUGCAGUUUCGAUUCUUUCAGUUAUGAUUAAACACUUAUUAUUAUAAAAUUAAUUAUAAGAAAGUAUGAUAAUGUAUGUAAAAAAAAAUAAGAAUUUUAUUGCAUUAUCAUGUGCAAGAAAAAAGAAAAAAGGUUGCAAAUUUUAUAAAAGAAUACCUUAUUGUUGAUUAUUUUGGAUUGGUCUUGAACUUAGAUUAAUCAUGGAGCUUAGACUUACCAAUGAGAUGGGGCAAUGAGUUGUUUGGUUAGGAUUGAAGCCGUUGGUAUUGAGUGUUAACUAUUAAUACUAAACAUUAAAUUGAUCAAAUAUGUUUAAAUAUCAAGUGUUGUUUUAAAUUAUUUGAACUAGUUCUAAACCGUGGACUCCUAUUUCGAUUCAAGUUUGUUGAAUCUAAACAUGAACCUUUAAUCAUAAUUAUGGUUACGGUUCUGAUUUGGAUUCCAAUUCAACAAAUCACCGAUUCAAUUUUCUGGUUCAAACCUAAACUGCGGCAUCCCUAUCCCCGAUACAUUAACAUAUUGUUGACAUUGAAAGGGCUUUGGACCUACCGAAUGAACAUUUCAAGGUUGAAGUAUAAGACUACAAACCAUGGUACAGUUCACGGGGACGUACAAAUAGUAUGAAAUGACUACUUGACUAGCAUCGAUUGUUGGCUACUCUGACACGAUAUAAAAUAGUAAUAAAUGCUAAAAAAAAAGGGCAAUAUCUAAUUUUUUUUUUCUAAUUUUUUUUUCUUCAAAGGGCAAUAUCUAAUUGGUUUAUGUAAAAACUUGCAGAUCCAAUGCACAUGUAAAUUCAAGUACAAGAUAAAUAGUAAAAUUGGACAUUGUGCCUAUCUAAGUGGAGAGAACGAGAUUUAACACUUGAAUGAAAACUACAAUUUGUCAAAAGAGUUAUAUAAAGUUAAGUGUGUGGAGAACAACAUAUACUUCAGGGGCAAGAAUUCUAGGUUCUUUUAAUUAGUAAAAACUGUUUUAAAAACAAACUUACCUUCUAAAUUACUUCUUUAACGGUCUUGUUUGAAUUUUUUUUUCUGUAAAAAAUUUUUUACGUUUUCCGUAAACACAUUUUUUAAUCAUGUUUUUAUCUCACAUACAUCAAAUCGUUAUAGUAUAUUUUUCUACAAAAAAAAACUCUUGAAAAUAACAAUCUAAAAUUAAAAGCAAUUGUGUGUUGUAAGUUUCUGCAGAAAGGAAAUUACAUUGGUCGGAUUGAUGAGUUACAUUUGGACUCGAAUAUCUCCCUCAUUGUGAUUCAUAUGGGAGGUUGUGUAAUCAAUACCAUCAUAACCUCCUUUAUCAUAUGGGAGGUUUUCAUUGAAUAUCUCCCUUUUUGUAGACUUUACUGCUAGCAUUGUUUUAUUAAAAUCAUCUUCUGCUAAGGAUGACCUAGAUGAUUAAGAAAGUUCAAAUUUUCUUACUUUGAAUGACAAUUAAAUGUUUAAGACUAUGUAAUUAAUGAAAAGAAGAAAUCAAAUGAUAUUGACACUCCAAAAAAAAAAAGGCUCAAACAUUCGACCUGUCUUUUAUAUUGAGUAAACAAGUGUGCCCCUAAAUUAUUACUAAGAUUACAGCACUACCUCUCUACAAUUUCCAGUUUCUUCUUGUCUUUUCUUGUUUCUAUAGCUACUAGCCACCAGCCAUUGCCAUCAAUCAACCUUGCUAAUGCAAACCGAUCCUAAAACUUUGAAUAUCGUGACAACCCAAUGCUCAAAUUGCCUGCUUUGUUUCUCCUUUACUUAAAAUAGGAGAAUAAGGUGCCGUUUGGUAAAAGGGGAUCGAAAUCAGGAAUCAAAAUAAUUUCAAUUCUUGUUGUUUGGGUUACAUGUAUUAGAUUCAGAAUCUUGGAGUAAAUCAUUAAAAUUUGAGGAUUCUCAAUCCCCAACAAAUUGGGGGGUUUUGGUGGUUUUCUAAAUUUGACUCAAUUUGACUCGAAAAUUUCAAAAAAGAAAAGAAAAUAUAUCAUUUCAUCACUCUAUCAUGUUGGCUGAACUUUCAUGGCAGCACUUUAGCAUUAGAUUUCCUCUUUUAUCUUUUCUCUCUCAUCCCAUCUUCUUGAGCAUACUUUCAUUAUCAUCCUUUUUUUUUUCUUUCUUCUCUCUUCACUCUCUCCUCCAACCUUCCAUGGCAGCAGCCCUUUCCCAUCUAGUUCUUUCUCUCCAAUCUUGUCAAUCUCUCUUUCACUUUCCCUUUUCUUCUCUUUUCACUCUUCUCCUCUUUCCUCCAAUACUCCAUGGCAGCCGCUUCUCUCUAUCUAGUUAUCUCUCCUCUUUUUUUUUUAUCUUUUUGUAUAAACCUUUUUCUCAUCUCUUGUCAGUCACUCUCUCAUGCUCCACAUAUUAUAAGGUUGAUUGGUGAUGGUCAGGUGGUGAUUCAAGAGAAAUUGGUAAAGCAUGAAUACUUAAGGGUUGGGAAGAAGAAAGUAGGAAAAGGGGAAAAAAUAAAGAUAAGAAAAUGAAAAUAAGUUGAUUCCAAAACCUUAUAAAUAUAUACCAAACACUAGUCAUUGUAGUGCUACUUUUGAUCAAACUCCAUGCUGAAUUUUUGGACGUAAUUCCAAUUACAAUUCCGAUUCCUAGAUUUGAAUCAAGCGCCCUUAAAUAGAUUUUGCACUGUAUUGGGUUGGCGUGGGCGCGUGGGAGUGGGGUUAGCUGUGACUCAUUGACGGCAAAGUUUGGAAUGAGAUACACUAUUGAGACAGAAUUUAUUAAAAAAAAAAUUUAAAGAGCAGGCAAUGGGUAAAAGGCGAUUACGAUCGGGAAGAGAGAGUUUCCAAAAGGUAUCCUUAUAACUGUUGGGAGCUUAUAUGUCAGCAUAGUUAAUAUGAAUAAAUGUUGGAGUGUCUUAGACUUUGAUUAGAACUAUGUUUUCAGAACCGGACCGAGUAUUGACUCGGUCAAGCUCAGGGGUUAGGGGUCAAUGCGUUCAACCGGGUUCGAUAGGGGUUGAAUCGGAUGAUGUCAUAAAUAAAAAUUAUUUAAAAAUUAAAAUAUUAUAUGUAAAAUAUCUAAUAACAUGUUAAUAUUAAUAAAGAUAUAUUCAUAUAUAUUUGAUGUUUCAAAUAUAUUUAACAAGAAAAUACAAAAAAAAUUAGAACAAUCAAGUAGCAAUUUAUAUUAUUUAAUGAGCAUUAACAAAUUUAGAAUUAAAAUUAUGGACUUAAUUGAAAAAUAACACCAAACUUUAAGACAACAUUGAUAAAGUAUGAAAUAUUUGAGAUAUAUUAAUAAAUUUUAACAAUCUAGGGGUCAAAACAUAAUAUUGAAAAAUUUUGAGUUUUUUUUUUAAAUGCUUGAUUGAACUGGAAAAUCCGGUUUUUUUUCCGGUUAAACCCAAUUUUUGACCGUAUUUGACCGAGUUUUUGCUUACCCAGUUUUUAGCAUAACUCAGACCAGACACUUGGCCGGUUCCCGGUUUGACCGAUCGAAUCGGCUGAUCCGGUCCGAGUUUUAAAACAUAGGAUUAGAAUGCCAAUGUCAUUUGCCAAAAAGAAAUACGAUACAACAAAUAAUUCUAUAAAUGAUACUCAUUGAAUAACAAUUUUUCUAUCUAUAAGUUGGUUUGCCGCCUAACCAAAAAUGCUGACUCUGCCAUUGGUCUUGAUGCUUAUAACACUAGUAUAUGCUGACAGACAUAUUAUAACGAUAAUAUGCCGAGGUUCAAAUUUGCUGAUGGUGUCUUUCUACCAAAUAAUAUAUGAAGGAUAUAAAAAUUUUGGAGGCCCUUUGUACCAAAAACUUUAUUUAGUCUUCAAUUUAACUUUUGAAACUUAAUGCAUUCCAAAAUUAGUCUCGCUCACUUCACAUGAUCCUUAAAAAAAAGGUUAUUUUAGGAGUGAAUGAAGGCAAUUUAGAAGUAAAUUUACGAAUUCUCAAUUUUGAAUGAAAUAUUAGGUUCUUGAAGAACAUUGACAAAUGAAAUACAUUGUGGUAGGCCUUAUUUGAUAACUCAAUUCAACAUUUAAAUUUAAUAGAUUCAAAUCUUAAUAUAUUUAGACGUGUUUGAUAUGAAAAUUUGAACAUUGAAUUAAUUAAGUGGCACUGAAUUUCGUAGACAAAACUUGCUCUAAAAAAUAAAUGAUAAACUAUUCAUUUAUCACUUAAUGUGAUAUAUAUUCAAAUAUAUCAGAUUUACAACUUAAUAACUUAAUAACUUAAUGGAUUCAAACUUCAAAUUUCAAAUUUCAGACUUCAGUUUUCAGACUUUAGUUUUCAAACUUCAAUUUUAUCAAACGCACCCUUAACAAGGCCAACAUUGAAUUUACUCUACAAGGAUAAGAAACAAAAAGGAUGAUAUACAUAAUAUAUUACAACACAAAAUAACAUAGCACGGUUGAGUAAAUAAAAGGCAAUUUAAUUUUUUUUAUCAACCUAAGGUAGACUAAGUGCUUAGGAAGUUGUCCGAUGGUGUGUUUUGUUUGCUGACAUGUCAUUUGAUGAUUUGCUGAAAAGUGGUCGUUCUCCAUGAUUGUUGGCCUGUGGAUUGCGUUUGUGAGCCACCGAGCCCUGGCUGAAAAAAAUUAACUCCUUCAAUGGAACCCUAGACCGGACUCAUAGUGGUCAUAAUAAUAAUAAUAAUAGUAAUGUUAGGCUUGUAGUGCUGAUAGUAAUACUCUGCUUCCCAUUUUACCUAAUGUCAGGUUUUUGGUGAGGUUAGAGUGUGUAUUUGGGUCAAUGUGACAACUCCUGUUUUACCUAUUUACCCUUGUCUUACAUGUUUAUUUACUUUCUUUUUGUGGGUUGACUUUUUUUUUUUUUUUGUCAAAGUUUAGCUGUUGUUGGGUUAUAGAUGUCAAAACAAUGCUUUGUCACUGUGUAACUUUUCAGCCAUGCGUCCCUUCUUUGCCUCUUAUACUUUCGAACGUUGUCCUCCGUACGUCUUUGGAAGCUGCUCCAUACUUUCUGUCCUGGAUUUUGCAGAUGCUAUCAUGCUUUGUGGUUGGUUUAUGCAUCCGGUGAUCAUUUUCCCUCUUUCGUUCUGCUGUUUCAGCUAUAAGGUUGGUUUGCUCUUUUUCCCUCUGCUUCGUUCUCUGUUCUUUUGGAGCUUUCAUUUCUAUUGACCAGCUUCAGGGUAAUUAUCUCCACCAGUUUUUCGCUUUUCGUUUUAUAUGCUGUUUACUGCUUCUCCUUAUCACCUGUGGCAGCAUUUGCUAUUUUAUUCGCUGACUUUGUUCCUUUUUCCCCUGUUUCCGUGCUGGUGAAUGCUGAUCCAUGUAUGCCGUUGCUAUUGUGGUGAGCUCAUUUUAAAACAAAAAAAAUGGCUUUUCCAGCCUCUUUGUUUUCUUUCCAAUAUCUCAUCUUUCUGUGCUUGUCAUUUCCUCUUUUACAGCUUUAUUUGAUGUCCUUGUACUUGGGAUUUUCUGGCAUUCUCGUUCUUCCGAGGACGCUGCUAUGGAGCUGAUCUUCUGUUAUGUGUUAUGGCAGGAAUUUGGUUGCAGGUCAGAUGCUUGUUUCUUUGUUUUGCUUGGCUUUUUCCUCCUUCUGGCUGCAUUAGUUGCCGGCUAUUUCUUGCCUCCUUCCUGGUCAUUUCAUACUUUACUUAUUUUCCCCAACAUGCAUGGCUUCUUCAGAAUCUUCAUGCUUUCUUUAGUAUUUUUGCUUCGUACAUUGUUUAAGCUUGCUUUACCGUUUUCGCUCGCUACAUUUUUGUACUGUAGAUGGUGUUCAUGCAUGUCUUCAUCUUUUGAUUGUUUAAUUUCUUACAUCAAUUCACGUGUGUCGUGGUCUUCAGACUCUUCACUGGAAAUCAGGAACUGCUCCACCAACUCUUACCCAAUCCAAUCUCCAGAGUCCAGACGUCCUCCUCACCCCUUUGUUUCUCCUUUUCCUUUUCUCAAUCAAUCAAUCUUCUUCCUCUGCUCUUUUGCCCCUUUCUUCUUUUCUUCAACACAAGUCAAAUCUCUUCUCUCCAUCUCUCUGUGUUUUGUUUGUCUCUCAAGUCCACUGCUUUCUCCAUUUUAAUUUUGUUUAUGCUGUUCCUGCCCCUUGAUUAAAUUUUCUUUUAUUCUCUAUUAAAUUUUAUUUGCUGUUCCAGACUUCCAGUUCAUCUCAAUCAGACUCUCAGGCAGACAGACACCCAAUUAAAAAGUUUCGAGUUGUUUCACCUAUUUGUUUCAUUGUUCUCCCCUUGUGACCUUGAAUCAAUUUGGUGAAGGUUCAACCUUGCAGUGAGCUUGACAUGGAAAUGAAGUGCAAACUGAUUUCAGAGUAUAUGACAAAGGUUACUUUUUUGUGUUGUAUGAUAACUUGCCUAAGCUUCUUUGGGUGAUCUAAGGUUAGAGUAAAUGGAAUGCAAGAACUCUACUUAUGCUUGUGAUUAUCCUUUUGACAAAUUUCAACUUUAUUUUUGGACGAAGCACUGCAAUGUAUUGGGGAAGAAAGUAAAGUUUUCCAGUUCUACUCUCAACAUUUUUUGUUUGUUGACUAUCUUCUUAUGGAUUGUGCCCUCAGCUUCAUUACAUAGUGGAGCUGAGUUUAGGCCAUAUAUGACUUAAAUGAAUCUGAAAAAAAGAGGUCACUUGCUCGUUUGUAUUAAUUGUCUGAAACUUCUGCAAAAUGUCACUUUAAAAUAAAAAAUUUAUCUUCUGCAAAAUGUCACUUGAGCUAAACUACUUCUUGGAAGGGAUAUAGGGUAUAUCUUUUAGGUUUAUUAAUUCUGUCUGCAAAUUAUUUAGCUGACUGUUCUGUUUUAAUUUGUAGGUAAUGAACAUAUUGAAAAUGCUGUGCCAGUACAUUGUGAUGAUGAGCAAAAGGUUGAUUGAUCAUGAGACAACUUCCAAGGAGCUGCUACAAUUGGGCUGGACUCCAUACUUUGAACAAAUUCUACAUUGGAAGAUUUUGUGAGCAAUAUUGUUCUUUGUUAUAACCAAACCAUGCAAUCUUUAGCAAAAGUCCUUUUUUUUAUAGUAUUAUAGGAGUCUUUUCUUUUGCCUACAGAACUGAGUUUAAAAUUUAUUCAGGCUGGUUUUACUUUAUAUUAUAGGAGGAUAUUCUUGUUCUUGCAAUGGCAAGACUUUUCCUUUGGGAUUGUCCUCAACAUUGUUGGACUUACGGUACUGAUGAACGGUGCAGGUCAUAUUUUAUGUUUCAUAAGAUGGAUGUUCACUAGCCGCAGUUAAUAUUCAAAUACUUACCAAUACUUUCAUUUACAGAGAGUUACGUUUAUCAGGUAAACAAAAUGCAACUCUCUCUCUCUCUCUCUCUCUCUCUCCCCUUAAUAUAUGUGGCUUAUAUUCUGCAUUUUGGUGUGUACAUUAACUUGCAAAUCCAUACAUUGUUGGUCCAUUUACCUGUACAAUAGAUGCUCAGUGACUUCCUUAUGUGUCCUAAAUAAAAUGUUAAGCUUCCUUACAUAGUCCACUACCCCUUUUUAGAAUGGAAUACGGUAAUACCAACAAAUCUUUAUGACAUGAAAAAAAUUCCGUUACUUUUUCCAGUACAUGUGAAUGUGCCUACUGCUUGGUACCUAUAAAUGUGAAAAGUUGUGACAGUAAUUGUUCCAAUUUUUUGCUACUAUAAGUAAUGUGUCAAUUAUGUACCUGAAUAGCAUAGUGAGAGCUGGCAUUAACUUUAAAGUAUGGGGAAGAAAUCUUCUUUAGCGAUGAUAAUAAGCACAUAGGUAUAAUCAUGUGUUGUGUAAAUCAGCAAGUCAAGCUUAACUGAGAAGUUUCUACCUUAAAACAUCAUGCCAACUCUGAUUACAAGGUUUUAGAGGAUGCUUGAUUUUCUUUUCUCAGAUUUUCGGCUAGACAAGGUGGAAGGGCAUGAUAGCAGUCCUUUGGCUCGGUUCAGUUAAUGUCAAGUGUCAACAUGCUGCAAGAUAACAAUUAGUUUUCUCGAUAAAUAACUGAUGCUGUUAAAAAGGAUUUUAAUUCCAUAAUAUGUUUCAUUCAUGCUUCCUAUUAUCUUGAUUUUGAAUUUACAGUUGGAUACUUUGAAUGAGAAGCUACGUCAGUCACCAACUUAUGGAGUUCAGCUUGGAGAAAUAGAAUCCUAUGCAGUAAAACUGCAAUUUAGAAGAUCUUUAUGUCAAGCUAUUUUCAGGAUUUAGGUUUCAUUGUCCUUUUGGCACAGGUCUGCCAAACAGAGGAAAGAAGGGCAAUAAGAUCCUUGAAGAUGUUAGAAGCUGACCCAUUUAAACCACUUCUUAUCCUACUUGAGCAUCAAGGCCUUCUCAUGGAGCGGUCUAUAUCUAUUUCUGUUAUGAUUUUUGUAGUUUCCUUUAUGUUCCCUCCGUGGGUUCUUAAACAGUAUUCUGGAGGUUUUUAGAAUCAUAAAGGUUAUAUUGCCCCCUCCAUUUUUUCAGGAUAAGAGAAGAGCUUUGGUUUGGAGUAGAGUCCUGGAGUCUUGAAAGAAAACUAUAUGUUGUCAUCCCUUGAGUGGAAGUGAGGUAAAAUUAACAAGUGCAUUCUAUAUUUUGACAAAUAAAGUUUUGAGACAUUUUCCUUUCCUUGUUUGACUAAACCAUUGGCAUCAGAUUCUACAUAGUGCAGAUAUCUGUUUAACACAUGCAUAAAUUGGUAAUCUAUUGUAUCUGAUUUCUAAGCCUCCAAUCACUUGUAUAUUGUUUAUUAAUUCCAAGGAUUGUAUUUCGAUUUGGAUCACGGAUUUAACUGGAACUCUCUGUCCUAUUGCAAUGUCCUCUGAAGUCGAAAGGCUAACUCAGUUUUCAACUACUGAGCUCUAAUGUUUGCAAAUAGAAGUAAUUAUCAAUUUUUUUUUUACAAAACAAUUGUUUCCCUCUAUUUUUUCAAAAGCUUAUAUUGCUUUCUCGCUUUAUCCGCACUAGAACAUGGAUAUAGCUCAGCAUCUCCAGACUAUUCUACAUUGAAAGAUGCUUAUAUGCUACAUCAAGCCUUCUACUUCAAAGUCCAGGAUGAUGAAAUGCGUAACUUAUGAAAUAUACCACUUACUACACUACAAAUGAAGCUCUCAACAUUGACAACCUCAACAUUAACAAUCUCAACAUUAAUGAUUGACAAUCUACCUAUUCUGUAUUUUUACUCGAGCCUUCAUGUAUCAACAGUCUGCACUUAUUACUUGUAAUGUUUUUUACUUGUGCCUUUGAUAUGUUAUUCAUUAUAAUUUCCAAUUUUGUCAAUUCCUUGUUUCCAGUUUUUUAUUCGCUUACUCAGCAACACCGGGCAUGCCAGUCUUUGAAAUCUACACCGCGUGGUGAGCACCUCCUAGUAAACUUACUAAAGGCAUAAGAUCAAAUAUUGCACCGGAUGCAUGCCCAUAUUACAAGGUUAUUUUAGACGGAAAUUCAUGCGAAUAUGUGGUUUACUAGUUGACAUCCAUGGUCUCUUGGAUUGAGAAAAGAUUUGGGUUAAAACUUUGAAUAAUAUUUUUCUGAACUUCAACAUACAGAAUUCAUCCAUUUUGUUGAAGUUUGAGGACAAAAACGCAAAUUAUGAUAAAUUAAACUCUAAGUACAAUAUCUAGUAAAAGUUCAGGGACCUAAAAGAUAACUUGUCCUAUUUUGAACUUAAAUCAAUAAGAUAAUUUGCUAUGCAAAUGAUGUCACAUCUCUAAUUGUCUGAUCUGAUGAAUAGCUUUCCAUUAUUUUUGUAUUUUGAUUGUUGCAUCUUACCAAACAUUGUAGGCAUGUAAAGAUACUUUUGUUAGAUAAUAAAGACCAGGACAAUCAUUUACAAGAUUAAUGACAAGACUUCAUAGAUAUAUUAUUAGUUUAAACUCAUGAAAGGUACAAGAUUAAUCAUCUUAGUCGAUUUGGAAGAUCACACAUCUUGAAGAAACCUUGUAAUCUGUCUACGCAGUUACAUUUGCAAAGGAUUCUACAAACUUUUUAACAACAUCACAAAGAAUUUUCAUUUUUGGAAGCUCAUAAAAUUCAAUACCGUGAUAACCUCCUUUAUCAAACUUAGCCACCACUUCCACACCACUCUCUUCCAAGAUUUUGGCAAGUUCAAC
rnacentral:lncRNA from 1 species